UAAACGACCACCUGGAAAUGACACGGCUGACGAGCAAUCCCUUAAUGUUAAAGACCGGAGACAAGUUGGUUGGAUGUUAGUGAUGGCCUCCAUCAUGGACUCCACCAUUGGGCUUCCUUCUACUUCUAUAGUCUCUACCAAUAGAGGUAACGCAUGCAGUGCUACUUUAUUGCUUUCACUUAUUUCCAAACUUUGAAUGGCGGGAGCCGUUGGGAGAGAAGAGACAAGCAGCUCGCAAUACUUAAUCGCAAGUUUUUUCAGAACAGGAAGGUGAUUCGGCAAAUUUCCCUCUAGCUUAGGGCAGUCACGUAUGUAAAGACUUUUAAGCACAGGAAAAGCUUCUGAAUCGAAGGAACUCCACACCUCCCAGCAAGGCAUGCCAUAAAAGGCCAGAGAUUCAAGGGAGGGAAAGGACGUCCCAGAAUGACAUUCUUCAUUCUUGUAGAAACCUGCAUCAAUAGUCUUCAGCCUAUUCAAUACUGAAAUUUCAAGGACCUUGAGAGAAGGUAGUUGUCCAAGUGAAGGAAGCAUACUACAGUUGUCACAAUCACGCAAUUUUAGACUAAUCAUAUUGCAGUAGGAAGAAUUUCCCAUCCAAUCUGGAAAUCUGGUUCCUUCAUAGCCUAUUAUUUGCAACGAUUCAAUGUUAAAGUGAGGCUGUAACUUGCAAAGCACAUCUAUUUCAAGUUGGAAGUUGGUCCUGUUGUUGUUAAAUCUAGACCAUUCCAACUGUAAACUAUUAAUGUGUUUUUUAUCCAUCAUCCUUGCCUCCAACGCUUCUUCACUUUGGGAAACAUUCUCCAACUUCCUAAUUUCAAGUUCACCACAAAGAUUUGAAAGUCCUCCCAAUUCUUUGAUUCCAUUCUCUUCGUGCUUGCCCACAGCAAAGAAAUCCAGAUGUUGUAAAUGAUUUAAUUUACUCAUUCCUCUCGGCAUCUCUUUUAUAGGAGUCCAAAAUAUCUCAAGAUGACGCAAAUUAACAAGAUUGCACAUGUCACUAGGCAACUUAGUCAGCUUUCUGCAACUACGCAACUUCAAAGUUUGCAGAUUGUAUAAAUUACACAAUGACUUUGGCAGUGUUUCUACACUUGAAUCAGAAAGAUCUAAAUAGCGCAGAUGGAUCAAUUUACCUAUUGAAUCAGGCAAAGAAUCCAAACUUCGGAAGUCACAAAAUGAUAAAACUCUCAAGUACAUAAGCUUCGACACUAUGAUACAUCGUGCCUCCUCGUUGUUGAAUGGAGCAGCUUCAAAAUUGAUAAUGGACAAAAAAGUUCUCAGAAAUUUUGCUCUACCAACAACAUCAAAGUUGUCCAAGACUGAAGAAUUGAAUUUCGUAAAUGACAAAUGACGAGUCUUGGUCUUGAUCUUUGUUUCUUUCCCAAGUUCUUCUGAUCUAAAGUAAAAAUCUCCACCGAGUGAUGUGGCUAGAUCAUGGAUGAGGUCAUGCAUCACAAAACAUUUGCCAUAAGGCCAACUACUUCUACUUGUGUUUGAACGUUGGAAAAAUGAUCUCGAAACCAAAUCGUCAAAAUACUCAUGACCAACCUCUUCUAAAGUCCUACCUUUGCUUGAUUUCUUCAAAAGAUCUUCGGCCAUCCACAACAAGAUUAAUUCAUUUUUUUCAAAUUGGUAAUCUUGUGGAUACAAGGAACAAUAAACAAAGCACCGUUUUAAAUGUGGAGGGAGAUAAUGAUAACUAAGUCUCAGUGCUGGAAUAACUUUACACUCACUUUCAGAAAGUUCCCAAAUGUCACUAUUCAGAAUAUUAUUCCAAUCCACGAUGUCAUGCUUUUUUCUCAACAUGCCUCCAAGCGACUGUGCUGCUAAAGGCAGUCCGUUGCACCUUUUAACAAUCUCCUUUCCAAUUUUUUCUAGUGUUGUUGUGUUCUCGUUCGAUUCAGAGGAAAGACACGCAUGGUUCACAAACACUGACCAACAAUCUUCAUUCGACAAUUGGUUUAGAUGAUAGGUGUGAACAGUUUGGACUAUAGAUGCUGUUUUUUCACUGCGGGUUGUUAGAAGAAUCUUACUUCUCCUAAUCCCACGGUUAAAUGGUUUCUUAAUAAGACUCCAAUCAACAUAAUCCUCUGUCCAAACAUCAUCCAAGACAAUUAAGAAUUUUUUAUCUUUCAGCUUGUCCAUCAAUUCAAGAUGAAGUAGAUUCAGAUCAUUCAAUUUACAAGGCUCUCCAGUAAUCGCCUCUAUCAUAGUUUUUGUGAUCUUCAGAACAUCAAAUUCUUUAGAAAUACAAACCCAUGCCUUAAAGUCAAAUAUCUCUACCAGAUUCUCAUCAUUGUACACCAGUUGGGCCAAAGUAGUUUUUCCAACCCCACCCAUGCCCACAAUAGGAACCACAGACACUUCACUACCGUCACUGUUAUCCUCCAACAACAACUUGAUUAUGGCCUCCUUAUCUUUCUGCCUACCAUAUAUAUGAGAUCCAUCUUCCACAGAUGUUGAUGGAGCUUUCCAUGACAAGUUCUCCACUGCACUCUCUUUCAAAUCAAGACUCUCCUUGAGUUUUAAAUGAGACUCAAGUGUGACAACUAUGUCUUCCAACUUACUAACGAUCUUCCUAUCGGAAAAGCGAGAAAAAAAGUUUCUUACCUUCUUUUGGGUGGCAGCUUUGGUGAAAACAUGGUCGAGUAAGUCAUCGGCCUCAUAGACAGCAUCUUUGAGAUCAUUGAGCCAGUGUUUGACAUUGGUGUUUGUGAUCUGUUUCUUCUCGGCAUCAUGAAGCACAGCUCCAACCACUCUGAGAGUGGUCUCCAACUUUUGAAGCAACUUCUUGCUAAGCUUAUUUCCAAGGAUCAAGUGAACAAACUCACGUGAAGCCAGCCUGUCGAAAACCACAUCAAGGAAAGCAGAGAGAAAGGCACCACCUACCAGUGCUGCUGCCAUUAUCUCAAGAACAAAAGAUGAUCAGAGUAGAAAGACAAAGGCAAGGAAUUGGUUGCUAUGAACGGUUUUUUUAUUUAUUAUGGUGGUGGUGGCUGACUUAUCACGUUGGCCUGGAUGCUUUUUGGGAGUCUCUUUACUUUUGUUCCCCACAUGCUGCUUUUUUGAUAUUUCUAUUUUGAAUUUAGCUCCUCCAGACUAAAGACUCAAGAGAUUUAAAGAGUGAUGAUAUUUCUACCAUUAAUUUUAAAAAAAAUGGAUUAUAUUUCUAAAAUGAUUUUAAUUAAAGUUAGUGAUGGCGAGCUUUCUCGCUUUAAAUGUCACCUCACUUUAGACUAGUUUCAUUUCUGUUUCCAAACCGUGUGGACCAGUGGUGUAUGUUUUUUUCUUUCUUUUCUGAAAUUGCUUGCAGGUUUCACAAAACACUGAUCCCUUUUCUUUGUGAUAUGUAUGGAUGGCUGCAAGGUUACUGUGCGUAUUUAAGUUCCUGUCUUUAAUGGUCUGUAAGACAAGUUGUAUUAAAGCAGAUUGUACAUGUGUUUGUAUGAACGGUACAAAAGUUGAUUUCACAAAUCUAAUUUAUAUUUGGAUAUUUCUAUUUUAAAAAUAAGUUAGUAGUAAAAUUGCAAAUGAAUUUUUUUGGUGUAAUCCAAAAGUUACCUAAAAAUACUUAACUAAGAAUUAGUUCUAAAUUUAAAAUUUAAAAUCAAUUUCUCACUGUGAAAGUAAAUAGUUGAACAUUUACUCAAAUUCAUGUUAGUUUAUAUUUCAACAUAAUUUUAGAAAAUCAAGCAUAAAAUCUAAUAUACACGAUUAAAAUUAUCAUAGAGAUGUGUUGUUUUAGAAAGAUUUAAUAACGAAUUAAUCAUGAUCUCAUAAACAAUUGAUAUUAGUAGUAGUAGUUUGUAUUUCUUAAUCAAGUGUUAAACAAAUAUUAAACCAAAACAAAAAAAAGUAUUGAACAAAUAAAAAGAAAGAAUUGAACAAAGGACACAUGCUAAUUGAUCCCUAAUAACAUAAUAUUAACCAAUUCAAGAGUUUAAUAUGUCCUUAUUUGUACAUAAAAAAGAAAAGACCUUUGUAGAAAGAAAAGUGUGUGAUUUUUUACUAAAUAAAAUCAAUAAAAUAAAUAAUAGAUACUAAUAUAGUAAAGAAUAUUGUGAAGAAGUUGUCAUCAUCAUCAUCAUCAUCAUCAUCAUCAUAAUAAUAAUAAUAAUAAUAAUAAUCUAGAGGGAGUGAUUAAAGUAAUUCCUUUGAAAUGGUGUCAUGAAAAUUAUCAUUCAAUUCAACUUCAUUUUUAUAUGUUGUAUAUCUAUUGUAAUUAUUUGAUGUAUAUUUUUAUAAAAUUUCUUGGUUUCUGAUCAUCCUUCAUAUCUUAUCUAUACAAAAAUGUUAUUAUUAGUUAAGUUAAAAAUAUUUAGUGAGAUUAUCUCAAACAGCAAUAGCAAAAUGAGAGAAAAAGAAAAUUUAAGUCAAGAAAAAAAAUGGUGAGCAAAUGAAAAGGUUUCUAUAAAAUAUAUAUUAUUACAGCUAUUUUGAAGUAUAAGUUUUUAUCCAUAGUUGAAAUGGAUUUUAGUGAACUUUAUAUUAAUGACUAUUAUGCAGUUAAAAUCUCGAUACAACGACUCACAAAAAUUCAAAUUUUCUUUACAUAUAAUAUAAAUAUAUAUAAGUCUAAUAAUAAAAACAUUUUUAUUUAUUUGUUAAAGUCUUGAAGAUAUUUAUCCUCUAACUUAUUUUUUCUCCUCACAAUUAUUUUUAUCUUUUAUACUACCAAACAAAACCUUACAAGAGUACUGGCUUAGUAGAAUCCAGCUAAGUAUCAUUUCUUUUCCUAAAUAUUUGUUAGAGUCUUGUUAAUAAAACAAAUCUUCUUUUAAUUUUUUAAUCAAUACUCUUAAAAUAAAGAUGAAACACACUUUCUAAAAGUAUUCCAUUUUAUUUAUUUUAUGAAUAAGGAGUAUUAAAGUGUAUUUCACUUAAAAAAAAAUACAUUACAUUUUUUAAUAAGAUGAAGUAAAAGAAGUGAAAAGAAAUAUAUAUAUAUAUAUAUAUAUAUAUAUAUAUAUAUAAUUUUCAUAAAUUUAGUAAUAAAAGAAAUGAAAAAAAGGGUAAACAAUCAUUUUCGCCCUUGAAUAUGUUGAGCGUUGACAAAUUCAUCACGGAAAGAUGUAAAAUUUUAGUCCCCGAAAGUAAAAAAAGUGUGACAAAUUUAUUCAUCUAUUAACUUCCAUUCAUUACUUUUAAUGAAAGAGCAAAUGUGACACAUUUAAGGACGAAUUUGUCAGGGCUCAACACAUUGAAGGACGAAAAUGAUUAUUCACCUAAAAUAUAAUUUAAUCUUCAUCUUUCUCCUUUUUCAAUCAUUGCAAGCACACUUGUGAAAUCCGGUUUGGCUCAGCUAUUCGGACCAAUCCAACUGAGACCCGAUGGCCUAGCCAAACCAGUUCCACUAUUGGAUCGGUCAUACAAUUGGCACGGGAGGACUCAAUCAAACUUGGACAGUUAGCCACUAGAUCCCGGUUGGACUGGUGUGAUCUGGCCGAUUUUUAAAAAAAAAAUAGACCACUUCUAUGGUGUGAUUUUGAUGUCUUAUUAUUAUCAAUUAUUAUCUUGGAUUAUGAAGUAUGCAUGAAUUUUCUUUUUGCUUUGAAUUUUUAUAAUACAUCAGGUCAAACCAGUCCAAUGACUGGUCCAACACCGCUGACCCACUCACCAACUAUUUUGAUUUGGUCAAUGAUCAAACUGGAUUUUAAAACUAACUUAAAACAAAUAUAAUAAUAAAUAUAAUAUUGAUUUAAAAACUUAUUAUCAUGUUUAUUUUAAUUUGUUUUAUUUUCUAUUUUUUUAGAGUAUUUAUUAUAAUGUUAUGUUUGCAAUAAUUAAAAAAAAUUAACAGAUAAAUAAAUUUAUGAUAUUUUUUUUUACUUUUAAAACUAAAAUUUUAAUUUUAGUCUUUAAAGACAAACUUGUCAACACUAAAACAUAAGAAGAAAAUAGUUAUUAAAAAAUAAAAAUGAAAGAUCUUUACUCAUGAUUCAAUGAUUCGAGUCUUACCCGCGUGAACCCUGAUUCUGAAUCUGGAACAGCAGUCUCCGUCCGAUCGACAUGUAAGGUACGACCACGAAUCAGUAACUGACACGUGUCUUAUCAUUCGUGCAGAUGUCAUCUGUAUAUAGAGCACAACACGGGAAGACGUUAACUGGCUGGUACUGCGAAUAUUCAUCCGCCACUGGUGCCAUCUGAUUGGAUGACCUUGCUACCAGUCACGGGAAGAGCCCAUCUUGUGGUUAGGUGUUGAACGAUGUUUGGCAUACCAUCAUUUUCAUUGUCCCUAAUUCUCACCAAUCUCACACCCAAAAGAUUUUGUCACUUUGUAACAAGGGAGCUGCUACUAAGAUUUAAUAAUAAGGACCAGAAAGUUUAAAUGAUAAACUAUACAGUAUUUUUAACAAUUUUAAUAUACUAUUAUUAUAUUUUUAUUUAAUAUUUAAGAAUAUUUCUAUAAUUUAAACCCAUGCAUUAAGUAUAAAGUAAUUUUAUAUUAUUAUUCACUCAUAUAUCAUCAUUAAUAUAAUUUUUAAGAUAUUAUAGAUGAUAAAAUAAUAAUGAAUGAAGUUUUAAAUUAGAUUUACACUUUUAUUAUAUAACUUAUUUUUUCUAUUUAUUAAGUAGACUUUACUUUUAUAGCCCCAUUUGUUGUCUUAUUUCUCACUCCCACAUCUAAGUUAACUUUGUUUUUUCUUUCUUGAAUGUUGUCACAUUGUAACAAGUGGAAUUGUUAAGAUUUUUAAAAAAGCAAAUUGUUUCAAUGAUAAAUUAAAUUUUAAACAAUUUUAAUAUUCUAAUAUUAUAUUUUUAUUUAAUAUUUUUAAUUUUUAAGUUUUCUUAGUAUUUAAGAAUAUUUAUUAACAAGACCUUUUAUAGCUAUAUUUUUUAUGGAAUGACUACUUUUUUUAGUAAUGAGAAUUUUGCAUUGAUGACGAUUAACUUAAGUUCAAGUGAAGCGAUUGUAUGCAUGAGUGCAAAUUAGCUUAUUUAGUUGACCAGACUUUUCUUAUAAUUCACAAAGGUUGUUACAAAAAUUCAAUGUAUCUAAUUUAAGUAUAUUAAUGCAUUAAAAUCUAUUUAUAUCUAUAAGAUAUAUUUGUUAAAUUUUUAAAUGAAAUUGUAAGAAAGAUGAAGAGAAGAUCAACCAGCAGGCAAAAAUCAAAUCAAAUUCAGAUUCUAUCAUUCAUGAGGGAAAUCUUGCCCAAUCAUAAUAUUGAGAUCUCACCUGAUUUUAUUUGUGUGAAAGAUUUUGAUAGAAUUUUACUUAUUCAAUACCACUAUAAAGUAGAUAGUACAAAAUUUUCAAACAAUAUAGAGUACAUCAAUAUUCCUUUUUAUGACUUUACAUUUCUUAAUUUCUAAUGUUAUACAAAGUUUUUAUGCUACAAAAAGUAGAUCAUCAAAUGUAUUUUUAUUGAAAUUAAGAAUUUUUUUUAUUAUGAAAAUCUCCCUUAUUAAAUGUAACAAAUAUUUUACUCUAUUAUUUUUACAAAUACUAGUCAAUGCUUGAAGAACAUUUAAUAAAAAAAUAUUUAUUAUUUUGAAUACAUAAAGAAAAAGAAUAUCCCAUACUAUAAUAAUAGGUCUUUAAAAUGAUUAAACACAUGCUUGAGACAACAUUUUUAUAUGCUAAUAAUGUGGGUUUGAGAAACAGCUUAGAAGUUAGAACUAGAAGGUGUUAGAAUAUUCUCUUAUGCUCUUAUUUAUUAAACUUGACAGCAACUCCUGUCUUUUCUUCCUUCUUCUUAGUUAUAACGCCUAUAUCAUCAUCAUUCCUCUCAUUGCACCAUAAAACAAAGAACAUAAAGGCCUUGCAGGUAAAUUGAGAUUUACCCAUUUCAAUUUUCCUCUAUAUGUUAUAUUUUUUUUUUAUCUUCAUUCUUAUUUGAAAAUUUUGAAAUCUGGAUUCAUUUUUUUCCUUCAAGGUUUUUAAACUUUUCUAUUUUAUUAUUGUGGGCUUUAAAGUGAUUAUUUUUCUUUCUAAAUUGUCUCUAUUUCUCUCUGUUGGAUGAGAAAUAUUGGUCAUCAUGGUGUAGAAGAUUUGAAUUUUAUGCUUCUUAGUUAUUUGUAGUCUAUUAGCGUGUUUGGUUUUGUGAGAGUUUAAUUCUGUUUUGUGUGGUGUAGAUUUAAUUGUACAUUGGAUAUAAGAGAGUAACAAAAUUUUAAAAUUCUGUUAUAAGUGCCUAGCCUGAGUGUAAAGGGUUGUUGCUUUGUUUUGCUUGUAUAAAAGGACAUACAUACAUCUUAAUAACAGAGUGUGUGUUGUUUUCAUUCUAUCAUUUUUCUGUUGCUAGUGCUAUUCCUAGUGUGUAGGUGUGCAAUUCUUUGCUUAAAAACAGUGAGUGAUACACGAGUGAAUGUGAGAGGGAGUGAAUUGCAUCUCUUGCAAUUGAGUGAGGAACAGUGUGUGUUCCAACAAUUGGUAUCUAGAGCAUUGGUUUCGAUAGAAGGGGCAAGAAUCGCUAACAAGAAAAGAAAGAAAGGUUCUUGGAGGUGUUCUUGAAGGAGUUCUUUGAUGGCUGCAAUAUCUGGCUCUAUUCCUGCAAAUCUACCAAUUCUCACAGGAAAGAACUAUGAAAAUUGGAAGAUUAUAUACCUGUGGGAGAGAGAGCAACAAAUGAACAAAAGGUUGUUGAUAGAGAAAAGGAAAAGAAAGAUUGCAAGACACUUUUCAUUUUGCACCAGAGUGUAGAUGCUGCUAACUUUGAAAAGAUAGCAAUGGCUCAAACCUCCAAAGAAGCAUGGGACAUUCUGCAGAAAUCUCAUGAUGGAGCUACAAAAACCAAGAAGAUCAAGCUGCAAACUCUGAGGAGACAAUAUGAACUACUACAAAUGGAAAAGAAUGAAUCAGUUGCUGAGUACAUCACAAAAGUGCAAACAGUGGUGAAUUCAAUGAAGGGCUAUGGAGAAAAGAUAAUUGUGCAAUCAGUUGUAGAGAAGGUGCUUAGAACCAUGCCACCCAAGUUCAACCAUAUUGUGGUAGCCAUUGAGGAAUCCAAAAAUCUUGAAGAGCUUAGCCUAGAGGAAUUGCAAGGAUCUUUGGAAUCUCAUGAGCAGAGAAUGAAUGAAAGGAUCAAUGAGAAGAAAAGUGAACAAGCCUUGCAAGCAUGGUCUAAUCCAAAGAAGCAUGAUGAUAGAUGGAAGAAAGAGAAAACUGAAGCAAAGAACAAUAAAUGGAGGGGAAAUCAGAACAGUGAUAAGGACCACAAGAAAAGAGGGGGAUCCAAUUCCCAAAACUCUUCAAAUAGAAAGAAGUUCGAUAAAAGAAGUAUUCAAUGCUUUAACUGUCAAAAGUUUGGGCACUUUGCUGAUGAGUGUUACAGCAAACCAAAUAACAAAAGAGAACCUAAAGGCGAUGAUGCAAAAUUGGCUCAAGAAGAAGAUGAUGACACUGAACAGGUACUCUUAAUGGUAACUACUCAAAUUGAAGGGGCAAGUGAUAAUUGUUGGUACCUAGACAUAGGUUGCUCAACUCAUAUGAUAGGAAGAAGAGAGUGGUUUCUCAACCUUGAUCAAUCUGUGAAGAGCCAAGUCAAAUUUGCUGAUGAUAGAACCUUGAGUGCUGAAGGAAUUGGGAAGGUCCUUAUCAAAACAAAGGAUGGAGGUCAGUCUUGCAUCACUGAUGUACUUUUUGUACCAGGUAUGAAAAGUAAUCUCCUCAGCUUAGGUCAAUUACUAGAAAAAGGCUUUAUGACUAAACUUGAAAACUAGAUGUUGAGAGUGUUUGAUAGAAAUCAAAAGCUCAUUUUGAAGUCCCCUCUUUCAAAAAAUAGAACAUUUAAAAUUGAGAUUGAUAUGAUAAAAAAGAAGUGUUUUGCCACUACAGUAAAUAGUGAAGAGUGGUUAUGGCAUUACAGAUUUGGCCAUUUAAAUUUUAGAGAUCUGAUUCAGCUAAACUUAAGAGAAAUGGUGCUGGGUUUGCCUCAGAUCAAACCUCCUAGUGAAGUAUGUGAUGGUUGUUUGCAGUGUAAGCAAUCAAGAAGCACUUUCAAACAAAAUGUACCAAUCAGGGCAAAGGAGAAACUUGAAGUGAUUUACUCUGAUGUGUGUGGCCCUAUGCAGACUGAAUCUCUUGGUGGAAACAGAUACUUCAUAUCCUUUAUUGAUGAAUUGACUAGGAAAGUAUGGGUUUACCUAAUAAGAAGGAAGAGUGAUGUCUUUGAAGUCUUUGAAAAGUUCAAAAAUAUGGCAGAAAAACAAAGUGACUCAUUGAUCAAGAUAUUGAGAACAGAUGGUGGUGGUGAAUAUGUUUCUGCAGAAUUUCGAGAAUUUUGUGAUCAGGAAGGCAUAAUUCAUGAAGUGACUCCUCCCUACACACCUCAACAUAAUGGAGCUGCAGAAAGAAAAAAUAGAACCAUAAUGAAUAUGGUAAGGAGCAUGUUGAAAGGCAAGAGUCUGCCCAAGUACUUGUGAGGAGAGGCAGUGUCUACAGCUGUCUUCAUCUUGAAUAGGAGUCCUUCAAAGAGAUUAGAAGGAAUAACACCUGAAGAAGCUUGGAGUGGUGCUAAACCAAAUGUGAGCCAUUUCAGAAUCAUUGGAUCACUUUGUUUUAGGCAUAUCCCAGAUCAAUUAAGAAGGAAGCUAGAUGAUAAAGGUGAACAAAUGAUCUUACUCAGAUAUCACUUAACUGGAGCUAUAAGCUGUUUGAUUCGAAGAGUAAGCAGAUAAUAAUGAGUAGGGAUGUGGUAUUUGAUGAAUCUAGAAGUUGGGACUAGGAGCAGAAUACUGAAAUGAAGGGACCUUCAAUAAUGAUAAGGUCAGAAGAGGAAGAAACAAGUGAAGGGAAUGGUAAAACCACUCAAAGAGAAGUGAGACCCCAGAGAAAUGCACCCAAACCAGCUAGAUUUCAAGGUUUUGAGAUGUUGACUGAUGCUGAUGUAAGUGCAGAUGGGAAUCUUGUACAUUUUGCUCUGUUUUCUAAAGCAGAACCAAUAAACUUUGAAGAUGCUAUGACUGAUCAGAGGUGGGUUGAAGUUAUGACAGAAGAGCUUAAAUCUAUUGAGAAAAAUCAAGUGUGGGAGCUGGUAUCUCAACCAAAAUCGAAGAAGCCCAUUGAUGUGAAGUGGAUCUAUAAGAUUAAGACAAAUCUAGAAGGCAAGGUGGUCAAGUAUAAAGCUAGACUUGUGGCUAGAGGAUUUUUACUGAAAGCUGGGAUUGACUACAGAGAGGUAUUUGCACCAGUUGCUAGAAUUGAGACUAUUAGAACAGUAGUGGCAAUUGCUAGCCUAAAUAAUUGGACAAUGCACCAACUAGAUGUGAAGUGUGCUUUCUUAAAUGGUCCUCUUGAUAAGGAGGUCUAUGUGACACAGCCACCUGGAUUCUCUAUAGCUGGCCAAGAGUCAAAGGUUCUUAAAUUGAGAAAAGCUCUUUAUGGACUUAAGCAAGCCCCAAGAGCUUGGAACAAGAAAAUUGAUGGUUUUAUGAUGAAGAUCGGCUUUGAUAAGUGUAGUUGUGAGUUUGGAGUCUAUGUAAGAUCCAAAUCAGUAGGUAAUGUCAUUAUUGUAUGCCUCUAUGUGGAUGAUUUGUUGAUCACUGGUGGUAAUGAAAGUGAGAUAGCAGAACUGAAAAGGGAAUUGAUGAGUGAGUUUGAAAUGACUGAUAUGGGGGUUCUAUCCUAUUUCCUUGGACUUGAAUUCAAGAAGACUGAGAGUGGUUUUUUGAUGCACCAGAGCAAGUAUGAAACAGAAAUAUUGAAGAGAUUCAACAUGGUUGGAUGUAAUUCGGCUGCAACACCGAUUGAGGCAGGUCUUGUACUUGAAAGGGAGGGCAAGGAAGACAAAGUUGAUGAAACUGAGUUCAAACAGAUUGUUGGGUUCUCUCAGGUACUUGUGUCAUUCAAGACCUGAUUUGGAAUUUUCUGUUGGACUAAUAAGUAGAUAUACGAAAAGACCCAGAAUUCCUCAUCUCCUAGCUGCUAAGAGGAUUCUAAGGUUCAUAAAAGGGACCAUCAAUACUGGAAUUCUAUUUCCAAAUAAAGAUAACAGCAACUCAGAGGAAUUAGUGGGAUAUACUGAUGCAGAUUGGGGAGGAGACAGAGAUGACAGAAAGAGUACUACAGGUUACAUAUUCAUGUAUGGUGCAGCACCAAUAUCGUGGUGUUCUAAGAAGCAAUCCAUAGUGGCUUUAUCAACAUGUGAAGCUGAGUAUGUUGCAGCUGCAAUGAGUGCUUGCCAAGCUGUCUAGUUGGACACAUUAUUACAGGAAUUAAAAAUCAAGGAGAGUGAUGGAGUGAAGCUUUUUGUGGAUAAUAAGUCAGCUAUAAGCUUGUCAAAGAAUCCAACCUCUCAUGGUAGAAGCAAACACAUAGAAACAAGGUUUCACUAUCUUAGGGAUCAAGUGAACAAAGAGAAAUUGAAAGUGGAGUAUUGCUGCACAUUUGAUCAACUUGCUGAUAUUUUAACCAAACCCCUCAAAGGGGAGAGGUUUAAAAUGUUAAGGGACAGAAUUGGCUUGAUGAACUUAGGAGAUCAGAAUUAAGGGAGGGUGUGAGAGUUUAAUUCUGUUUUGUGUGGUGUAGAUUUAAUUGUACAUUGGAUAUAAGAGAGUAACAAAAUUUUAAAAUUCUGUUAUAAGUGCCUAGCCUGAGUGUAAAGGGUUGUUGCUUUGUUUUGCUUGUAUAAAAGGACAUGCAUACAUCUUAAUAAUAGAGUGUGUGUUGUUUUCAUUCUAUCAUUUUUCUGUUGCUAGUGCUAUUCCUAGUGUGUAGGUGUGUAAUUCUUUGUUUAAAAACAGUGAGUGAUACGCGAGUGAAUGUGGGAGGGAGUGAAUUGCAUCUCUUGCAAUUGAGUGAGGAACAGUGUGUGUUCCAACAGGUUUCACAUUACCGACGUGAUUUUCAGGAAAUGUGAUUCCAUGAAGCUACUAGUUAUAACUUCUACAUAUCUCAGACAUGAUUUUCUAUUUCUCAAACUGAUUCCCAACACGCUAUAUAUUUCAUGUGAAAGAAAAAACACAUAAAUUAUUAUAAAGUGUGUAAUGUUUAUUAAACUUGGUUUUUGUGUAGCAUGAGAAGAUCUAAGUACAUGUUCGGUCCAUUUUUAAAAAUAAUAACAUUUUUAAAAAUAAACAGUAAAAAAUUAUGAUAUUUUAAAACCAAAUUCUGGUAUAGGUGGAUGGUUGUUAUUUUGGUGAGAGGGGUGUUUGUGUUUAUUUGCCUUUAUCUCUUAACGUCAAAUUUGUAAAUUUUUUCCCUUUUUUUUCAUCUGGAAAAUUUUAAUUUGUUGCCAAUAUGUAUUGACAAUAACUUAGUGCAGGUGACCCAAGCAUGAAGUUGGUAGAUAGACUGCCAAAGUUAGCUAACGAUUGUAAUGAAAAGUGGAACCACAUGCAUCUGAUAAAGGUGUCAACUCAGUUAUAUUUUACUUGCCUAUUUGAAACCUUACUGAAUUUUCGUUUUCUUCUCGAGUGUCAUUAAACUCUCCCAACUUUAGAAGAUUAAUUUGGGCAGAUGAGUGUGAAUGACUUGAUUUGUGUAUGUAAUUCAAAACAGAAUGCAGGUCUCACUUGUUUGCAUGUUCCUUUUUUAUGAAUCUCAAGUUCAUUAUUGAUGUAUUUUGUUGUAUUGGUGUGCUUUCUGCCAUCUGCUGAUUGAUUGUUUGAUUAAAUUUUAUUUCUUCUGCAUAAUGUGUGGCCAUCUUUGGUUUCCAUUUAUUCUUGAUUUUUGACAAUCUUACAUUUCUGUCAUACUUGUUUAGUCUUGUUUUGUUCUUCUUGGUCAUGAAUCGUUUAUUUUUAAGAACUCUAAAAACGACUAGACUACCUGAGAGAAAUCUAAUUGAUGUGCUAAAUACUUUGUUUUUUAAUCCAGUCCUGUUUAAAUAUGAUCAAAACUCACCUAAUGCCUUAUGGUUUCGGGUUAAGCACCAAGAUGGAUUACUCCACAGUACAUGUGGUACCCCUGCCUAUGUUGCUCCGGAAGUGAUAAACAGAAGGGGUUAUGAUGGAGCCAAAGCUGAUAUAUGGUCAUGUGGGGUGAUCUUGUAUGUUCUAUUGGCAGGGGAGAGUUCAAAUUUCCUAACUGGUUUGCACCAGAUGUACGCAGAUUGCUGUCGAAAAUCAUGGAAAGCUCUUGGUUCAAAAGGGGGCUAGAGAAGCCUACCAUUACUCGGAACGAAGACCAAGAACUGGCUCCUCUGGAUGCAUUAUUUGUGAAAAAAUUGUUUUAGUAUGUAAAAAAAUCUCAUAUCACAUUAAACUUUACAGUUAAGACUAAGAGAAAUUUAUAAAUAUUUGAUUUCUCAAUCUAGCAAGACUUUAUUUAAUAAUAACAAAAUCAUGACAGAAAUUCAAAGCGAAAUAUCAAAGAAUUUGACGUCAGAAUAAAAAUAUAAAACUCAAAUAGCGGUUUUGAUAGAGAAACUCAAAUACUAAUUUAAGAGUAAGAGUGUAUUUCAAUUUACUCCCUUCUAAACUCAAAUACAAAUAAAUUUAACUAAAUCCAAAUCUUUUCUGUUAAUUUUAUUUUUCAGCUUAAAAACAUAAUGCAUAAAUUAGAAAUAUGAUUAAUUGUUUUAUUCGUAUUAAAAUUAUUUUAAUUUUAAUAUAAUAUUUUAUAUUACUUUUCUUAUAUUUAUUAUGAAGUAAAAAUAUUUAAAAAUUAAAGUAAGAAAAUAAUGUCAUAAUAGAAAUAAAAUAAUUAAUAAUAUAAAAGGAAUGCAUUAUUAUCAGUAAAUCUUUUAUCAUUACAAAAAUGAAAGACAUGUAUUAAAUAAAUUUAUUAAUGUAUAAGACAUCUAAUUUCAUGAGGUUAGUUAAGUGAAAUCGGUUAUAGUUUUGUAUCUAACUAAUUCAAGCUUUAAGUUUAUAUAUUAAAGAUAAAAUAAGAAGAAAAUAUAAAAUGUUAGGAGCUGGUAUUUUUUAAAAUAUUAAUUUAAGUAACGUUUUAAAAAAUGUUAAAAACUACUAAAAAAUUUGUUUACCAAAUAGUCAAACAAGUUUUUUAGCUACUAAAGAAAGUCAGAAGUCAUUUGAAAUGUGUUGACAAACAUAUCUUUAAACAAGAUUGAAAAAAAACUAGGCAAUAUCCUUAAGCAACCAUUAAGCUAGAGGACUAAGAAACUAAAAAUUAAUUUCUUUAUUAGAAAAUACAGCAAAACAUUUCUUUACGAAUCUAACUAUAUUUUAAACUUGUGCAUUGUACCAAUAAUGAUUGACACAAGUAGUAAUGACUUGUAUUUCUUAAAUAAAUGAUCUAGAAUUUGAAUUUUGAUUAACUUUUAGGCAUAGAAUUAAAGAAAGAACACAUGUUAAUUGAUCCCUAAAAACAUAAUAUUAAUGAAUUAAAGAUUUCAAUGAAUUAAAUAUAAAAACAUAUAUGUCAAAGAUGUAUGUGGAAAGAAAAGUGAGUGAUUUUUACUAAAUAAAACCAAUAAAAAUAUAUAUUAAAAGUUUUGACAGGUAGAUAUCCCCAUAAUUUAAUAUUUAUAUUAAAAAAAAUAGGCUUCCAGGUAUGAAAAAUAGGACUCAGAGAGAAGGGGAGUGGCGGAUACAAGCCAGAUCUUGAGAAUGGUAAUUAGGAAAAAAGGAACCCAGACCCCCUCCCUUUCCUAAGGAUGAACUUAUUCUCAGCCUCUACACUCUCCUUACAAGCUAUCCUUUCCAUUAUGCCAACCUAUGUUCUUUUUCCACUUCAGCUAGUGCAACUUGUAUGGCGGAUUCUUUCUGCUGUCAUACACAAGCAGGUCUUGUUUCUAAGGCUCAUUUGUCCUUUCUUUUUCUAUUCCCCACCCCCUCUUUUCCCUAUAUUAAUAAGCGUAUUGUGCCAUAGAGAGAGAAAAUGUAGUAAGAUACGUAAAACACGUGAAGAUGACCAAAUACUGCAUGAGAGCUUUUUUUUAUUGUUGCAUUUAUAUCUUUGCAGAGUUGCAGAGGAAAGAGAAGCGCUUUGAGUAGUUUAGUCAGUUACAUUUAGGAAACUAACUCUAACAUCUUUUAACUAACUAACUAACUACUAAACAGAUUUCUAACUGAUUAAUAAGCUUCUGCUAAGAGCCCCCCCUCAAGCUGGGAAUGGAUGUUCAUCAUUCCCAGCUUGGAACAUAAACCUUGAAAAAUAGCAGGGGUGAGAGGCUUUGUGAAGAUGUCGGCAAGCUGCAUUGAAGAAGAAACUGGAAGAAGUUUUAACAAGCCUGCGUUCACUUUGUCUCGCACGAUAUGGCAGUCGAUCUCGAUGUGUUUAGUACGUUCGUGGAAAACUGGGUUUGAAGCUAUUUGAAUAGCGGAUUGAUUGUCACAAUAGAGUGUGGCAGGUUGAAGAAAAGGGACCCAAAAAUCGUGAAGAAGGUAGCUUAGCCAUUGAAGUUCACAUGUAGUGGAGGCCAAGGCUCGAUACUCUGCCUCAGAGGAGCUGCGAGAGACUGUAGAUUGCUUCUUGGAUCGCCAGGAAAUGAGAUAAUCACCCAGAUAAACUGAGAAGCCAGUGAUGGAGCAUCGUGUGUCGCGACAGCCUGUCCAAUCGGAGUCACUGAAUGCCUUGAGAGUGAGUGUACUGUGAGCAGCAAAGAAUAUGCCCGAACCAGGAGAUCCUUUGAGGUAGCGUAAGAUUCAAAAAGUAGCCUGAGAGUGUGUAGAAGUGGGAUUGGCCAUAUAUUGACUUAGUUGUUGAACUGCAUGAGUAAUAUUGGGUCGGGUGUUCGUAAGAUAUAUGAGGCGAUCGAUUAAUCAUCUGUAGGAAGAAGCAGAAGUUUCUGACAAUGGCGUUCCCAUGGAAGCACUCAAACGUGUAGAGUAAUCCAUGGGAGUAGAGGUAGGACGGGAACCAAGCAUACCUGAAUCUGAUAGAAUAUCCAGGGCAUAUUUACCCUGACAUAAGUGUAUGCCGUGACUUGAACGAGCAACCUCGAGUCCGAGGAAGAACUUCAGAAUACCGAGAUCCUUAAUGCUGAAAGUUUGAUCGAGAAACUUGGUAAAGUGAGUGAUAGACUUGAGGUUAUCUCCUGCCAAGAUGAUGUCGUCAACAUAAACAAGAAUAGCUGUUACAGUAUUAUCAUUGUUAGAGUAUAAGAAAAGUGAGUGGUCAACUGAAGAUUGACGAAAGCCUUGGGAGAAAAGGAAUGACGAAAGCCGUGUGAACCAUUUCCGACUUGCUUGUUUAAGUCCAUAUAAGGAACGUUGAAGGUGACAAAUGAGGUUGGGGUUAUCCACAACCAGUCCUGGUGGAAGCUUCAUAUAAACUUCUUCGUUAAGAUCCCCAUGAAGAAAAGCAUUGUUGACGUCGAGUUGUCUAAGGUGCCAGUUACAAAGAGCAGCAAGGGCUAGAAGCAUUUGAACAGUGGUGAGCUUGGCCACGGGGGAAAAAGUAUCGAGAAAAUCCAAACCUUCCUGUUGAGUGUAUCCUUUGGCUACUAGUCACGCUUUGUAUCUUUCAAUGGUUCCAUCCGCAUUGUGCUUGACUUUGUAAACCCAGCGACAUCCAAUGGCCUUUUUGUGUGGGGGAAGUGGAGUUAGAAUCCAAGUGUGGUUCUGUUGAAGAGCCUUUAACUCGACCUGCAUGGCUUUAAUCCAACAGUCAUAGCUAGAAGCCUCAGCAUAUGAAUUGGGUUUAGCUAUCGCGGUUAUAGACAUGAUGAAGUGUUUAUGGGAAUGAGACAAAUGAGAAUAAGAUAAGACAAAGUGGAGAGGGUACUUAACCUUGGUCGAGGAGGUAUCAGCAUGUGAAGUGAGAACGCGAUGAAAGUCCUGUAAGUAUGUGGGUGGAUGUCUCGUUCUCGUAGAACGACGUAAGCUGGGUGUCCAAGGAGGUGAGGAAGAUGAGUUGUCCUGAGUAGAAGAAGUAGGGGAGUUGGCAGGAGGUAUCGUGAGGUGGGUAGGAUUGUUUGGGUUGGCUGUGUGUGUCAUCAUAGUGUCAGGAAUUUGGGUGUUGCUAGAGAAGGGAAUUGACGAGAUAUGCGUAUCGGUAUUAUCGAAGUGUUGGGUUUCAUGUAAUAUUGGAAAGUGAUCCUCAUAAAAAAACAAUAUUACGAGAAGCAGUUAUGUUAUGAGAAUGGAGAUUAUAAACGAGAUACCCUUUUGUAUGUGGUUUACAACCAAGAAAUAUGCAAGGAUGAGCUCGAGGAUCAAGUUUUUGUCGAUGAUUCUGAAGGGUACUAACGUAACAUAAGCACCCAAAAACACGGAGAUUAGAGAUAUCGCAGGGUUGCACAUAUAAUUUUUCAUAAGGAGAUAUAUCUUUCAAAAAAGGGGUAGGUAUACGACUUAUGAGGUAUGCAGCAUGAAGCAAUGCAAAACACCAGAAAUUUAGUGGAAGUUGUGCUUGAUAUAAGAGUGCUCGUGUGACAUUCAAGAGAUGUUGAUGCUUUCUCUCGGCAAUGCCAUUUUGCUCAGGCGUUUCGACACAAGUAGUUUGAUGGAUUAUACCCUUUCGAGCAUAGAAAUCAUGCAUGAGAAAUUCAGCUCCAUUAUCGCUUUGUAGAAUUUUAACUUUACUAUCAAAUUGAGUUUCAACAUAUGCAAUGAAAUCAGUAAUGAUUUUACGUGUUUCGGCUUUUGUGUGCAUGAGAUGAGUCCAUGUAUAUCGGGAGAAGUCAUCUAUGAUGGUUAAGAAAUAUCGGUGCCCAUAAAGGGUUGUUAUGGAGCAUGGCCCCCAAAUAUCAAUAUGUAAAAGCUCAAAUUUGUUUGAUGCAUGAAAGGUGCUAGAAGAGAAAAGUAAUCUCUUAUGCUUUGCAUAAUGACAUGUAUUACAUAUGAAGUUUUUGUUGUUGUUCAAAAACGGAUAAUAGGACUGCAUGGCUUGUAAUCUUUCGAGGGAAGGAUGGCCCAUACGAAAGUGCCACAGAUUUAUAGGAAGGACUUUACAUUUUGGGUGUGUAAUAGUGGAACAUAUGGUGUGUGUUUUUUAUGCUUCGGGGGUGAAUUGAUAGAGACCGCGACUCACUUCAGCUGUACCAAUCCUCACCUUGGUAUUGGUAUCCUGUAGAAUACAAAUAUUUGAUGAAAAUAUUAAUUUGCAAUUAGUAGAAGACACAAGCUUUGAUAUGGAUAUUAAGUUGAAAGUAAAAGAUGGCACGUAUAAGACAUCAUUUAGUGUAAUGAAUGCAGAAAGUUGUAUUGUGCCUGAGUGGGUAGCAUAGACAAGAUGACCAUUUGGUAGUUUAACUGUGAUGGGAUUAAUUUGAUGAUAUGAGUGAAAAUUUGUUAGAGAGGAGGAAACAUGAUCAGUGGCUCCUGAAUCUAAGAUCCAGGAGGUAGAAUUGGCUUUUUCGCAAGAUAGAAUUAUACCUGUUGCAUCGUUAUUGGAACAAGAUGAAAUAAAGGCGACCUAUGGCUUGAUGGGUGCUGAGUUUCCGGCCGAUGGCUGUUGUAUUAAAGCUAGCAGUGCCUUGUAUUGCUCCGGUGAGAAACAAACCAGUUCUUGAGAUUCUUGGGGUAGUAUCUGGUCAUCUGUGGCUUUUCCUUCUACUGCCACUACAUUGUUAGCUAUUGCUUUGCCAUUGUUGAAUUUGAAUCCUGGGGGAUACCCUUGUUUCUUGUAGCAAACAUCAAUUGUGUGUCCAAGUUUUCUGCAGUAGGCACAUGUCUUUCUUGUGUUGUAUCUUUUCCCUUUCCCAUCGUAAUUCUGAGGUAGUCCGUGCUUCUUAUAACAAACGCUUUCAUUAUGGUCAAUGCGUCCACCGAAUUCACAAACACUUUUGACAGCGUUAAUGGAAGGUCCCUCUUUAGUUUCGAGAUUAAAGCUUGAUAAAGAGUUGUUACCUGUAAGUUGUCUUUCCUGCUGUGCCACGUACGAGAAGAUUUUCGGUAUUGUGGGUAUUGGGUCCAUGAGCAACACAUGAGAACAUAUAUUGCUAUACUGUUCGUUCAACCCUUGCAGGAACUGCAUAGCUCGGUCUUCUCGCUUUCGUUGAGCUAUGGUGGUGAGUACUAAGCAAGUACACUUGACAGUGCAUGAACAUAUGGGAUCAGGUAUGAAGUUUUCGAUCUCGUCCCAUAUGACUCGCAGCUUUGUAAAAUACUCCGUAAUAGAAAGAGAUCCUUGCUUGAUGGAUGAAGCUUCUUGUUGGAGUUCAGAAACUCUCAAAAGGUCCCCUUGUGCGUAUCGAGAUUUCAAGUCAUUCCAAAUUUCUUCCGCUUUGUCCAUCCACAAGACACUUUGUCUAAUGGAGAUGGAUACUGAAUGAACUAACCAGGAUACCACCAUGUUGUUGCAGCGACGCCAUGCCCCGUAAGUUCUAUCAGACUUCAAUGGCUCGGGUGCUUUUCCGUUUACGAAUUCUACUUUGUUCUUGGCGCUCAAUGCCGUUAUCAUGUACCUACUCCAUGAAUGGUAAUUGCUGGAAUCUAAAGCUGGAGAAACUAGUGCAACAGCUGGGUUCUCACUUGGGUGGAGAUAGAGAUAGCUUUUUGAGUUUAGUAGUAACUAGUUCAUGGUGAGAAAACGAUGAAAAAGGCAAACUCGUGAGCGUAAAGACGGUGGCACAACAGAACUCUUCACAAGAAGAGCUCUGAUACCAUAUUAAUAAGCAUAUUGUGCCAUAGAGAGAGAAAAUGUAGUAAGCUACGUAAAACACGUGAAGAUGACCAAAUACUGCAUGAGAGCUUUUUUUUAUUGUUGCAUUUAUUAUGCAUUUAUAUCUUUGCAGAGUUGCUGAGGAAAGAGAAGCGCUUUGAGUAGUUUAGUCAGUUACAUUUAGGAAACUAACUCUAACAUCUUUUAACUAACUAACUAACUACUAAACAGAUUUCUAACUGAUUAAUAAGCUUCGACUAAGACCCUAUCCUUUUAUAUACCUUCAUUAUGGACCUAUCAAGUUCUAACCAGGAAAAUUCCAAAAACAUUUCUAACCCAAAUCUCCAAAUUCACAUGAUGUCAAAUCAGAAACAAACUAAAUAAAUAAGAAAAUGUGAUUAAAAAUAAUAUAUAACACUACAGAGAAAAAAAUCAGAAAAUUAUUUUUCCAUGCAUACUAUAAAGAGAUUACAAAGUCAGAAAAUAUAUAUUUUCAUGGGAGAAAUGUUCAUGUGAACACAAUAAUUACCUUGACUCCAUAUAGUGACAUACUUUUUCAAGAGAAUGACUUGAGUAUUUCCCAGCUCUAGCUUUUUCUUCAAUUUUAUUUGCAAAACUGUUGGGAUUUGAAUCAGUGGGAACUUGGGAAGACUGGAAAAGCCAAAAACGGCACCACAAGUGAUAGCGUAGCAAAGGAACCAGUUGCAGAAACAGAGGAUGAGAAUGCAGCAAGCAAGCAACAGAAGCAAGGGUGCAAUUAAAAAACAAGACCAAGAGAGCAAUUACAAGGCCCACUUACCUCAAGGAUUACGUGUGAAGCAAGCAGGUGCACCAUAUCUAGAUUGGAAGAAUGAUAUUGGUCGUGUAGGGGUAGACAAACUUAACCAUUUCCUGAUAUUCUGUAGCACAAAAAGACAAAUUCUAUUAUUGAGAAAUCAGUAUAAAUAAUACUAUGUAAUAACAGCAUCAAUCAAUGGAAUAUACAACUCUUCCUUCCCUUAUUCUUUUCUCUGUGGAGGCCCUGGUCCUCGAAAACCAGCUUCUAUCUUCUUCCCUAUCAACAAGUAUAUAGCAUAUAUAAUUAUGUAUGAUAAUUUUAAGAAAAUAAACAACACUUAUAUAAAAUAUAUACAAUGGUAAAAUACAAAAAAAAAAUAUCAUAGCUGCAUUUCCAGAAGUAUCUUAUGGAAUCUAGAUUACUGAGGAAGAGAAAUUAAAAACUUGAAAAAAGAAUUAAAAUGAUAUUAAAAUCUUCAUUAUUCUAUUAAAAAUAACAGUAAAAUAAAGAAAUUCUAAUCAUUCUUAGUUAAAUUUGACAAUCAAUUAAACCCAAUUUUCACAGUUAUCAAGUAGCAAAAGUUUUUGUUGCGAAAGCGUCAAGAGUGGUAGUGAAAUUAAAUAUCGUUGCAAAACUUUUCGCAACAUAUGAUAUUAUAGUGGACUGCAACGGCAAUUUUCUCACUAGCAAAAGUAAGGGAUUAACGAAUUGUUUAUGGUACGACAGUUAGUCAUAAUGAAGGGACAACUAACAUAAACUUAAUUGCACGACAACAUUUGCUGGAUAUGAUUGAACAUUUUGAUACAACAUAAAGACCUCGACUUGUAAAAAUUGAAGGGGGGCGUGCUUCAAGCACAAAUAAAAAGCUCUCAUUCUGACCAAAGGAGACAUGUUAGACAAUACACUUCAUGUGAGUGCUCUAGAUUGAAGUAGCCUCCAUUUUGAGGAAGCAUUUUUCCGGAACAUGUUUGUUGUCUUUGUAUUGUUCUUUAGAAUUAAAGUCUAUUAUGCCAGUAGUGCAUAUAGUUUGUCUCAAGUAAAUCACUAAAGAUUGAACUUGUUUCAUAGUAUAUUAAUUUGAUAGUUAUGUUUCUUAAGUGAGAAAAUAUUGAGAUUCUUAGAGCAUCUUUGGUUGAAGAAUCCAUUUUGGAUUCUUGGAUUAUUUUUUAUGGGUCAUAUGAUGCUAUAUAGAAUGCAACAACUUCUAUCAUUUUUUGCUCCAGUGAUAAAAUUCAAUUUGAAUUCUUAGAUUUUACUUGCACAGAAAAAAGAGGAGUUUUUAGGAGUUCUUCUCCUAAAAUCCAACCUUCAUCAUGAAAUACUCUUGAAUAAGAAUAAUGUUAGUUUUAGUACACACGGGUUCUUGAGCUCAAUCAAGAACCCCAUUAAAGAUGCUUUUAGGCUUUUGGCAAACAAUACAUGUUGUGACUUACCCAUUUAGGUAGGCUCCAAGAUAGACAUCGCGUUUCGCACUUAACUAUUAAUUAUCAUAGUUAAUUAUCCUUGGGGUUGGAGGGUGGAACAAGAUUUCGCAUCUCGCAUCUAACUAUAUUGAAUAAGUCUGCAUCAACUUUCAUUUGAAUUUUUAUAACGUAUUUGAUAUAUCAUAAAUCUUUGAAUUGUAAUAAAAUGAUGUUAAGUAACUGUUCAGGAAAUUAAAUAAAUAAUUAAAAUGUAUUCAAGUCGAUAAAUAAUAUAGGAGCAGUUUUCACUUGAUAAACAAUUGAAGAGGAAAGAAGGCUACUUGCUCUCUGCCAGGAGUCUCACAGUUUUUUGGGGAGAGGGAGACACUCCUAGGUAUUGGGGGUGGACUGUUCCAGGGGUCAGGUAAUUAUUUCUUAUUUUCUAAUUAAUUGAUUAGUUAAUUGUGUCAAUAUUUUUAUUUGGUUUAAUUACUCCUUUCCUUGAAUUCGUAUAUGUUGAUUUUUUAAAAUAAAAAUAUUAUUUAAGAGAUAUAAAUAACUUUCACUAUUAGAAAAUACACUUUCAACAUCGGUUAUUUAGAACAUUCUACAUCGAUUCUAAAACCGAUGUUGAAAGUGACGAUGUUGAAUGUAUGAAUGUUAACAUCGGUUUUGGAGAACCGAUGUUAACAUACAUAUGACAACAUCGGUUCUCUAAAUAACCGAUGUUAAAAACAAUGAACAACAGCAAAAAAAGUGUACGCAUGAUGAAUGUUGACAUCAGUUUUCCAGUAAAACCGAUGUUAAUAUGUUAGUUUAACAUCGGUUGUUUAGAAUAACCGAUGUUAAUGUAUGCCCUUAACAUCCGUUUUUCUAGAAAACCGAUGUCAACGUUGAUGAUGCUUACACUUAUUUGGUGUAGUUCUUUGUGUAUAACAUCGGUUAAUUAUAAAUAACCGAUGUUACUAUUCAAAUAUUCACAUCGGUUAUUUAUAAUUAACCGAUGUUAAUGUACAAUAGUUGACAUCAGUUAUCCAUAGAUAACCGAUGUUAAAAUACAAAUGCUGACAUCGGUUAUACACAAAAAACCGAUGUUAAUAUACAAACGUUAACAUUGGUUUUCAAUUAUAACCGAUGUUGGUUAUGAUAUUAACAUCGGUUUUUGUUAAUAACCGAUGUUGUUUUCAAUUUUUUUUAUAUAUAUACUUUCUGUUUUUACAGUAAACCCAAAAUUGUACCUGUCAAAUGCAAUUUCAUGAGGCCCAAUUCACAGCAAAUAAACAUUUUAUUCUGCUUUCAAGCAGUUUUAAUGAUAAUAAACAUCAAAUAAUUGAUUUAUAUAUUAUAAAGAACAAUCAACAAAUGAAUUCAAUGUUCGUGUUACAUAGAAAAUGUAAAAAAUGUCAAAAAUGUUAAAAAAUGUCCCUAAAUCCUAGGCCUGAUCUCUAACUCGGAGAUAAAACUGUGUCCACUGAAUCCGCAAUGCUUUUAAUCUCUCAGGCUCCAAUGGUCUAGGGUCGUUAAAAUACUGCAUGAUUAAAUAAAUCAUAUUAAGUUAAUAAUGUAAUACAAAUUAUAAAUAAAUUGAUUUUCUUUGAAAUAAACUUACCGCUUCCCAAUUAUUUCUAAAACUUACUAAAAUGAUGGUGGACAUCCAGUGCAUGACAUAGUAGCCGCACUCAAUAGUUCCUUUUUGUCUAUUACACUAAAUACAUAAUGAAAUUUGGAUAUUAAUUAAAUAACUAGUGUACAGACACAUAAAGAAAUAUAUAUAAGUGGAAGUUUUAUGUAAAUGACGUACCUUGACGACAAUCCACCUAGCAGGAGCCUUUGAUUUAGGCUGUGGAGCAUCAUCAAGACCCUUGAUAGCACUGUUCCAUAUGAGUAACAAUUAAAAACUGGUGUUGUACAUUGAGGUAUUACAAUGCAAAUGUAUUGAAAAGAACACUAACCUAUUAAUAAUCCCCUUAAGGUAGUUGUCUGGCCUGUUAUGCAAUGAACAAAACCAGACAACUAAGUGUUCCUUGGGCAGGAUGACCACCAUCUGCCAAUGUCCGCUGCAGUGGAACCUAAAAUGGGUUAGUACAUUAGUAAACAUUAAUUAAAUUUUGUUAUUUUGUGACUUACCCAUUUAGGUAGGCUCCAAGAUAGACAUCGCAUUGUGAACUCUGCAUCCAACUCUUUAUGUAACUUUCAGAUUCAAACUGCGAUUGCCCAGACCUCUGAAUGGACUGAGGCUCGAGGAAUCCAUAGAUAUCAGAAUUCCCCGCUCGCAUACAUGUUUCAGUGAGAUGCUUGUUUAUGUUAAGUCAAAGUUAAAUAUUUAUGAAUUGAAAGCCAUAACUUAGGUAAAUAAAAGCCUUUUAUAUAAAGACUUACAGAAUCCACAACUGUAACACUGAUAUGCUGAGACAUUGACCACUGUGUGCUAUUUCGGAGGGGUCUUCGUGCUUUAUGUACAGGGGGAAAUCUGGAUUAACGAUCCCGAACAUGGUGGCAUCCCAUCUAACCUGAUAAGGCCUCAAGAAAAGCUCUGGGAUGGUCAAUGUCAUCAGAUAAAGUGGAUCAUCGACCUCCGGAUCGGGCUUCGGAGGUGGUUUUGGCGGAGACACAGCUACCUGUUCAUGAAACAGUUAAAUAGCCAAAUUUAAGGCACGCUUAAUGAAUUAAUUUAAAAAGAAGAAACAUAUAGUAAGGACAAUAAGUACCUGGUGUGGUAAAGACUUGAUCAGAUGUGUCAGCCAAGCAAGGAAGGUGUGAAGUGCCUGCCCCACUAAGGAAACCUCAGCAGUGGGUACAGGAACUGGAGCAUCUGCAUCUUUAACCUCGUCCACACUCACCUUUACUUGGCCAGGCAACAAAGGAGUGUUAUGAACAAGAGUGGAUCCCUCAUAAACUCUCCCCACGGCAACCAGGCGGGCAGGAUCUGCUUCUAUGUACAAGCCGCACCUGUCAGAGUCACCCAUCUCAGGAUCGUUUCCCGAGGGAUCAACACAACUCCCCUUUGUGCUCACCCAAGGAUCGGAGGGACCAGGACCAACCAGAGGCUCAGAAGGUGCUUGAGAUUGCAUCUGUGACUGAAGCUGGCUGAAGGAUGCCAUGACAUGUCUCGUCACUUUCUCUGUGAUGGACUCCUCUAGCUGGUCCCUGAUCUGCUGGGUCAGCUGCUGUAAUUCGUCAGGAGGCAGGGAGGAAGCGCUUCGGGACGUCCGUGGAGCCGAUCCAAAGUAUUGCUUGAUGGUUACACCGGCUCCAGCAGCACGGACACAUCCAGGGUGCUCUGGACAUCCAAUAGCAGCGGCCAGAACAUCCUGACGUCCAUGGGGGACGAACGAUCCCUGUGUGGCCUGCUCCUCAAACGAAUCCUGCACAAAAAACACACAGUGGUACAUGGCAUUCUCAAAAUAUUCAAACAUAAUUGUAAUGGUUAGUUGAAAAUGACUUACAAUCUUCUCAGCGAUUUCCUUUGCGGCCUCAGUCGUCAUCUCCCCUGUCUUCUUCGUGCGGGCCAUCUUCCACUUCACGUGGCGUCUGACCGGGGAUGGAGGGUCGAUGACGCCAUCAACGCUUCCUGACUGUGCAGCUUCCUGUAGCUUCUUCUUGGUCUUCUCAGCCAGGAGCUUCUGCUCCAAAUAAUCAUAACCCCCACGAGACAAAAUGUGGGGGGCAGUAUUCUGCUUCUGGAUGACCUGUGCCUUCAUGCGCACAUCCUGAAAAAUUAAACAAUAAUGUUUGAAAUGGGUAGAAUAAAGUAUAACAACAUCAUGUUUAAUAUGAAAAACAACUUAAAUGGCAAAGGAACAUACCUCCCAAGAAGGGUCUCUGCGAGUCUGGCAAAACUGGGCCCACUUUUCCUUGCUGAUGUCGUAUUUGUCACAGACAGUGUCAUUGACACCGUCCUGAUCGACUGCAAGGGCUCAUUUCCUCGUGAGGUCUGAUUUAAACUGCCUCCAUCUCUCCCCCACGGUCUGUAGUAACUUCCUUUUCGUCCUAUUGUCAGAAGCCUCUGGGAUAUCAAAUUCCGCCUGACAACAUGAAACAAAGUUUAUUUGUUACAAUAAUGAAAUUUUUUGGCUAUUAAUUACACACAAUCAAAUAAGAAAAGAGAAAUACCUGAAUAUCCUCCCAAAUCAGGUCCUUCUAAGCAGUAGGGACCUCCUUCCAGUUCUCGUAGGUGAUGUCCACCUUAUCACGUGCCACAAUCCCCAAAUAUGUUCUUAAUUUCUUCUUGUGGGGACCGUCGGCCUUCCCUGUAGUAGGAUCAACAUGCACCACUGGUCUCUCAACACCAGGUGGUCUAGUGGACAACGAUCGUAGGCGUGAGGCUUUGCGUGUCCGCUUCACGGCAGACGUCGAAGCCGAUGCAUCCAAAGUAGGAGGAGGACGAGGAGGAGGAGGAGGAGGACGAGUAGUGGAGGUAGGUGGAGAACCCAUGAUCUUUUAUACAAUAACAUACGAAAUUGGAUUAAUGAAAAGAGGAUUAGUGAUAAGUUUUUUUUGGAAGGAAAAAGUAUAACAUUAUUAAACAAAACCCCACCACAUAAGGAGACAAGACAAAUUAACCAAAGGACUCUGAAAGAUAGGUAGUUGUGCUUUUUAAUUGUGAUUUCAUCCAUGUUUUCUUUGAUAUUGAUUUUCUUAGGACUUCAUCCAUGUUUUCACAGCAUUUGAUUUUCUUUUUUGCAGAAAAGAAAGAGGGGAACGAGCAACAAUUUGAAGGUUGUACAUUCAGGAACUAAAGAAUUCAUAAUAGCUAGUAAUAAGAGGGAUUUGUUUUUGGGAUUUUCUGAGCACCAAGAACGGCUACGCAAGAAGCUUGCACUUGAGAAGGAAAGGAUAUUUGCAGCUAAUGAACAAGUUUCUUAACUAUUUGUCCUGCAGAUUUUACUGUUUUUUUUUCUUAUAUGUAAAUAUAAAUAAUAUAAGGCUAUGCCAUAGGGACAUGGUCAUUUUUACCCCUAACAAUCUUAGAAGUAAAUAUAGACCAUGUUUUUAUGGAAUACCCUUAUACCAUUUAUAUUUACAUAUUAGCAAAAAGAAACAGUAAAAUCUUAAGGACAAAUAGUUAAGAAACUCGUUCAUUAGUUGCAAAUAUCCUUCCCUCCUCAAGUGCAAACUUCUUGCGUAGCCGCUCUUGGUGCUCAGAAAAUCCCAAAAACAAAUUCCUCUUAUUACUAGCUAUUUUGAAUUCUUUAGUUCCUGAAUAUACAACCUUCAAAUUGUUGCUCGUUCCUCUCUUUGAGAAUGAGGAGGAUCUUCAUAAGACUUCAUCCAGCUAAUGUUUGUCGGCAGUUUCAUCAUCCACCACCCUUUUCUUCUGUGCCUUCUCACGUUCAUUGUUGUUAAACCCAUAUUUAUGCCUUCUUCCCUUCAUGUCUUGUUUUAUCACAACUUUAGUUGAAUCUCCCAUCUUCAGCAUAGUUGAAUCUCUUGUCUUAUUGUCCAAUGCCACAUUUUGAUGGCCUGUAUCUCUUUUGUUCGUAUGUUCUACUGCUUCAGCUUCACAAUGCAUAGAGCAAUCAAAAUUUUCCAGUCAUCACCAAAGGCUUCUGCAUCAGCGUUGACGCUCUCCACCCUCUUCGGUUUAUGCUUCUGUGUUUUCUUCCAUGCUUCCUCCUUAUAAUUCUCAGAUUUAUUGGAGGUCCCACUAGAAGGAUCAGCACCAAUCUGUGCCUGUUCCUCCUCUACCAGCUCAAUAUCUUUCGUUUCACCUUUGCUUUUGAAAACUACACUAUAAUUUACAAAACAAAAGUUGAAAGGAAAGAUAUUGACCUGAUAGACGAGGAAGAAGCACAGAUUGGUGGUGAUCGUUCUAGUGCAACCUCGAAUAAAGCUGAGAUUUAUAACGAGAAGGCACGGAAGAAAACACAGAAGCAUAAACCAAAGAGGGUGGAGAGUGUCAAUGCUGAUGCAGAAGCCUUUGGUGAUCACUGGAAAAUUCUGAUUGCUUUAUGCAUUCUGAAGCUGAAGCACUAGAACAUACGAAGAAAAGAGAUACAGGCCAUCAAAGUGUGUCAUUGGACAAUGAGACAGGAGAUUCAACUAUGCUGAAGAUGGGAGAUUCAGCUAAAGUUGUGAUAAAACAAGACAUGAAGGGAAGAUAGCAUAAAUAUGGGUUUAACAACAAUGAACGUGAGAAGCCAGAGAAGAAAAGGCUGGUGGAUGAUGAAACUGGCGACAAACAUGAGCUGGAUGAAGUCCUAAGGAGGCAAAUUGAAACAAAAAACCGAUGCCUCAAUCAGAGAAAAAUGCAGUUGUCACUUACUAGGUUUGGUGACCUCUGUCCCUGCAGAAAAUUACAUUAGCCGAUGUUAAUCAAUUCUCCUUCAUCAUGAUCAUUUCGAUUUGCAUGAACGUCGUCAGCUUCUUCUUCUCCGACAACGUUACCAGUGAUUUGAGCGGUCAAAGGACUAACAUAGGUGUCCAUGUAUGAAUCAUCAUCUUCUACAUUAACACCAACUAUUUUGCCCUGUAGAACCACGCACCACCUUUCAUCACAAGGGUCUUGCACGUAAAAUACUUGUCUAGCUUGUUCUGCCAUGAUGAAAGGGUCAUUGUGGUAACCAAGUUUCUUUAGAUCUACCAGGGUAAAUCCUAUAUCAUCGGUGCGCACACCGGUGUUGCUGUCAACCCAUUUACAUUUGAAAACACAUACUGUAAAUUUCACAUAAUUAAGCUCCCAAAUUUCAUCAAUGAACCCAAAGUAAGGGAUGGAAGCUACACAGGGAUUGGCGUCAUUGACACUUGCAAAGUGUUGAGAUUCAGCCCUUAGGGUGACCCCGCUGUUCUGCAUUGUACUUUUGUCAUCUUGUGCUUUUGUGUAAAAUGAAUACCUGUUUAUGUCGUAUCCUUGCCAGGUUAUAACAUUUCUUUUAGGCCCAUCUGCUAGUUUUCUUAAUGUUUCUGAAGCAUUCUCAUCUGCAAAGAUUGUAUCUUUAAACCAAUCACAGAAAGUUUUGUUAUGCUUUUUCAACGCCCAAUUCUUUGACAUUUUUGGAUUAUUCUGUUUGACUAAAGCUUCAUGCUUAACUAUGUAUGGAAAAACUUCAUUACUGUUGUUCAAGACAUACAAGUGAGCUUGUAACAAAUCUUCUACAGUUGGAGUGAUCACCUACAGUCCUCUUGAACUCUUACCACCCACUCUGUCAUCAUGCCGACACUCAGGAAGCCCAACAGCUUUAGCCUUCUCUAAGUAUUCUGAACAAAAUUCAAUGGCUUCUUCUACAAUGUACUUCUCAAUAAUAGAUGCUUCCGAAUGAUAUAGAUUCUUUGUAUACCCUUUUAAGAUCUUCAUGUAUCGCUCAACCAGGUACAUCCACCGUAGAUAAACAGGACCACAACAUUUGAUUUCUCUGACCAGAUGCUCAAUCAAGUGAAUCAUGAUGUCAAAGAAAGCAGGGGGAAAAUACAUCUCCAACUGGCACAGUAUAAUUGCGGCCUCAUUUUCCAACUCAUCAAACAUUACUGGAUCAAUCACUUUGCUACAUAUAGCAUGGAAGAAAAAGCACAGGCGAGUUAUCGUGAACUUGACUUUGUUUGGCAAGAUGUCUCGUAUAGCCACGGCUAACAAUUGUUGCAUGAGCACGUGACAAUCAUGAGACUUUAACCCUACAAGCUUAAGCUCCUUCAACUGUACAAGGCUCUUAAUAUUUGAAGAGUAUCCUUGUGGAACCUUCACCCGACGAAGACACUGACAAAAACUUAUCUUCUCCUUCUUGGACAAAGUAUGGCAGGCUGGGGGCAAGUAAAUUUUCUUCCCAUCAGACCUUGGAUGCAACUGUGAUCUUAUACCCAUAUCAGCUAGAUCUUGACGAGUAUUCAAGCCAUCCAUCGUCUUGCCUUGAAUGUUAAGGAGCGUCCCAAUCACACUGUCACAAACAUUUUUCUCCACAUGCAUAACAUCAAUACAAUGUCUAACGUCAAGAUCACACCAGUACGGAAGAUCAAAGAAAAUGGACCUCUUCUUCCAUAUGCAACUCUGACUUUUAUCUUUCUUUUGGGUCUUCCCAAAUACAGUGUUCAGGUGUUGAACCCACUGAUAUACCUGCUCACCAGUGAACGGUAUCAGCGCAAUAUCAUGCUCUUGACUUCCAUUAAAAGCUUUUCUCAGUCGUCUGUAAGGAUGAUUGGGUGUUAGAAAGUGGCGGUGCCUACUGUAGACUGUUUUUCUCCCAUGUUUCAGUUGUGUGUAACUUGUAUUUUCUUCACAGAUGGGGCAUGCAUGAUGACCCUUAACAUUGUAACCGCUGAGAUUCCCAUAUGCUGGGAAGUCAUUAAUGGUACAAAAAAGCAUUGCACGCAUUUCAAACGUCUCCUUGCGAAACGCAUCAAACACUACAACCCCCUCGUCCCACAACUUUCUCAGAUCUUUAACCAACGGACUUAGAUAAACAUCAAUGUCAUUUCUGGCUGUCUUGGGCCUGAUAUCAUCAUAGACAACAUCAUGUAUUUUCGCUUCAUGCACAACCAAGGAGGCAAAUUGUAAAUUACUAGCAGAACUGGUCAUGAACUGUGUUGAGUGCUUAAGGUGCCAUAUGGAUUCAUUCCAUCACUAGCUAGUCCAAGUCUAAGAUUUCUUGGCUCAUUCCCGAAAUCCGGAUACAAACCAUCAAUCUUCUUCCACUGGGAGCAAUCAGCCGGAUGACGGACCAUUCCAUCAGAAAUCCUUCCAUUUGCAUGCCAUGUAAGGUCUUUUGCAUCGUCCUUGUUAGCAAACAGACGCUUAAACCUUGGAAUGAUUGGAAGAUACCACAAAACCUUCGCUGGGGGGCCCUUGUUGGAGUUUUCAUCAGAAUUGCUUUCCUCUUCAUCCUUCACUUUGUACUAUGAAGUCCCACAGACAGGGCAUUUGGACAUUUCUUGGAAUUCAUGCCUGUAGAGUAUGCAAUCAUUGGGGCAAGCAUGAAUCUUCUGAUACUCUAUACCCAUGGGACACAAUAUCUUCUUCGCCUUAUAGUAACUUUUAGGUAGCGUGUUGUCCUCUGGAAGCAGAUUGUGCACUACAUCAAGCAGUGAGGUGAAACUUUUGUCACUCCACCCAUACCUGGCCUUCACAUUAACCAGACUUAACACCGUAGACAACAGGGUUAUGGAAUUCUUGCACCCCGUAUACAAAGGCUUCUUUGAAUCACUCUGCAAUCCUUCAUACACAGGGGAGUGUGCUUCUUGAAAACACUCUUGUCCAAGGUUACGAAUCAUGUCUUCCAAGCGAUCUCCCAUUUCUACAUCAAACGGUUCAGAUUGGGACCCAGUAUGCAUGUCAGUCACUUCACCAUGCCAUAUCCACGUCGUGUAAUUCUUCUUCAUCCCAUCACACAAUAGAUGGUCCCGUAUGUCGUCAAGUAGUUGUCGUCUUCCAUUCAAACAGUUGAUGCAAGGACAAUAAUAUAUUCCUUUUUCAUUCGGUCGACCUCUUUCUAAAGCAAAUUGUAAAAACUGCUCGACGCCAUCCUCAUAUGCUGGGCUCAUGCGACUUUGAUUGAUCCAACUUCGAUCCAUCUAAGCAAAUCCAUGCAUGCAAAUCUCACUUUUUUAUUUAUAGGUGUGGCCCUAUCCCAUUUAGGAAGAUUGUCUUUUAUGUUAGCCUCAAAUGUCAUGGUUAGCAUUAUUUUGAACAAUUUGAGUAAAUUUUGGCAGCAUUUCGCAUUGGUCUCCAAGUACACGACAUGACAUCGGUGAAACGAAUUUCACGAUAAUCAAGUAUGCACUCAGAGAACAACUUGAAAUGCAUUCAACCGAAAUUUCAUCAAAUUAAUCAAAAUAAUAAUAACCUGACCGAAUGAGUCUAACAUAAAAAUACAAGUCUCCCCAAACUGUCCAAACGGACAAUUCAAGACUAAAUACAAUGACUAAUGCAAACUAUCCGCAAGAAUCAUUGCAUUCAGUCUCAAACGGGAAUCUACGGUUCACUCAACAUGAACAACAGUUAUUUAUAUAGCAAAUUACAUUCAGCACGUAUAACAACAUUCAUGACAUACAAGAACAUUCAUGACGUACAAGAACAUACAAGGACAUCAGCAGUUGUGUGUGUGUGUGUGUGUGUUUUGUGUUUGUCUCUUUAUGUGUGUGUGUGUGUGUGUCUGUCUAUUGUGUGAGUGUGUUUGUGUAUGUGUGUGUCUGUGACUCAGUGUGUGUGUCUUUGUGUGUGUGUCUGUGGCUCAGUGUGUUUGUGUGUUUGUCUGUCUCUUUAUGUGUGUGUGUGUGUUUGUCUCUUUAUCUGUGUGUGUGUGGGGGUGUGUGUGUUUGUGGUUGUCUCUUUAUGUGUGUGUGUCUGUCCAUGUGUGUGAGUGUGUUUGUGUAUGUGUGUGUUUGUGACUCAGUGUGUGUGUCUUUGUGUGUGGGUCUCUGUGUGUGUCUGUGGCUCAGUGUGUUUGUAUCUUUGUCUGUGUCUUUAUGUGUGCGUGACUCUGUGUGUGUGUGUGUGUGUAUCUUUAUGUGUGUGUGUGUGUGUUUGUGUUUGUGUUUGUGUCUGCGUGUGUUUGUCUAUAUAUGUGUGUGUUUGUGUAUCUGUGUGUGUCUCAUUGCAGGGUAGCAAAGGAUCAUUAAAGUGUAAACAUCAUGAGCCACAUGAUGAGGGAAGCAAUAUCAAAUCAAUGCUUUACAAGCUUGUGGUCAAUAUAAGGAGUGGUGUCUUCAAGCUGCAAAUUGAUGGUUUCUGAGUGGAAAAUCAUAAUGUGGUUAAGCCUGAUAUUCUGCAGCAUUUGCAAAGCAGAUUCAUAUUAAUUGAAGUUAUGUACGAGCACUGCAGCUUCUACAAAUAUAAGCACUACAGCUUAUUUAAGACACAUAUUCUGCAGCAUUUGCAGUAUGUGGGUGGAAAAAGGGUGGGAGUGGAAAUUUAAAUGGAGAAGACACUUGUUUGACAGAGAGCUUGAGAUGGCAGAUUGUUUCCGUAAUGAUGUUGCUGGCAGCUGUAUUCAGAUUCACAAAAAAGAUGAGUGGAUCUGGAAAAUAGACCCUACUGGACAAUAUUCGGUAAUUAAAGGAGAGACUACAAACAAAGACAAAUUUGAGGAGGAGAAGGGUGGCAAUUAAUGACACAUUAUGCCCAUUCUGUGGGAAUUCUGAGGAGAAUGAAGCACAUGUAUUUUUGACAUGUGAUAGAAUACUUCCAUUAUGGUGGGAAUCUAUGACAUGGGUCAACAUUCAUGGAGCCUUUCCGCAGAAACCGUGGCAACACUUUUCCCAGCACGCGUUUUGUUUGCCUAGUAGAAUUCGUCUUAACCGAUGGAGAAGUUGGUGGCUGGCCCUCACAUGGACAAUGUGGCAGCACCGGAAUAAAAUCAUCUUCUCUAAUCAAACUUUUGAUGGUAACAAGUUAAUGGAGGAUGCUAUUUUUACACUAUGGACAUGGCUGAAGAACUUUGACAAGGACUUUGCCUUAACCUACAGCUAUUGGUCGUCUAACAUAGCAUCGGGAUUUGUCUUUUCAGGGGGGUAGAAACCAUAGACAGUGGGUGUUGUAGGUCUUUAUAAUACAUAGCUUUGGUUCCUUGCGAGAUUGAUCUCAGUCUGAGCUUGAAACCAUGUUGCUGGCAACUCAAUCUAAUUCAUGUACUAUUUUGUACCUCUGGUACUCACAAUAUAUAUAAAUAUAAUUUAUCUUGGCUGAUAAAAAAAAUGUGGGUGGAAAAAUAAGCAAUGCAGAAGGUUUUCUGUUUUUUUACAUCAAUUCAUUUCCUAAGGGACUCAAUUCCUCAUUCAUUGAAACCAGUAUGCAACAUUUUACAUCAAACACCAGUAUAUAACAUUUUAAAGCAAACACCACUAUAUAAUAUUUUAAAUGAAACAGCAGUAUAUACAUGCUAGUUCCUACAUACGUACCUGGAGUUGCUAUAACCCGAACGACCUUCAACAACAAUGUCAAUUAAAAGUAGUCUAUGAUAACCUGAAAAAAAAAACCAAUGGUCAUGGACAUGGCUGACACAUUUGGAGAAGGAUUAUGGUAUUCAUUUCAACCAAUGGUCAUCCAAUAUCAGAGCAGCAUUUAAUCAUAUAGUAAGAAAUGGAAGCCAUUAAACCAAAGUCAAUACUCAUGAAUGCUAGAACAUCCAUCAAGAAUGAUAACAAAGCAGUAAUUUAAAUUAAAUUCAUCUUAGUUUUUCUAUUUUAUGAUCACUCCCGAUUGCUGGAAUGGUGAAGGAGUUGCAUUAAUGCAGAAAUUUCCACAUAAUUAUCAAUCAUAGAAGGAGGGUUAAUGCUCUUCAAGGUCUGUGUAUUGAUGGAGGAUGGAUCCAUGACCCUAACAGUGUCAAGAUUGCAGUUCUUCAGCACUUUAAAGAAAGAUUCUCAGAGCAGAAUCCUUGCAGACCAACCUUGGAAGGGAUCCAGUUCUCUUCCCUUGAUCAAAGGCAAAAGGAAAGCCUUGUUGAUAGAUUCACUGAGCAGGAAAUCAAGUCUGCAGUUUGGGCUUGCGGGGGAGAUAAAAGUCCUGGCCUGGAUGGUUUGAAUUUCAAUUUCAUCAAAUAGUUUUGGGAAGUAAUCCCAAGGCCCAGCAGAGUGACAAAUCAAAGGAGAUGAUGAGAAGUAAUACCAAGGCCCAGCAGACUGAGGAACCUUUCGUGGACUCCAACCCAGCUUCUAAAGGUCACCCUCUGUCUUCUUUAUACAAGGACCCUAUACAGCUGCAAUGUGACAUCUUGAAGGAAAUGGGCUUGUCUUAUGAGGAAGAAGAUAGCAAGGUUAAGGGGCUGCUGCUGGAUAUGGAGAAUAAAGAUGAUUUGAUUGCAGCAGAGAAGGGAAUUAAAUCUCAGCAAUUAUGAUAAUUCUCUCCUAUAAUUCUAGAGGUUUGGGGAGGGGAGUCGAGUGGGCUGCUGUUAGAAGGCUCAUUGUAAAGCACAAAGUGGAUCUUGUCUGCCUCCAAGAAACCAAGAGGGAGAACUUUAAUAAAAGUAUUUGCCAGGCCAUUUGGGGAGACUCCACUGGUCAUUGGGAUUUUGUUCCAUCUGUGCAAGCUGCUGGUGGCCUUUUAUGUAUGUGGAAUAACUCCACCUUUGUGGUAGAAAGGAAGGAAAAAGGUAGAAGCUUCUUAAUGCUUGAAGGCACAUGUUGUAGUAAUAAUCAGAAGUUGAUAUUUGUCAAUGUUUAUGCUCCUUGUGAUCUAGUUGGGAAGAAAGCUUUAUGGGAUGAGUUGAGGCAGCUGAAGGCUUCUAAUCCUAGUGGAAUGUGGUGUUUCCUUAGGGACUUCAAUAGCAUUAGAAGUUCUCAGGAAAGAAUCAGCUUAUCUCAAAGAAGGGCAAAUCCUUAUGACAUUGCAGCCUUUAAUCAGUGGAUUGAUGAUAUGGAGCUUCAGGAAAUUAAAUGUUAUGGGAAUAGCUUUACUUGGAUUAGGCCUAAUGGCUGUGUGAAAAGCAGACUUGAUAGAUUCUUGUCUCACAGAAUUGGCUAUCUCUUUGGCUGAAGAGCUGCAAACUGUCUUCAAAGGACUCUCUGAUCAUUGCCCGUCUAUAUUGCAAACUACAUGGUGGACUGGGGCNNNNNNNNNNNNNNNNNNNNNNNNNNNNNNNNNNNNNNNNNNNNNNNNNNNNNNNNNNNNNNNNNNNNNNNNNNNNNNNNNNNNNNNNNNNNNNNNNNNNUUUAGACUGCUAAUUCUCUGAAAAUUUUGGCCCACUCUCUGUGUGUGUCUGUGGCUCAGUGUGUUUGUAUCUUUGUCUGUGUCUUUAUGUGUGCGUGACUCUGUGUGUGUGUGUGUGUGUAUCUUUAUGUGUGUGUGUGUGUGUUUGUGUUUGUGUUUGUGUCUGCAUGUGUUUGUCUCUAUGUGUGUGUGUUUGUGUAUCUGUGUGUGUCUCAUUGCAGGGUAGCAAAGGAUCAUUAAAUUGUAAACAUCAUGAGCCACAUGAUGAGGGAAGCAGUAUCAAAUCAAUGCUUUACAAGCUUUUGGUCAAUCUAAGGAGUGGUGUCUUCAUGCUGCAAAUUGAUGGUUUCUGAGUGGAAAAUCCUAAUUUGGUUAAGCCUGAAAUUCUGCAGCAUUUGCAAAGUAGAUUCUAAUUAAUUGAAGUUAUGUACGAGCACUGCAGUUUUUACAAAAAUAAGCACUGCAGCUUAUUUAAGACACAAAUUCUGCAGCAUCUGCAGUAUGUGGGUGGAAAAAGGGUGGGAGUGGAAAUUUAAAUGGAGAAGACACUUGUUUGACAGAGAGCUUGAGAUGGCAGAUUGUUUCCGUAAUGAUGUUGCUGGCAGCUGUAUUCAGAUUCACAAAAAAGAUGAGUGGAUCUGGAAAAUAGACCCUACUAGACAAUAUUCGGUAAUUAAAGGAGAUACUACAAACAAAGACAAAUUUGAGGAGGAGAAGGGUGGCAAUUAAUGACACAUUAUGCCCAUUCUGUGGGAAUUCUGAGGAGAAUGAAGCACAUGUAUUUUUGACAUGUGAUAGAAUACUUCCAUUAUGGUGGGAAUCUAUGACAUGGGUCAACAUUCAUGGAGCUUUUCCGCAGAAACCGUGGCAGCACUUUUCCCAGCACGCGUUCUGUUUGCCUAGUAGAAUUCGUCUUAACCGAUGGAGAAGUUGGUGGCUGGCCCUCACAUGGACAUUGUGGCAGCACCGGAAUAAAAUCAUCUUCUCUAAUCAAACUUUUGAUGGUAACAAGUUAAUGGAGGAUGUUAUUUUUACACUAUGGACAUGGUUGAAGAACUUUGACAAGGACUUUGCCUUCACCUAUAGCUAUUGGUCGUCUAACAUAGCAUCGGGAUUUGUCUUUUCAGGGGGGUAGAAACCAUAGACAGUGGGUGUUGUAGGUCUUUGUAAUACAUAGCUUUGGUUCCUUGCGAGACUGAUCUCAGUCUGAGCUUGAAACCAUGUUGCUGGCAACUCAAUCUAAUUCAUGUACUGUUUUGUACCUCUGGUACUCACAAUAUAUAUAAAUAUAAUUUAUCUUGGCUGAUAAAAAAAAAUGUGGGUGGAAAAAUAAGCACUGCAGAAGGUUUUCUAUUUUUUUACAUCAAUUCAUUUCCUAAGGGACUCAAUUCCUCAUUCAUUGAAACCAGUAUGCAACAUUUUACAUCAAACACCAGUAUAUAACAUUUUAAAGCAAACACCACUAUAUAAUAUUUUAAAUGAAACAGCAGUAUAUACAUGCUAGUUCCUACGUACGUACCUGGAGUUGCUAUAACCCGAACGACCUUCAACAACAAUGUCAAUUAAAAGUAGUCUAUGAUAACCUGGAAAAAAAACCAAUGGUCAUGGACAUGGCUGACACAUUUGGAGAAGGAUUUUGGUAUUCAUUUCAACCAAUGGUCAUCCAAUAUCAGAGCAGCAUUUAAUCAUAUAGUAAGAAAUGGAAGCCAUUAAACCAAAGUCAAUACUCAUGAAUGCUAGAACAUCCAUCAAGAAUGAUAACAAAGCAGUAAUUUCAAUUAAAUUCAUCUUAGUUUUUCUAUUUUAUGAUCACUCCCGAUUGCUGGAAUGGUGAAGGAGUUGCAUUAAUGCAGAAAUUUUCACAGAAUCAUCAAUCAUAGAAGGAGGGUUAAUGCUCUUCAAGGUCUGUGUAUUGAUGGAGGAUGGAUCCAUGACCCUAACAGUGUCAAGAUUUCAGUUCUUCAGCACUUUAAAGAAAGAUUCUCAGAGCAGAAUCCUUGCAGACCAACCUUGGAAGGGAUCCAGUUCUCUUCCCUUGAUCAAAGGCAGAAGGAAAGCCUUGUUGAUAGAUUCACUGAGCUGGAAAUCAAGUCUGCAGUUUGGGCUUGCGGGGGAGAUAAAAGUCCUGGCCUGGAUGGUUUGAAUUUCAAUUUCAUCAAACAGUUUUGGGAAGUAAUCCCAAGGCCCAGCAGAGUGACAAAUCAAAGGAGGUGAUGAGAAGUAAUACCAAGGCCCAGCAGACUGAGGAACCUUUCGUGGACUCCAACCUAGCUUCUAAAGGUCAUCCUCUGUCUUCUUUAUACGAGGACCCUAUACAACUGCAAUGUGACAUCUUGAAGGAAAUGGGCUUGUCUUAUGAGGAAGAAGAUAGCAAGGUUAAGGGGCUGCUGCUGGAUAUGGAGAAUAAAGACGAUUUGAUGGCAGCGGAGAAGGGAAUUAAAUCUCAGCAAUUAUGAUAAUUCUCUCUUAUAAUUCUAGAGGUUUGGGGAGGGGAGUCAAGUGGGCUGUUGUUAGAAGGCUCAUUGUAAAGCACAAAGUGGAUCUUGUCUGCCUCCAAGAAACCAAGAGGGAGAACUUUAAUAAAAGUAUUUGCCAGGCCAUUUGGGGAGACUCCACUGGUCAUUGGGAUUUUGUGCCAUCUGUGCAAGCUGCUGGUGGCCUUUUAUGUAUGUGGAAUAACUCCACCUUUGUGGUAGAAAGGAAGGAAAAAGGUAGAAGCUUCUUAAUGCUUGAAGGCACAUGUUGUAGUAAUAAUCAGAAGUUGAUAUUUGUCAAUGUUUAUGCUCCUUGUGAUCUGGUUGGGAAGAAAGCUUUAUGGGAUGAGUUGAGGCAGCUGAAGGCUUCUAAUCCUAGUGGAAUGUGGUGUUUCCUUGGGGACUUCAAUAGCAUUAUAAGUACUUAGGAAAGAAUCAGCUUAUCUCAAAGAAGGACAGAUCCUUAUGACAUUGCAGCCUUUAAUCAGUGGAUUGAUGAUAUGGAGCUUCAGGAAAUUAAAUGUUAUGGGAAUAGCUUUACUUGGAUUAGGCCUAAUGGCUGUGUGAAAAACAGGCUUGAUAGAUUCUUGGUCUCACAGAAUUGGCUAUCUCUUUGGCCUGAGAGCUGCCAAACUGUCCUUCAAAGGAACCUCUCUGAUCAUUGCCCAUUUAUAUUUCAAACUAACAUGGUGGACUGGGGCCCAAAGCCCUUUAGGGUGUUUGACUGGUGGCUGCAGCAAAAGGGGUACCAAAAAAUGGUGAGGGAGGCCUGGAAAAAGGACCAGCAGGGGGGCUGGGGGGGUAUUACCCUUAAAAAUAAGUUGAAGAACUUAAAAUCUGUUAUAAAACAGUGGAGCAAAGCAGAGGGGAAUAUUAAUCCUAAGAAGGUCCUUAAUAUUCAGCAAAAGCUAAAUGAAGUGGAGGAUCUAGCUGCUCAUCGAAAUCUGACUGAUCAAGAGAUUAAGGACAGAACUUUACUUCAUCAGGAGUUAUGGAAUGCCUCUAAUGCUUUUGAAUCUUUAUUGAGACAAAAAUCUAGGGCCAGAUGGCUGAAGGAGGGGGACUACAACACUGCUUACUUUCACAAAUACAUGAAUUUUAGGAGAGCUUAUAAUAAUAUUCCAGGUAUAUUUAUAUAUGGGGAGUGGAUCCAGCAACCUGAUGCAGUGAAAAAUGAAGCUGCCAACUUCUUCCAUAAUAGAUUCACUGAGCAGAUGCAUUCUAGACCUACCUUGGAUGGAGUUCACUUCAAAUCUAUUUCUCAAAGGCAAAGAGAACAGCUGACUGUCCCAUUCUCUGACAAAAAGAUCAAACAAGCAGUGUGGAGUUGUGGAGGGGAUAACUGUCCUGGGCCUGAUGGCCUUAACUUCAAUUUUAUUAAGGAAUUCUGGGAUGUGUUGAAUCCUGAGUUUAGAAGAUUCGUGGAUGAGUUCUAUGCUCAUGAAAGCUUUCCUAGAGGCUCCAAUGCUUCCUUUGUGGCUUUAAUUCCCAAAAAGUCUCACCCAUAGUCCCUAAAUGAUUACAGACCCAUAUCCUUGAUAGGCUGCAUGUAUAAAGUCAUAGCUAAGCUUUUAUCUAAUAGAUUAAGGUCUGUUAUGGAUGAACUCAUUGAUGAAAGACAGUUAGCUUUCAUUAAAGAAAGACAUAUACUUCAUGGGAUCCUGAUUCUUAAUGAGGUGGUGGAGGAAGCAAUGAGAAGCAAGAAGCCAGCAAUGAUUUUCAAGGUGGAUUUUGAAAAGCCCUAUGACUCAGUGUCUUGGUCCUUCUUGGAUUAUAUGUUGCUUAGAUUGGGUUUCUGCCAAAAAUGGAGAAGAUGGAUCUCAGCUUGCCUACAUUCAGCAACCAUAUCAGUUUUGAUUAAUGGUAGCCCAUCUAAGGAGUUCAACCCCUCAAGAGGCUUGAGGCAAGGAGAUCCUUUAGCCCCCUUGCUCUUCAAUAUAAUUGGGGAAGGUCUCACUGGUAUGAUGAGGGAAGCAGUUCACAAAAAUCUUUAUAGAAGCUAUCUAGUUGGAAAGAAGAGAGAACUUGUUAAUAUUCUGCAAUAUGCUGAUGAUACUGUUUUUGUGGGUGAGGUUGAUCGGCAGAAUGUUCAUGCUAUAAAGGCCCUGCUUAUAGGCUUUGAAUUGGCUUCUGGCUUGAAGAUUAACUUUGCUAAAAGUCAAUUCGGGAUCAUAGGAGGUGGAGUUAACUGGGGUUUGGCAGCAGCUAAUAUCCUAAACUGCAGUCAAAUGAAUUACCCCUUUCACUAUUUAGGCAUUCCCAUUGGUGCCAAUCCUUCCAGUCUGAUGGUUUGGGAGCCUCUCAUUACUAAAUUCAAAGCAAAACUAUCCAAAUGGGCCUAGAAAGAUAUAUCCAUGGGGGGGAAGGUCACACUUAUCAAUUCUGUUCUCAAUGCUCUUCCAAUCUAUCUUCUUUCCUUUUUUAGGAUUCCCCAAAGGAUAGUCCAAAAAUUAAUUUCCUUACAAAGGAAAUUUCUGUGGGGAGGAGACAAUACUCAUAAUAAAAUUCCUUGGGUGAAAUGGGCUGAUAUUUGUCUGCCCAAGAAUGAGGGGGGAUUGGGUAUAAAGGAUAUUUCGAAGUUCAAUGUAGCCUUGAUGGGUAGAUGGAUAUGGGCUUUUGCAUCUGGUCAGCAGCAGCUUUGGGUAAGAGUUCUAAUCUCUAAAUAUGGUGGAUGGCCUGAGUUCCAGUAUGAUACAGAUAAGAGGGGAUUUUCUCAUUGGUGGAGGGACCUUAGAAAGAUAUUUCACCAGUCAGAUCACAAUAUCUUCAAGCACCAAUUGACUUGGAAGGUGGGAUGUGGGGAAACAAUCAAAUUCUGGACAGACAAGUGGCUAGGGGAAGAUUAUACCCUUGGACAGAAAUAUAAUAAGCUUUUUCUGAUUAGUAGGCAGCAAAAUUCUCUCAUCUCAAAUAUGGGAGACUUUAAUCAUGAUAGCUGGGAAUGGAACCUUAGAUGGAGAAGGAACUUAUUUGAUCAUGAAAGUGAUUUAGCAGCCCUUCCUAUCUACCUACUGUCAUUCUUCAAAAUUCCUAAAAAAGUGGUGCAUAAGGUAGUAUCUAUUCCACACUUGGUCUUGGUUAAAUGGAAUGGAGACAGACUUCCAUCUUCAGAUUUUUGCAGUGCAAAAAAAAAAAAAAAAACAAUCAUGCAAGCAUAUUUGAAAACUUAAAAUACGAAUAACUCAAGUUAAAAUCAAUUCAUUUUUUACAACUGUGAAAAAAUUAACUAAGGUACAGUAGGCAAAUUUGUUUUCACUAAUAUUAGUAGGUCAUCACCACUGCAGUAGAAUUUAAGUUAAACUUAGAUAAGUACCUUAUGAAGAGGCCAGCUACCUUGUCACAGCUAACAAGUCAGAACUAAACAAAUUUCUGCAUGUAUAAUUGAACAAAUUUGUUAUCAAACUUGUGUGUGUGNNNNNNNNNNNNNNNNNNNNNNNNNNNNNNNNNNNNNNNNNNNNNNNNNNNNNNNNNNNNNNNNNNNNNNNNNNNNNNNNNNNNNNNNNNNNNNNNNNNNCAGCAGGGGGGCUGGGGGGUAUUACCUUAAAAUAAGUGAAGAACUUAAAAUCUGUUAUAAACAGUGGAGCAAAGCAGAGGGGAAUAUUAAUCCUAAGAAGGUCCUUAAUAUUCAGCAAAAGCUAAAUGAAGUGGAGGAUCUAGCUGCUCAUCGAAAUCUGACUGAUCAAGAGAUUAAGGACAGAACUUUACUUCAUCAGGAGUUAUGGAAUGCCUCUAAUGCUUUUGAAUCUUUAUUGAGACAAAAAUCUAGGGCCAGAUGGCUGAAGGAGGGGGACUACAACACUGCUUACUUUCACAAAUACAUGAAUUUUAGGAGAGCUUAUAAUAAUAUUCCAGGUAUAUUUAUAUAUGGGGAGUGGAUCCAGCAACCUGAUGCAGUGAAAAAUGAAGCUGCCAACUUCUUCCAUAAUAGAUUCACUGAGCAGAUGCAUUCUAGACCUACCUUGGAUGGAGUUCACUUCAAAUCUAUUUCUCAAAGGCAAAGAGAACAGCUGACUGUCCCAUUCUCUGACAAAAAGAUCAAACAAGCAGUGUGGAGUUGUGGAGGGGAUAACUGUCCUGGGCCUGAUGGCCUUAACUUCAAUUUUAUUAAGGAAUUCUGGGAUGUGUUGAAUCCUGAGUUUAGAAGAUUCGUGGAUGAGUUCUAUGCUCAUGAAAGCUUUCCUAGAGGCUCCAAUGCUUCCUUUGUGGCUUUAAUUCCCAAAAAGUCUCACCCAUAGUCCCUAAAUGAUUACAGACCCAUAUCCUUGAUAGGCUGCAUGUAUAAAGUCAUAGCUAAGCUUUUAUCUAAUAGAUUAAGGUCUGUUAUGGAUGAACUCAUUGAUGAAAGACAGUUAGCUUUCAUUAAAGAAAGACAUAUACUUCAUGGGAUCCUGAUUCUUAAUGAGGUGGUGGAGGAAGCAAUGAGAAGCAAGAAGCCAGCAAUGAUUUUCAAGGUGGAUUUUGAAAAGCCCUAUGACUCAGUGUCUUGGUCCUUCUUGGAUUAUAUGUUGCUUAGAUUGGGUUUCUGCCAAAAAUGGAGAAGAUGGAUCUCAGCUUGCCUACAUUCAGCAACCAUAUCAGUUUUGAUUAAUGGUAGCCCAUCUAAGGAGUUCAACCCCUCAAGAGGCUUGAGGCAAGGAGAUCCUUUAGCCCCCUUGCUCUUCAAUAUAAUUGGGGAAGGUCUCACUGGUAUGAUGAGGGAAGCAGUUCACAAAAAUCUUUAUAGAAGCUAUCUAGUUGGAAAGAAGAGAGAACUUGUUAAUAUUCUGCAAUAUGCUGAUGAUACUGUUUUUGUGGGUGAGGUUGAUCGGCAGAAUGUUCAUGCUAUAAAGGCCCUGCUUAUAGGCUUUGAAUUGGCUUCUGGCUUGAAGAUUAACUUUGCUAAAAGUCAAUUCGGGAUCAUAGGAGGUGGAGUUAACUGGGGUUUGGCAGCAGCUAAUAUCCUAAACUGCAGUCAAAUGAAUUACCCCUUUCACUAUUUAGGCAUUCCCAUUGGUGCCAAUCCUUCCAGUCUGAUGGUUUGGGAGCCUCUCAUUACUAAAUUCAAAGCAAAACUAUCCAAAUGGGCCUAGAAAGAUAUAUCCAUGGGGGGGAAGGUCACACUUAUCAAUUCUGUUCUCAAUGCUCUUCCAAUCUAUCUUCUUUCCUUUUUUAGGAUUCCCCAAAGGAUAGUCCAAAAAUUAAUUUCCUUACAAAGGAAAUUUCUGUGGGGAGGAGACAAUACUCAUAAUAAAAUUCCUUGGGUGAAAUGGGCUGAUAUUUGUCUGCCCAAGAAUGANNNNNNNNNNNNNNNNNNNNNNNNNNNNNNNNNNNNNNNNNNNNNNNNNNNNNNNNNNNNNNNNNNNNNNNNNNNNNNNNNNNNNNNNNNNNNNNNNNNNUCAGCAGCAGCUUUGGGUAAGAGUUCUAAUCUCUAAAUAUGGUGGAUGGCUGAGUUCCAGUAUGAUACAGAUAAGAGGGGAUUUUCUCAUUGGUGGAGGGACCUUAGAAAGAUAUUUCACCAGUCAGAUCACAAUAUCUUCAAGCACCAAUUGACUUGGAAGGUGGGAUGUGGGGAAACAAUCAAAUUCUGGACAGACAAGUGGCUAGGGGAAGAUUAUACCCUUGGACAGAAAUAUAAUAAGCUUUUUCUGAUUAGUAGGCAGCAAAAUUCUCUCAUCUCAAAUAUGGGAGACUUUAAUCAUGAUAGCUGGGAAUGGAACCUUAGAUGGAGAAGGAACUUAUUUGAUCAUGAAAGUGAUUUAGCAGCCCUUCCUAUCUACCUACUGUCAUUCUUCAAAAUUCCUAAAAAAGUGGUGCAUAAGGUAGUAUCUAUUCCACACUUGGUCUUGGUUAAAUGGAAUGGAGACAGACUUCCAUCUUCAGAUUUUUGCAGUGCAAAAAAAAAAAAAAAAACAAUCAUGCAAGCAUAUUUGAAAACUUAAAAUACGAAUAACUCAAGUUAAAAUCAAUUCAUUUUUUACAACUGUGAAAAAAUUAACUAAGGUACAGUAGGCAAAUUUGUUUUCACUAAUAUUAGUAGGUCAUCACCACUGCAGUAGAAUUUAAGUUAAACUUAGAUAAGUACCUUAUGAAGAGGCCAGCUACCUUGUCACAGCUAACAAGUCAGAACUAAACAAAUUUCUGCAUGUAUAAUUGAACAAAUUUGUUAUCAAACUUGUGUGUGUGUCUUUGUAUGAUGAGUGUGUGUGUGUGUGUGUGUCAUCAGUGUGUGUCUGUGUGUUUCUAUCAUACGUGUGUGUGUGUGUGUCAUUAGGGUUUGUGUGUGUGUGUGUGUGUGUUUCAUGACCAAUUUUUCUUACUGGCAAUUCAGUGGCAGUGUAUUGCUUAGGCUUCUGUCGAAAGGAAAGGAAAAUCAACGAGUCUGACAGAACAACUUCAGUCUUCACUCUUCACUAGUUGAACACAAAUAAAAAAAAAAAAUUAAACUACUUCAAGGAUAAAUAAAAGGUUCAGAAGCAGCAGACCUAGAUUGUCUAAGCUAUUUUAUAAUGGGCAGUUAUAGUUACAAUGAUGAUGAAAUGAACUAUAGAAAAAAAAGUAUAAAAUACAGAAGAAUAAAAAAACAAUUAAGGGCAGAACUCAAAAGCUUUUAGCCAUGCUGCUUGGAAUUUAAUCAAUUAAGGGUUGAACACUUGUUCUUCAAUUGUAGCAAAACCAUCCCUUUAUGGUGGGAAUCAAUGUCCUGGGUUAGUCUUAUCACUGUAAUGCCACAAAAUCAUAGGGACCAUUUUCUGCAACAUGGAAUGGAGGUAGCAGAUGGAGUCAGGUCCAAAACCUGGAAAUGCUGGUGGAUUGCUUUAACUUGGACAAUAUGGCACCAUAGAAAUAAGGUGGUGUUCCAAGAUACAACUUUUCAUGGAACCAAACUGUUAGAAGAUGCCAUAUUCCUACUAUGGUCGUGGAUCAAAGCAAUGGACAAGGAUUUUACUCUUCAUUUUAACCAAUGGUCCUCUAAUCUUAAGGAAGGUUUUAGGAACUAGGAGGCGUUAACUCUUAAACUCUUAAACUGUUACAAGAACACAAUAAGGGUAAGGGAAACUGUUAAACUCCAAUAAUAGGCGUUAACUCUUAAACUGUUACAAGAACACAAUAAGGGUAAGGGAAACUGUUAAACUCCAAUAAUAGGCGUUAACUCUUAAAUUGUUACAAGAACACAAUAAGGGUAAGGGAAACUUCACUAAGGAGAAGAAGCACAAAGUUGUCACGAUGCUCGAGUUAAAUAUGAGAUACCCUAGCCAUGUUUAGUUCACUAAGUGUGCGAUACAUGAAUGCAAUCAAAUAUUCAUACAGGAUUAGACCAAACAUACAUACGUGAGGUGGCGAAGGAGAAGAAGCAUAGACUUCUGACGAUGCUCAAGUGCGACGAACACGAUGCUCGACCUUAGACAAAAUGAUGGUCAGAUGGAGAACAUACAACUUCAAGGUAGAUGGAGAACAAAGAGAGCAAGAAAGCUUAGAAAGAGAGCAAGAAAGCUUAGAUGGAGAAGAAGACAGAGAGAAGGACAAGACAACGCGAAGGAGACGAAACAUACCUAGGUAUGGUGGCGAAGGAGAAGAAGCAGAGACUUGUGACAAUGCUCGAGUGCGACGAACACGAUGCUCAGAUGCAGACAGGGACGGUUUCGCUAAACGGAGAUUAGAAGAAGAAGAGAGCGCGAAAGCUUAGAUGGAGAAGAAGACAGAGUGCCAGCUUCUUAGGGCUCACCAUAUUUUUUAAAAUAUAACUUCAACACCGGUUUUAAAAAAAACCCGAUGUUAACAAAAUGAUGUUAAGGUUAACAUCGGUUUUCUGGAGAAAACCGAUGUUAACAUAACAAACGUUAACAUCGGUUUUCUAAAAACCCGGUGUUAAUAAACAUAUGUUAACAUCGGUUAUUUAAAAAUCGAUGUUACUAAUAAAUGUUAACAUCGGUUCUCCAAUAACCGAUGUUAAUGAACUUCGUUAACAUCGGUUUUUCACAAAACUGAUGUUAACGUAUACACGGUAUUUACAAUUAUGCCACCGCGCAUAUGUUAACAUCGGUUUUUUUAACAACCGAUGUUAACACACCGAUGUUGAAUCCGCUUUUUGUAGUAGUGUUGAGAUGCUUACUUCCACUCUCGGUGGUGACCAACGGUGCUAGAUAGAGGGGGCAGUGAACUUUAAAGAAGCGGGAAACUUGUUUACUUAAAAACAAUGUUAGCCGAAAUAUUGUGUGAUAAUAAAUUUUAUGUUAAAUAAUAAAAUAAUUUCAAAAUCUUGUUUUGUAUCUUUUCCUAGUGUAAAAACCAAACAUUACAUAGUACAAAGGGUAAUAUAGUAAAAUUUACAUUAUUUUAUCCAACACAUAAACAAAUCAAAUAAGAUACAACACAAAGUUAUUUAUACUGUACAUUGACCACUAAAUAAUACACAGUACAAAAAGUUAUCAUGUAACUCAACUACUUAUUCAAUAUUAUUUUGUCUAUCCUAUCUUAGCAAAUUAAACGCACCCUUAAAUUUCUUGUUUCUAAUCACCAAACCAACCUUAUAUGCUUUUGUAGAAUGUGCAAAUCUCAAAAAACAAGGGGUCAAAACUAGAAAGCAAAUAUUAUUUUGGGACAGCAAUGUGCGAACAUUUUUUUUGUUGGUCCGUGAAUGUACUAUUUGAUACUAGUGAAUAUAUAUAUAUAUAUAUAUAUAUAUAUAUAUAUAUAUAUAUAUAAAAUAAAUGGUAUGAUAUGAAAAAAAAUAUUUCAAAAAAAAACCUAGUGAUUUAAUGUUUAAAACGUUGGAAUAUUAAAAAAUUAUUGUAUCCAGAUGCUUUCCUGCAUUAUGCCUGUCCAUCUUCUCUCCCGCACUGUUGUAGACCCUUGGAUCAAUCCUGCGGUUAAGAAAAACUUGUCUCUUUUAUGUUCAUCCCAAAAACAAAUGGUAUAUAAUAAUAAAAUGAGAGUUCCCUUAUGUUAGGGAUAUGCAAUGUUUUUUAUUUUACAUAAUGUUAAAAAUGAAAUGAAUCUAUUUCAUCAAAGAAAAUGUUAGAAAAAUAAAAUAUAUUAAAUUAAAAUAUAUGUUAAUUUGGAUAUAAAAUUUAAAACCAAUUCAAUUGAAUAUGAACGAAAUUAAUUAGACCCAAUCCCUUAAGUUAGUUAAUAUCAUUCGUUAAAUGUAAAAAAUAUUAAAAAAUGAAUAAUAAUCACUAAAGUAUAUUUUUAAUUUGGAUAUAAAAUUAAUAAUUAAUUAAAUUAAAAGUAAUAAUAAAGAAAAGUUUUUCUUAAUCGUAUGAUUGAUCCAAGAGUCUACAAUAGCGCUGGAGGGAGGAUAGAGAGGCAUAACAAAGGAGAGGGAUCUAGAUCUAAAACUAGUGGGUGGUGGAAAAAUCCAAUCAGAAUAGGAUUAUAUAUUAUUGAACCCGAGUUCAUAAGAUCUCGUUAUAUUUAUAUACGUAAGAAUAAUUUAUUUAAUGUCUAAUUCCUAUGAUGUAUAAUUUUUUUUUAAAUUGAUUUUCUUAAAUUAAUUGUUACUACCCAAUUGGAAAACACCCAUAACCUUAAAAAAAAUAUAAAAACGAAACAUAAGUGGGUUGAUGAAGGUAAUAUGUGUCAUAUAACAAAUAAAAGCCAAUGGCCACUAUCAGUUCAUUAUGCUCUUCAUAGUUGAAAGGGGCUCUUUNNNNNNNNNNNNNNNNNNNNNNNNNNNNNNNNNNNNNNNNNNNNNNNNNNNNNNNNNNNNNNNNNNNNNNNNNNNNNNNNNNNNNNNNNNNNNNNNNNNNUGCUUAGGCUUCUGUCGAAAGGAAAGGAAAAUCAACGAGUCUGACAGAACAACUUCAGUCUUCACUCUUCACUAGUUGAACACAAAUAAAAAAAAAAAAAUUAAACUACUUCAAGGAUAAAUAAAAGGUUCAGAAGCAGCAGACCUAGAUUGUCUAAGCUAUUUUAUAAUGGGCAGUUAUAGUUACAAUGAUGAUGAAAUGAACUAUAGAAAAAAAAGUAUAAAAUACAGAAGAAUAAAAAAACAAUUAAGGGCAGAACUCAAAAGCUUUUAGCCAUGCUGCUUGGAAUUUAAUCAAUUAAGGGUUGAACACUUGUUCUUCAAUUGUAGCAAAACCAUCCCUUUAUGGUGGGAAUCAAUGUCCUGGGUUAGUCUUAUCACUGUAAUGCCACAAAAUCAUAGGGACCAUUUUCUGCAACAUGGAAUGGAGGUAGCAGAUGGAGUCAGGUCCAAAACCUGGAAAUGCUGGUGGAUUGCUUUAACUUGGACAAUAUGGCACCAUAGAAAUAAGGUGGUGUUCCAAGAUACAACUUUUCAUGGAACCAAACUGUUAGAAGAUGCCAUAUUCCUACUAUGGUCGUGGAUCAAAGCAAUGGACAAGGAUUUUACUCUUCAUUUUAACCAAUGGUCCUCUAAUCUUAAGGAAGGUUUUAGGAACUAGGAGGCGUUAACUCUUAAACUCUUAAACUGUUACAAGAACACAAUAAGGGUAAGGGAAACUGUUAAACUCCAAUAAUAGGCGUUAACUCUUAAACUGUUACAAGAACACAAUAAGGGUAAGGGAAACUGUUAAACUCCAAUAAUAGGCGUUAACUCUUAAAUUGUUACAAGAACACAAUAAGGGUAAGGGAAACUUCACUAAGGAGAAGAAGCACAAAGUUGUCACGAUGCUCGAGUUAAAUAUGAGAUACCCUAGCCAUGUUUAGUUCACUAAGUGUGCGAUACAUGAAUGCAAUCAAAUAUUCAUACAGGAUUAGACCAAACAUACAUACGUGAGGUGGCGAAGGAGAAGAAGCAUAGACUUCUGACGAUGCUCAAGUGCGACGAACACGAUGCUCGACCUUAGACAAAAUGAUGGUCAGAUGGAGAACAUACAACUUCAAGGUAGAUGGAGAACAAAGAGAGCAAGAAAGCUUAGAUGGAGAAGAAGACAGAGAGAAGGACAAGACAACACGAAGGAGAUGAAACAUACCUAGGUAUGGUGGCGAAGGAGAAGAAGCAGAGACUUGUGACGAUGCUCGAGUGCGACGAAGACGAUGCUCAAGUGCGACGAACACAAUGCUCAGAUGCAGACAGGGACGGUUUCGCUAGACGGAGAUUAGAAGAAGAAGAGAGCGCGAAAGCUUAGAUGGAGAAGAAGACAGAGUGCCAGCUUCUUAGGGCUCACCAUAUUUUUUAAAAUAUAACUUCAACAUCGGUUUUUAAAAAAACCCGAUGUUAACAAAAUGAUGUUAAGGUUAACAUCGGUUUUCUGGAGAAAAUCGAUGUUAACAUAACAAACGUUAACAUCGGUUUUCUAAAAACCCGAUGUUAAUAAACAUAUGUUAACAUCGGUUAUUUAAAAACCGAUGUUGCUAAUAAAUGUUAACAUCGGAUCUCCAAUAACCGAUGUUAAUGAACUUCGUUAACAUUGGUUUUUCACAAAACCGAUGUUAACGUAUACACGGUAUUUACAAUUAUGCCACCGUGCAUAUGUUAACAUCGGUUUUUUUAACACACCGAUGUUGAAUCCGCUUUUUGUAGUAGUGUUUCAUGAUUGAAGAGUUUUUGAUAAUAAUUGUUGUAAUUGAAAAAGUAGUUUCUAGUAUUAGUUAAAGGGCAAAACUAAAAAAUAUGUGCAUCAAAGAAUAGGGGAUGGUUAGUUUUUAUGUUAGAAUCUUACGCCAAUUUGAACCUACUAUCUCUUCUAUUUUUUCUUUUAACACUUAAUUUUUUUUUAUUAUUAAAUUAAUUUUAUAUCUUUGGAUAUUUUAUUUAUUAUUAUUAAUUAUUAAAAGAAAGUGCAUAGAGUAUUGUUAGCAUUUCUAUUAUUAUUAAUCUGAAAUUGAACAAUGUAUGUAUUCAACACAACAUAACUAUGUAUGUAUUUAAUUUGUUUUGUUAUUGUUUUACGCAAGUAUUUGGAGGUGACUGAAAUCGUUAGUGUGUCCUGGCUAAAAAUCCUGGGCAGGAUCAAAACUGGGAUGUUGUCCCCAAAUACAUUGUACGGGGCAUACCUUGUGUUUAAAGAAAGCAGUGAUGGUGCCUACGGGUUCAAGAACAUGCCUGUUGAGGUGUCCAUUGGGGUUAUCCGAGAGGUUACAGAUUCAAGAAUUAUGAACUUGGUAGUAGGAAGCUCAGAGUCCAGUAUCCGAGGGAGAGUGACGAUGGUGGAUGGAGGUUGAAUUAGGUGACUUUUUUAACGGUAAUGGAGAGAACAAGAAAACAAAGAGGUGGAGAUAGGUCUAUACGACACCAAGAAUGUUGAAAUAAACUUGAGUCUUGUUAGCCAUUGUUCUUAAGAUAUUGAUUAAGAAAUUAAUAGAAAAAAGUAUUUUUUACAAAAAUUAUAAGAGAACAUGAGGACACUGGUUAGCAUUUUUCAAUAAACUUUUGCAUUUAUACUACUUAAUAUGUGUGUAGCUUUUCUUAAGAAAAAAAAUGAAAUUAAUCAAUGGAUCUUUUGGUUAUGGUGGUAUUUUCACUACUACAAAAGGGAUUUUUUACGACGCGUGUUCUAAGACGGUUGUCAAUAACCGUCUUAGAAUAUAGAGCGGUGGCAAUUUUGUAAUAAAUAAAAUAACUUUUGUAUUUAACGUCGCACAUUCUAAGGCGGUUGUAGACAACUGUCUUAGAAUGUUCUUCAGUGGCAAUAUUGUAAUUACAUGAAACUAAGACAACGACGGGUUUUACUAAUGACCGUCUUUGUAUCCUUUUCAAUUUCUACCCUAGCCCACGAAGAACGAGCGUUCUUUUGUUUCUUCUCCCUCUCCGCCGUUGUCUUACGAGUCUUCGCUAGGUCUCAUGGAAACAUUCUAACCCCCUCAAGCACGGUCUCCCUCUCAGAGUCUCAUGGAAACAUUCUAACCCCCUCAAGCCCUGUCUCCCUCAUACCCUAGGGUUCUUGAGCUCCACGACGUUUGAGUGCUCCACGACUUCCUCGCCGACACGUGCAGGGAUGACGCCACCGUUCAGGUCCCCGUCCCCAAGGUUCUGUCGCCACUUCCACCUCCCUCCGAUGUUGUUCCUCUUGGCCCUGAUGCGCUCGAUGAGUCUGCCUCCAUGAAGGCCUUUGUUUUGUGUUCAGUGUCCAACCACCUCAACAUAGAGACGAGACACCUCACUCGACAACGCACGCGCCUUUGAUUAAAGAUAUUACUGAAGAAAAUUACAGUUGAGCAUUUCCAUGUCUUUCAAUAUUACUGACCAGUUGUUAUUUGGAUUCUGUUCAGCGUGGAGGCUCGUCUGUUGCAUUACUUGAAAUCACAGGGGGCAAAGCUUCUAUUCAAGUUAAUGGCAAGACAUAUCAAAAGAAUUCCCGUCUGAUUUUAAGUGGAGGUGAUGAGGUGGUUUUUGUUUCUUCUGGCAUACAAUUACUUAUUAUUUUAUCUCUUGAUUAUGUUGCCUGAACUACAUGUGAACUAUAGCUAUGUUGAUAUUCUUUGCUGCUAUUUUCCCUUUUUGUAAUAGAGAAGUGAUAUUUUAUAUGAUUCUUGCGUAGGUUCGGAAAUAUAUCAGGAGACUUUGUGCAAGGCACUUGCGAAGCAUUUUGGUGCCAGGCUACUAAUUGUCAAUUGUCUCUCAUUGCUUGGUGUAUGUUUUUUUAGUACUUCAGUUCAGAUAUUUUUGUGUUUUUAUCAUUCUCCUUUGUAUUUAACUAAACCUAAAUGCACUUAAGCUCUAGAUUUACUGUGUUAUGUGUUUUUAUGGUUUUUCUCUGGUGCAUUGCUCAUAGCUAUUCAAAAGGUGUUUCAAUUUCUGUUAUGCAGACUGUCUACAAAGCUUUGCAGUUUAUUUAUUUCAGUUUCACAUUUUUUAAGUAUCUGUUUAUGUUGAUAUUUUGUCCUCCUGCUAUUUUUUUGAUAUCUAAUCAUUUAGUUUAUAUGUUUUUCUUAUUCUGGAAAAUUAAGAUUUUAUUCUUCUUCUAUAUUGAUCUGGGGACCAAGCUAUGGCUCCCGGGGAAAAGUUCUGCUUGCUUUUGAAGAUAAUAGGUCUUCAAAAAUUGGGGUUAGGUUUGAUAAAUCAAUCCCAGAUGGCAAUGAUCUUGGAGGCCUUUGUGAGGAUGAUCGUGGGUUCUUUUGUUCUGGUAAUUCAGUGGAUUUUAUUGUAGUUUUGUUGCCUUAGCUGCAUGUUAGCAUAUUGAAUGCUAUAAUUUUUGUUCUGGUUUGAUAAAUCAUUUACUACAGGUAGAUGAUUCUAGAGGGGAUGAUGCAGAUAAAGUUGCAAUUAAUGAUAUUUUUGAGGUUGUGCCAGUUCUUUACCGGUCCAAAAGAUGCCUCUAUUCCUGAAGAAGUAUAUCUAACACCCUUCACUGUUUUGUGCAUAGGUUACCUCUAAUUAGAGUAGAAGUUUUGAAAAAUAAAUUUGAAAGCUUGCCACCUAAUGUUGUAGUAAUUGGCUGACUGUUGACUCUAUGUUUUUUGUCUUUACCUCUUUCACUUUUAUUCCUCUUGGACUUCAGAUACUUCCUUAAAAUUAUUAAGGAUAUAACUCAUGCUUGAUAGGUACUUACCAUGGAGCAUAUUUUGUCAAUUAUUUAGAUCUUAUACUCUCUGGAUUCUAGAAUUCUGUGCAUAUAAAAGUAAUAUUAUUUUGCUUUUACUGCAACAUGAUAAAUUUCUCCAUGGUUUAGUUUGAAAUGCCUAAAUAGAUGGAUGGUUUGAAUUUCUUUUCUAUAAGUGGUGGAAGAAUCCGGUUCAACUUUUUCAAGUUGUUGUUGUUAUUCAUUUUUGUAAAAUGUAAGGGGAGGAUGAGUCUUGGCACAACUUUAAUUAUUUUUUCAAGUUGCUGCCUUGUGACCUUGAGAUGGGGUAAUGCUUUAUGCUACAUAGAUGUACUCAUUAUUUUUUUAGUGUAUUCUUCUUUGAUAUAGAUGACCUUGAAGCAACUUGGGCGUCUUUUCCCAAACAAAGUGACAAUACAGCUGCCUCAGGUUUGAUGUUAGAUUAACUUCAAUAUGAAAUUUAUUCCAUUUCUAUAUACAGUUCAUGUAUCCAUUUUAAAUCAACUUGUACAGGACGAGGCUUUACUUUCUGAUUGGAAGCAACAAUUAGAACGUGAUAUUGAAACUAUGAAAGUUCAAUCCAAUAUUGUCAGCGUUUGCACAGUGAGUCCGGAAACAUCUGAUAGUUUUUAUGUGCCUUUUUUGCUUUUAUUAUCCUAUGCUUCCUCUUGUUGCAUUUUUUCUGCAUGUUUCUAUUUUUUUCACUUGUUGUGCAUUAGUGUGAUUUGCCUUUGGAAUAUGUGGAAUCUCAUGCAUUGGCUUUGUGAAAUUUUCCUAACUGCGCUUAGAAAUGCUCAAUGUCAUUUUAGAAGUUGUUUCUGUGGAUAACAUUCUAUUUUGUUUCCUGCUAUCAAGCCUACCCAUCCUGGCCAUCCAUAUCCAUUGUUUGAUUUACACUGCCUUUCGAAUAUGGCCAAUUACUGCUAACAAAGUGAUUACUUGAUUUUCAUUUUUUAAAUAAUAUAGAGCUUUGUUCUGACUUGUACCUGACUUAAGUUUCAUUUUUGCCAUACCGUUUGUCAACAAUGCUUGCAAAGGCUGUAGCAACUGAAGCUGGAGCAAAUUUCAUUAACAUUUCAAUGUCCAGCAUUACUUCAAAGGUAUUAAUAUUGUAAAUUACUUUUUUUGUUAUGUAUAAUUUUUACGAGUAUUUUUAUAGACCGAAAAAAUUUAUUAUAGACCGAAAAAUACGUAUAAUUUUUACGAGUAUUUUUAUCGAUUAAUUUGUAGGGUUUUAGUAUGAAACAUUGCUAGCUAAAAUGACUUAUAAAAUACUACUAACACUUAGUAAAAUUUAUAUAAUAAAAUUGGUAGCUAUUUUUCAAAUAGAGGAGUGGGAAUGCGAGAUAGGGACAUUUAUGAUGAACAAAUGAUCACUGUCUCUUGAAGAAGGGACCAUAUGUUAAAAAGUUAGUUGGUUGUGAGUAUAAUAACAAUAACGUGUAUCAAUUAUAUGCAAAUAAAAAACCUAGGUUUCUUCCUUUUUAAUAUCAUAAUUAUAAUCAUUAAAUUAUAGAUCAAUUAAUUUUAAAAAUAUAUUAAUUUAAAAUAAACUGAUAGAAUAUAUAUAUAUAUAUAUAUAUAUAUAUAUAUAUAUAUCAACUAAUCUUGAAUUAUGAUAUCAUUAAAAAUCAUUAAUUUUUGUAAUAAAUAUUUUAUUUAAAAUACAAGUUGAGUCUAUAAUGAAUCAAAGUUUGAAUUCUUUUGAGAAAAAUAUCUAUAUUUGGUGUCUAGCUGUGUCUCAAAUAAGUAUAUGAUGGUGCUUCACAGGUCUAGCUAGCUAGAGAUUAGAACUUAACGUUUAUUUAUUUAAAUAUGUAUUUGAAGAAUUUUGGGCGGCUAGGUUUCCAUGCAGCAAAAGUUUGACGCCAUUUGUUUAAUGAAAUCCCUUGAUUUACGGUGGAGAUUCAUUAGCCAACUUUCCCACUCCCACACACCCAUUUAUUUUGUCUAGUACCUUUUAGGGCCGCCAUAAAAAAGUCCAAAAAUACUUCUUAGGAUUUCAUUCAUCAUUUUUAGGGAAACCUUCACUCCCAAUUAAUCAUAUUUUCUUCGUUCACAUUAUUCAAACUCGAUUUUGUUUAAGAAAUUCAAAUAUAAUUUAUUAAUAAAUUCUUUAUAGAAGUCCAUCCGACCUUGCUUAAGGAUAUUACAGAAGUUAAUUUUAUAUUUAAAUUAAUAAAAUGUUAGGAAUAAAUAAUUUAAAAUUAGUUAAAAAACAAUUUUAUUAACUUUCACCAAGGGAACCUUGCCACCAUAUUUUAUUUUAUUCAAUUUCUUAAUCUUGUUUUUGCUUCUUAUAUCAUAAAUCAUAAGUACAAAUUCUGCUUAAAAUUAUUGAAAUCUAUUUUUUUAAACCUUGUUAAUAGUUUAUAUGAUUUUCACUUUAAAGUUUUAAGGAAACUUAGAACACAGAGUUGGGUAAAUCUUUUGGAAAUUCAAAAAAUUACAUUUUGGAUGACCCUUUUACUAUUAGUGAGUUGAAGUUUUUUUUUUUUUUUGAUAAAAGAGUGUGGAGGCAUCGAAACUUGUCUCACCACCAUGUUCUUUGUCAAAGAGGAGUAAAACUAUAGGGUUCCAUAAUUUGUCUAAAAAGAUUAAGUUUUUAUCUUUUAAUUUUAUGAGAAAUCUUUCUAUUUUUUAAUUUUGAUUGAUGAUUUUGAUGUGUGGAGAGAAGGAAUAAGACUAAGGAGAAAAUGAAAACCUUGAAGAAUUUAAUUCCAAAUUCCAACAAAGUACUGUAUCUCGACAUAUAUUUAUAAUCAUUUCUCUCUUCAUUAACUUGAUUAAUCUUAAAAAAUAUUACUAUUUUCUUUUUUUUAUAGAAUUUUUUUUUUUUUAUGAUUCCUUUGUGUUUGUUUUCAAUAGAUAGACAGAGCUUCAAUGCUAGAUGAGGUCAUAGAAUAUUUAAAGCAACUCCAGCUUCAAGUGCAAGUGAGUUUUAAUUUCAUUCAUUCGUGAUAUUAGAUUAGUCACCUCCUUGGAUAUGUCUUAUCUUACAAAGCGAUUUCUUUUUGUUUUCUUUGCCAUGAUAUGGGAGACACCUACAUUAUGGUUCUCUGAUUAUAAUUUCAAGUUCAAUUUAAAACUGCCAGUUGUUUAAUUUGCAUUAGAAAGACAUAAUACGGGUGUGUGGACAUAUUACGACGGUUAUCCAAUAAUCGUAGUAGAAAGUCAUUUCCUGAAGACACAUAUAAAGACGGUCUUUCAUAGACCGUCGUAGUAGGUGGAACUUUCUAAGACGAUUAAAUUACAACCGUCGUAAAAUGUCAAUUACCAUACACGCUUACUAGGACGGUUAAGCAAAUAACCAUCGUAAACUGAUACAACAUAUUACAGCAGUUAACAUAUAACCGUCAUAAAAAGUGGCAUAUACAACGACGGUUCUCAUGUCCGUCUUUAUAAUUUGUUUGCCUUUUAUGACACCUCAUUUUACGACGGUUCAAAAUCGUCGUAAAAUGUGCGAUUUAACCGACUUAGAAAGUAAUAAUUCUAGUAGUGUUUAAGCAACCUUCUUGGCCAAUGGAUUUCGGGAUACUCAGGAUCAUGUGGACUAGAUUGUGUACCAAUCUCAAGGCUGUGAACUCCUUGCCAUCUUUUAUGGUCUCUGUCAUGUCUGCAAUCUAGGCUUAGGGAUGUAGUUUGUGAGUAUGAUUCUACAGUGGCUCUUAAACUCAUCUUAGAAGAAACCAGCAAGUUUCACCGUCAUCAACUCAAUUAAUCAAGUUUCUGGCGAAGGCAACGUCUGUGCAAAUUGGCUUGCUAAUUAAGUUUGGAGCCUCAACCUAGUGAUAAUUCAUUUCUAGUUUCGCAACAUUGCCCACCUAAACUGUCUUUGUCUCUUUUAGCAGAUGUAGGCUGAGAUUCUUAUUAGAUUUUGUACGCGUGUUUAGUUUGCUUUGCUUUUUUAAGUUUUCUCAUGUAUAAAAAAUUAUGUUAGAUCACGUUAAUAUGGUUUUUGUGUUUCUUAUAUUGUUUAAAAUAACAAAAACAAACAUUUAUUAUAGGCUCAUUACAUGUUAAUACGGGAAUCAACUCUGGGAAAAACAAAAUUAUCCUGGUGACCUAAUUUUUCCAAAAAAAUCAGCACUUCUAUUAGCCUCUUUAUAAAUAUGAGAGAUAUAUAGAAGGGUCUCAAUCUGUCAUAGACAUAUAUGCUUCCUGAUAUCAGCAAGAAGUGGUCAUAACAAAAUGGACUUGGAGAAAUCUUAAUUUUUGGAUGAUACAAACCACCACAAGAGAAUCCAUCUCAAAAGUAAUCCUUUGAAGUGAAAAUAGCUAUGGGAACACUUAAGGAAUCUAGAAUAAGACCUCCACAAAAAGCUUGGUUCGAGGAGGGAUAGUAAGAACCAUCCGUCUUAACUUUAAAAGCCCCUGCAGGAGGAGGUACUCGUGCUUAGUCGCCUACUAACUCUCCAUGCACCCAUUAAUUGUUCCUUCUUCUUAGGCAUAGUCUAGUGUAGUAUGCGACCAACUAGGGUAUGAUGAGUAUGUUGGUGUAGUAGUGCCAUAAGGCGAGGAUAUUUAUGCUUUCGAGGCUUUGUGUUGUAUGUACAAUGUAUCUCAUGGUGGCGUAUCUUUGUUUCGUAGUUGGAUAGUGGUUGCAUAACUUACAAAAAAUUAACACAUUUUUAUAAGCAAAUUAAUGGAGAGUUUUCUUAUAAAAUGGAUCGUAUACAUUAUGUUAGUAUAAAGUAAUUACAGGUUGGUAACUUAAUUUAUGGCAAAUAAAACUAGGCUUAUUCAGCUCUACCCAAUGGGCUAGAUUAGGCUCAAAAAAUGUAAGCAAAAAAAAAGGCCGAUUAAUCUCCAUAGAUUUGGACAAAUGCUAAGUGCACUCUGCAUUAUUGCUGGUGCACCCAGCACUUAAGGGGAAAAGAUUGAAAUAUCCUUGAUCCGUAAGUCUUUUAAGUUGAUCAGUAGAAGCCUUACGGAUCAACUUGAUCCAUAUCAAUCUUAUGGAUCAACUUGAUUCGUAUGAUUUACGGACCACCCUCAUACACACCCAACAUAAAUGCGAAGAAAGUGCAGGGGCAAUUUUGGCAUUUUUAAAAAUGUUGGGUGCACCUAGCAUCAGCCAUAGAUUCAGCUUAUAUAUUAAACAUGUUGAAUUUACUUUAUUUUGUAUUUAUGGUUGUUGGCCCAACAUAGAGUUUGGGGGGACUAACAAAUUUGUAAUGCUAAAGAAAUUUGGUUCAACCUAUUGACAAUAUAUUGUUAAUAUAUUAUAAAUCAUUAUUUAAAAAAAAAAAGCUUUUGAUGAUGAUUGUGAAAGGUUUUCAACAACGAUUUUGAAUCGAUGAUGAAAUCAUCAUCGUUGAAAAUCAAACACUUUCAACAAAAGUUUUAAACUAAUGUAGAAAAUAUUUUUUUUUUUACACUAGUUCUACAUAAAACCGAUGUAUAAUGUGUGUUAAAGUUUGUAAAACUGUAAGUGUUCUAUAUUUCUACCGCCAAUGUAGAAAUUUUUUUUUUUAUAAAAAAAUAUAUGGCCAUUUUUUAACUAGUGUUUUGUAAUCUCCUCGUAUAAAAUAACCGAAUAUAUGGAUCCCCUAAUUCAUCAAUCUGCUAGAUCUAACAAGUAGGAGUACUCCAUCAACCAGUUCAAACAAUUUAAAAUUUUGUCAAUUGACACUACAAAUUAAGGUAUUAUCAACAUGGCAUAAUUAAAAGUUAGUAGACCUCGUCAAUUUUUUAAAUCGUAGUCAUUGACUCAGAUUUACACUAACAUGUGUGAUGAAUUUUGGUGAUUGGUCUGAGAAUAGCACGGGUACAUAUAACAUGUGGGAUGGAAUAGGUCGCGCUACAGCACAUGUAUAUAUAUAUUUAUCUUAGAUAUGCUAUAUAUUCACAUCACAUGUUAAUUAUUUUAUGUUAAUAAUUUCACCUUCUCACUCAUGUUCUCGAUGAAGUCUUUGUUUAAGGCAUUUAAAAAGUUGAAACUUUUUGCUGCAACUCUAAACCUAAUAAACUUCUGCUUAUCAUGUUGCUGACUGGCAUACAAGUUUCGGGUUAGGUGUUUUAAGGUUUUCAUGUUUUAUUGCGGUGCAGGGGAAUUGAUGAUGUGGUGGUGAGAAUAUAUUGAGUCUGAAAAGGCAGUAUUUCUUUAUUAGUACUAAUGUAGAUAAUAUUGUAAUAUUGUUAUUAUAAAUUGAUUUUCAUAUUCUAUAAUAAUAUUUACUUAUUAUUAGCAAUAUUGAUAAUAUUGUAAUUAUAAAUAUUGAUUUUCAUAUUAUAUAAUAAUAUUUAUUAAUUAUUAGAAAUAUUGAUAAUAUUGAAAAUAUAAAAAUUAUUAAUUGACCUAAAUUUUAAUUGCAGGUUAUUCGAUAUUUAACAUCGAUGGUGACAUAAGCACCGAUGUAGAAAUCUGUUAUUUCUAAGAUGGUGCUGACAUCACUACCGUCUUCGAAAUAACAAAUUUCUACAUCGGCGCUUAAGUGAGCACCGAUGUGGAAAACCCUUUUUUUUUAAAUUGUUCACGAAUAUAAUACUGAUGUAGAAGGUCUAAUUUCUACAUCGAUGAUUAGUUUACCACCGUUGUAAUAAUUACUUAUCAAAGACGGUUGGUACGUUAGGCGCGAUGUAGAAAACAUUGUCUUUAUACAAUGGUCGUUUUAAGAUCGAUGUUGAAACUUUUAACUUUCAAUGACAUCUUAUUUUAACUAUGAAACAAAGAUAUUUAUGCUUUCGACGCUUUGUGUUGUAUGUACAAUGUAUCUCUUAGUGGCGUAUCUUUGUUUCAUAGUUGGAUAGUGGUUGCAUAACUUAAAAAAAUAAACACAUUUUUAUAAACAAAUUAAUGAAGAGUUUUCUUAUAAAAUGGAUCGUAUACAUUAUGUUAGUAUAAAGUAAUUAAUAGUGAUACUGGAUGGUUACAAGUUGGGAACUUAAUUUAUGGCAAAUAAAACUAGGCUUAUUCGGCUCUAUCCAAUGGGUUAGAUUAGGCUAAAAAAUGUAAGAAAAGAAAGGCCUAUUAAUCUCCAUUUGAUUAACUAUUUUUUUUUUUGUAAAUUUAUAUAUUUUUAGUAUUUUAUAUAUUGAACAUGUUUAAUUUAUUUUAUUUUGAAUUUAUGGUUGUUGGCCCAACAUAGAGUUUGGGGGACUAACCAAUUUGUAAUGCUAAAGAAAUUCUGGUCAACCUAUUGACAAUAUAUUGUUAAUAUAUCAUAAAUUAAAAAAAAGGCUUUUAAUGAUGAUUCUGAAAGGUUUUCAAGAAUGAUUUUGAAUCGAUGUUGAAAUCAUUAUCAUUUAAAAUCAAACACUUUUGACGAAAGUGUUAAACUGAUGUAGAAAUUAUUUUUUUACAGUAGUUCUAUGUAAAACAGAUGUAUAAUGUGUGUUAAAAUUUGUAAAAUGUCUGUGUUCUAAUCUCUACCGCCAAUGUAGAGAUUAUUUUUUUUUAUAAAAAAUAUAUGGCCAUUUUUUAACUAGUGUUUUGUAAUCUCCUCGUAUAAAAUAACCGAAUGUAUGGAUCCUCUGAUUCAUCGAUCUGCUUGAUCAAACAAGUAGGAGUACUCCAUCAACUAGUUCAAGCAAUUUAAAAUUCUGUCAAUUGACACUACAAAUUAAGGUAUCAUCAACAUGGCAUAAUUAAAAGUUUGUAGACCUAGUCAAUUUUGACUCAGAUUUACACUAAAAGAAUUAUAAGAAAUUGCUCACAUACCUUGUCCGUGUAGCGUUUAAGGAGAAUAGGUACAUCAGACUUGGGUUUGAGUCCUCCAAAUAAGCACCCCACGAGGCUCUUCAAUUCCCACUAUGGAGGACUUCACUAAAACUAAGGCCCGACGUGGAUCCUGGCUUGUCCAAUCCUAAAACUACUGUUUUUCUCCAACCCUGUUGGCAAGGCAUCUUAUUUAAACAGCAUUCAAUAAGUUUGCAUCGGAUAAGAGUUUAUUAUUGAAAAUUGCAAUCAAACCUGUCUCAAUUUGACAGGAAUUAAAUUCAUUUUCAUGAAGUACUAGGAAUUUCAAAUUAGUUUGGCACAAAAGAAAACUAUUACCGGUGCUACUUUUAGUCGAUUUUCAAGCUUUGUGCUAGGUUGAUCCUUGAAAUUAUACUGCAGUUAUUCAUUUAAUCACAUUAUUUUGUCCGCCCGCCUAUAAACCAUAGUGCAAGCUUGAUCCUUGAUAUAUAUAUAUAUAUAUAUAUAUAUAUAUAUAUAUAUAUAUAUAUAUAUAUAUAUAUAUAGAGAGAGAGAGAGAGAGAGAGAGAGAGAGAGAGAGAGAGAGAGAGAGAGAGAGAGAGAGAAUCUUCUUUCACCAAUUAAUGAUGCCAUGCCAACACGUCCAAAUUUUUUUGGGACUACACUGUAACGGUAUGUUUUCUAUAUACAAUUACAAUGUAUUCCCAGCUAGCUGGGAUAUGUCUGCAAGUUCUUUAAUAUUUUAUGUUUACAUUUUCAAGUUGGUUUUUGUAAACAAAAUCUGACCAGAUCAAAAUCAAAUGGAACUGCCCUUAUAUCGUGGUUAAUUUUGAGCUUCUGCUUCCCACCUUUUGGUGUUGCUGUUGAAACCUAAAAACAAUAUCUAAAUUUUCAUUUCCUAAUUUGUGAAAGAAUUGAAGCACUUAUUGCAAUAUUUGUCAAGAUCAAUUAUUCUUUAGAACCAUUAAAUACUAAGAAAAAAAUGGUGAUAUAGGAUGAGAAAUAUAUAGAGAGAGAAUAAAUCUUAUUUUAAUUAAAGUUAGUUGGUAGUAGUUACAUAAUCAAAUAAAAAAGUAAUUGAUUAAAUUCAAAUUAUUUCUCUAGAAUUUCUCUAUUUUGUAACUUACAAGCUUGUAAUAUAUAUGUUACGAUGUUCUUAAAUUUCUAAAAAGUUUUUUAAGAACAACCUGUCUAGGUAAACUUUUUCAGAAAGAAUUCUAACAAAAUAAGAAAAAAAGAGUUUUUCAUAUUAGUUUUUCCAAAAGAUAUUUUUAACUUAUGUAUAAACUAACAUUAACUUAUAAAAAAGUUCAUUCAAAUUUUUUUAGUACUUCUGACUAAAUUUAUCCAAAGAGAUCCUUAAUAUUAAUAUAUAUCAACAAUACUUACAUCCAAAUUAUCACUUAAUCAAGCCUUGAAACUUAACUUUUACACAUCAGAAAUUAUUUAAGAUUGAUGAGCAUUAUUUUAUAUAAAAUAACCAGAUUAAUUAACCAAUUACGUGCUUGGCUUUCAUUUCUAAAAUCAAUCCUAGUAAUUAUUUAGAAAUUUUUAAAAAAAUAUUUAAUUAUAAUUCAUUAUGUAUGGUAAAUUUAUUAACUUUUAAAAUAAUUAUAAUAAAAUAAUUCAAAAUAUAUGAUUUAUGAUUAAAUGAUUAUAUAAAAUUAAUUUAUACAAUAUGUGACAUUAAACUCAAUUACUAAUCAACUCAUGGUGGUCAAUAAGCACAUAAAGACGUAGCCAAGGGACAAACAAAAUAAAUUAAAAACAAUCACCACAACUCUUACGAUCUUACAAAAGUCUUCAAACCCUAAGCGUAAAGUCCUCGUCAGUAAUGCUUGUCAUGUUUUAUCUUUCACAAUAAACGCCGGCAAAAAUGUAGCUAAAUUAAUAAAUCAUGUUUUUCUCAAUAAUUAGCCUCUGCAUAAUAACUUGGUGAAUAACCAAAUUAAUAAUAAUUAUAUACGUAUAAUUGGCAAAUCAGCAGAACUUUGCACUCGACAAACUGCACCGGAAAAAAAAAAGUUAGAUGCUCUCUGCCUAGAUUCUCUUGAUUGCUUGGGGAAACACUCCUAGUGGACUUCGGUUCCAAAGGCCAGGUAAUAAUUAGUAUAAUCGUGUUUUUAAUUUUUAUUUCUUUAAAGUAGUUUAUUACAUUGGAUUAGCGGAUAAAAAUUAAAAAUGUAAUAUACAAAAACACAAAAUACACUUAAGCAUUGCUCCCCCAAAAUUUUCAAGAUUUAUAUAUAUGUCCUGCAUAUUGGUGUUUUUUAAUUUGCAAUCUAAUUUUAAAUUUUUAAUGUUUAAAGCUUUUGUUCUUUUAGAAUCCCAGAUAAUCUCAACUAGCACAGUGCUCUUAUUCACAGGUAUGUAUACAUAUAUGUGAAGUGACCAAUUCUUUAAAAAAAAAUUAUGAUAAUCAAAUAUAGUGACAUGUAACAUAGAAGUAAGUAUAAUAUAGUAAUAUAAAAAGUAUUGUUUCUUGAUGAACCAAAUAUGAAAAUUGUUUUGUUUAUAGAUAAUUUCAAGAAAGAAAUGAGAUUGAUCAUUGAUAGUACCAUUUUUAUUUGUGAUCAAUAGGAAAAAAUAAUCUACAAUUUUUUUAUUUUGUUUUUAGCAAUGUCUAAGAAGUAUUUUCACUUGUACACCUUUUCAUCCUUCACAUUGUAUCCAACGAAAAACCUCACAAAUAAAAAUUCAGCUAUUGAAACCAGCCUCACGCAAUACAUAUUUCACUAGGUGUAGUUUGACUUUUUUCCUGGACGUCGAUUUUGAAUGGGGAGAGGACGAGGGCGUGGGCGAGGGCGGCCGGCUAAAAUUCCGGUGCCACCGUCAACAACUACUCAAAAAUCACCACCGAAAUUGAACCCGGAACCUAGCAAUGCUAGUCAUGAAGUUACUGUUGAAGACUAUGUGAGCUCUGAGGAUGAUGAAUCUGAAGAAACCCCAAUUCCUUCAACUAACCUACCGAGCUGCAAUGUACCAGAGAAACCUAAAGAGGAGACGAACGAAAAUAAGGUACCAAGAAAGCUAUGGACUGAUGUAAUUAGUGGAAAUCGUAAGCCUGAGAAUGGGAUGGCUCUUGAGUUUUUUGCUCCAAAGAUUGUGGAAGGAAAGCCGAUUGCUGAAAUUGAACCUGAAGACAUCAUUGGUGAGCUUAAAUAUUGGGAAUCUGCUUUGAUUAUGUAUGUCAUAGGGAGAGAUCUUAGUAUGAAUUCUGUUAAGCAAUUCAUGGAAAAGAAUUGGAGUUCUGUGAAAUUGCCAGAUCUGUUCUAUAAUGAUGAAGGAUACUUCAUUAUGCGUUUCCAUUCUUCCCAGGACAAGGAUGAAAUUUUAUCGAAGGGUCCUUACACAAUUAUGAACAUGACUAUGCUCCUUAGAGAUUGGUCCCCUGAGUUUAAUCUCAAGAGAGACAUGCUGAGAACAAUCCCUAUCUGGAUUAAGCUUCCUCAAUUACCUUUAUACCUUUGGGGUGCGAAAACCAUGGGGAAAAUUGGUAGUAUACUGGGAAAACCGAUAGUUACAGAUGAAUGCACAGCUCAAAGGCUGAGAAUCUCUUAUGCUAGAAUGUUAGUGGAGAUUGAUAUCACCCAAGAAAUGCCAAAGGAAAUCACUAUUGCUGAUAAUGAAGGGCAUGAGUUAAUUCAAGCUGUGGAGUAUGAAUGGAAACCGAAGUACUGUGGAAAGUGUAAAAAGUUUGGACAUGUGUGUGAAAAACCUAAAGUCAGAAAAGAGAAAGUUUGGGUACCAAAACCUACUCUGAAAAGUAAUGAGCAAGAGGAAGGGGGGCCUAGCAAUAAGGAGACACAGAUGAUCAACACUACUAAUACUGAGGACCUGGUUUCAGAGUGGACUACAGUACAGAAGGCAGGAAAAAAGACAGUUACUGAUACAGGUACAAUGCAGAAAGCUGGAAAGAAGAUAAUUACUGAUACAGGUACCUCUGAAUUGAAUUGCUCUAAUGGAUUUGGCCUACUAGGAGUUGUGAAUGACUCUCUAGUGGUGCAGGAGAAAGUGCCAGGAUGAUUUCUUGGAACAUUAGGGGACUAAAUAAGGUUGGUAAGACGAUAGAGAUCAGUUCCCGUCUCAAGAGUCUCAACCCCACUAUUAUUGUUCUUCUUGAAACUCGAGUAAGAAAGAAUAAGCUCUUACUGUUAGAAAUAAACUCAAUCUGAAUAUGAAGUAUCUGGAUACUAUGAUAAGCAUGAAAAUGGGAGAAUCUGGUUUAUUUGGGAUGAUAGCAAAGUUAUGAUCAAGCACAUUUGUAGUACUUCUCAGCUGAUUCACUGUGGUGUCUAUAAUCCCAAUGGUGAUUUCUUGCAUUGGUGCACGGCUAUUUAUGCUCUUAAUCACUUAGAUGAUAGAAGGAAGCUUUGGAAAGAUAUCGAAGAUCUCAGAGUUCAGCAGGCUGAUCCUUGGUGUCUUUUGGGCGAUUUCAACAAUGUUCUAAAGGCUGAAGAUAGAAUUGGUGGCAGAGAUGUAACUGAGUCUGAAUAUGUUGAUUUGAGAGAGAUGAUGUCUAGAGUUGGUUUGUAUGAAAUGGAUACUUGUGGAGAUUUCUUUACUUGGACCAACAAACAAGCUGAUAAUACCAUAUACUCUAGGAUUGACAGAUUUUUGGGUAAUCUCAAUUGGCUGCAAAUGCAUAUUGAUUCCACUUUACAAAUUUUGACUCCUAGUAUUUCAGACCAUGCCCUUAUGUUUCUCAGUUGUAAAGAUCAAAGUAGCAGGCUCAGGGGUAGAUUUAAGUACAGAAACAGUCUGGCUAGGUUGAAUGGUUUCCAUGAUGAAGUUAAGAAGAAUUGGAACUUGGGUGUACAUGGUAAUCCUAUGUAUAAACUUUGGACUAAGCUCAGUAGACUUCAAUCUGUUCUGAAAAACCUCAGCAGUCCUCUAAAUGGCCUAAGGGAGAAAAUUGAUGAAGCUAGAAGAAACUUGCAGCAAGCUCAUGAAGAUCUAUGCAGAGAUAGAUUCAAUGUGGAUAACAUUAACAGGGUAAAGGACAGGACUUCUGAGCUUCUUCAACUCAAUGAGUUGGAGGACAGUGAUUUGAGACAAAAGGCUAAAAUUAAUUGGAUUCGUCAGGGGGAUGGUAAUAACAGCUACUUUCAUGCUACUAUCAAAGGUAGAUAUAAGCAUAAUGCUAUCAGAUCUCUGAUUAAAGAGGAUGGGAGCUGCAUAACUUCUCAUGAGGAUAUCGAGGAAGAAGUUUUAAAGUUCUACAGUGCUCUUUUGGGUUCUAGUGAGAGCAAUCUGGCUGGUCUGAACAUUCCUGCCAUUAGGAAUGGCAAUACUCUAAAUCAAUUUCAAAGAGAUAUGCUCAUUGGCCCUGUUUCGAAUGCUAAGAUUGAUACAGCUAUAAAAGGUAUGGAUGUGAAUAAAACUCCAGGAAUUGAUGGCUAUGGUGUGGGUUUUUUCAAAGAUGCUUGGAGCAUAGUUGGUAGUGAUGUGAGAGAAGCUAUCCUAGACUUUUUCCUUCGUAAUAGGCUUCAUAAAGGUUUCAAUAGUUCUGUGGUGGCUCUUAUUCCCAAGCAUAAGGAAGCUAAGAUGAUUAAAGAUUUUAGGCCUAUUUCUUGCUGUUCUACUGUUUACAAGAUUAUUUCUAAAGUGUUAACUAAUAGAUUGAGUAAAGUUAUUGACACUUUAGUGGGAAAGAAUCAAGCUGCCUUUGUUCCAGGUCAGCAACUUCAUGAUCAUGUUCUGCUGGCUUUUGAGCUUCUUAGGGGCUAUGAGAGGAAACAUGGUACUCCUAAAUGUAUGUUGCAUAUUGAUAUUCAAAAGGCGUAUGAUACGGUGCAUUGGGAUGCUUUGGAGCAUAUCUUGAGAGAGCUUGGUUUUCCUGAUCAGUUUAUCAAGUGGAUCAUGAUCGCAGUCAGAUCUGUCACCUAUGUCUUUAAUAUCAAUGGCAGGUUCACUAGAAGAUUAGAGGCUAGGAGAGGAAUUAGACAAGGGGAUCCUAUCUCCCCCUUGCUGUUCAUCCUGGUUAUGGAGUAUCUCAACAGAAUUCUAAGCCAACUGGAUAAAAUUCCUAACUUUAAUUAUCAUUCUAAAUGUGAGAAGAUGAAGAUAACUAAUUUGUGUUUUGCGGAUGACCUUCUCCUUUUUUCCAGGGGUGAUAUCGGUUCAGUGCAGAUUAUGCUUGACAAGUUCAACACUUUCCUCCGUUCUAUGGGCCUUCAUGUGAAUCCUUCAAAGUGCAACAUAUACUGCGGAUCUGUUGAUAUUAAUGUCAAAGAGCAAUUAUUGUUGAUUUCUGGUUUUAAAGAAGGAAAAAUGCCCUUUAGGUAUCUUGGUAUUCCUUUAUCCAGCAAGAAACUCAACAUAAAGCAUUAUCAAGUUCUUAUAGAUAAAAUUGUUGGUCGGAUUACUCAUUGGAGUGCUGGUCUUCUCUCUUAUGCUGGUAGAGUGCAACUUAUUCAAAGUGUCAUCUUUGCUACAAUCAAUUUUUGGAUGCAAUGUCUGCCCCUGCCAAAAUUUGUGAUCAUGAGAAUAAAUGCUAUUUGUAGGAGUUUUCUGUGGAUAGGUAAUAGCAACAUUUCUAGGAAGUCUCCAAUUGCUUGGGAAAAAGUCUGCAGUCCAAAGAUUAUUGGUGGUUUGAACAUCAUCAACUUAGCUAUAUGGAAUAAAAUCAGUAUCCUGAAAUUACUUUGGAAUGUCUGUAAUAAAUCUGAUAAUCUUUGGAUUAAAUGGUUGCACACGUACUAUAUUCGAGGUCAAUCAAUUUGGAGUAUGGUUUUGAAGAAGAGUCACUCUUGGAUUAUGAGCAGCAUGAUGAAGUUGAGGCCCCUUUUGCUGCAAUAUCAGUCCAGAAUGCAGGAUGUUUUUAAAAUGAAAAAAAUUUAUUUGGCUCUGUUUGAGGAAAGUGAGAAAAUGAGUUGGAGGACUCUAAUGUGCAACAAUCUGGCCAGACCGCGGGCUCUUUUUUGUUUGUGGCAGGCGUGUCACUUCAGGCUUGCUAGCAAAGAUCGCCUGAUAAAAUUUGGUUUGAAUGUUGAUGCUAACUGUGCUUUUUGUUCCUCUAUGGAAUCCCAUGAACAUCUCUUUUUUGGUUGUAUUGAGUUGAAGACUAUUUGGACUGCGGUUCUUAAUUGGUUGCAGAUAAUUCAUAUGCCAAGUACUUGGUCAGAAGAAUUGAAUUGGAUUACUAGGAAGUGUAAAGGAAAGGGAUGGCGUGCUAUGUUACUCAAAUGUGCUUUUACUGAAACAAUAUAUCAUAUUUGGGCUUAUAGAAACCAUAGGGUUUUUGGUGGAAAUGUAAAUAACAGGAAAGUUGAGGAUUCGAUUAUCAAUACGAUAAUCUAUAGAGUGUGGGAUAGAAAGAGGUAUAGGAGGUAUAUUGCUGAGUUGAUGACAUAAUUUCUUUUUUGGGGUUUUGGUUUAGUUUAGAACCAAUUCCUUGGUCUUUUUGUUUACUUGGCUUGUUGGGGCUGGAUCGGUUGCGAUCGCCUUGUGUUUAUCGUUUUUUUUUUGAAUUAAUUCAUUUCUUGAUUCAAAAAAAAAAAAAAAUUCAGCUAUUGAGAAAGUGUCAAUUUGACGUCAAUUAAAUCAAAAGUUACAUUUAGCACUAGUUCAAAUUUGAACUUAGAUUCAUGGGUAGGUACAGUUUCUCCGGGCCAAUCAACCAUAUCUGAAAAACAAAAAUAAGUUUCCCACGGUCAUUUUCACUCUGGCCUCAAUAAUCUUAAGGAGAAAUUAAGUUAGAAUAUAACAACACUGAUGUGUAACAUUUUUCCGGAUAAUUAUAUUUAAGUAUUUAUCAAUGUUGUUACUUAGUACCUGCAUCGUUACUUCUUCGAAACAUAUAUACAAGGUCAAUUUCCACGUUGCCUUUGAUAACUUGUUGAUUCUCUGUAGAUUCAGUAACAUAUAUACAAGGUCAAUUUCCAUUUCAGAAUGAAUUGGAUUUAGUAAAACGUAAAAGGAGAAAGACAUGAAAUGAAACAUAUCCUUGACAGAAAUAGUUUUCUAGUUGGUUAGACUUGGAAGAUACCUGUUGAUCAUCCUUGGUGGCUAAAUCCAUCUAUCGUCAACCUGAAUGCCAGGGAUGUGGGAAAUUUUAGGCCAAAUUUGAGGGUGCUUCAUGCGGCAUCUUUUUUCCAGCAAAGGACAUCUCUCUAUGGUUAAUUUUAUUAGAGAGACAGGAAGCCUGUCUCCCACCAUAUUUUCCAGCAAAGGACAACUCUUUAUGGUUAAUUCUUGCAGGGAUGUGAGAUGGAGAAGCCCCGUGCAGUCCAACAUCUCCAGAUUUGACAAGUCAUAUAGAUACAGAGAAGUAAGGGAGGGAGGCAGCAAACCCUCCUUAGGGAAGGACUUGAUGCCAUCACAUCGACCCCCAACAGUGAGAUGGGUAAGCAUGCCCAUGGAUGGCCAUGCUAGGCCGCUCAGUAGUUUCUCACAAUUGUCAAUCCAAACUGUUCUCAGGUUAGGUGGCAUACCCCCUUCUGGAAAGGACUCAAUUUCUGGGCAGUUGGAUAUGACGAGAUAUUCUAACUUUGGGAGAAGACUACUCAUCUCAUCAGGUAACGACUUCAACUUGUCAGAGCCCGCAACGAUGAACUUAAGCAAGUUGGGCGCAGGCAAUCCUUCUCCCCAGAAUGAUACAAAGUUGGAGCAUUUGUAAAUUGUCAAAGAACACAGACUCUUAAAUGACUCUGCCCCUGAAACCAAAAGAGAUUCCAUAUUUUCACAGUUUCUGAUUGCAAGAUCUCUGAGAUUUGGAAAGGUAACCAAUGGAAGAGAUGUGAGUGAAUCACAACUGCUUUGUAUUGACAGUGUUUCCAGUAACUCAUGUUUGUGUUGCGUCGGGAAUUCCAGUUUUUUAAGAUCCUUGAUAUGCAGAGUCUUCAGUGAUUCAGGUAAACGACCCCCCGGAAAUGACACGGCUGACGAGCAAUCCCUUAAUGUUAAAGACCGGAGACAAGUUGGUUGGAUGUUAGUGAUGACCUCCACCAUUGGGCUUCCUUCUACUGUUAUAGUUUCUACCAAGAGAGGAAAUGCAUGCAGUGCUACUUUAUUGCUUUUAAGUAUCACCAAACUUUGAAUGGCGGGAGCCGUUGGGAGAGAAGAGACAAGCAGCUCGCAAUUACUAAUAUAAAGUGUUGUCAGAGCAGGAAGGUGAUUCGGCAAACUUCCCUCUAGUUUGGGGCAGUCACGUAUUUCAAGACUUUUAAGCACAGGAAAAGCUUCUGAAUCAAAGGAACUCCACACCUCCCAACAAGGCAUGUGAUGAAUGGUCAGAGAUUCAAGGGAGGGAAAGGGCAUCCGACAAUCUUCAUUCUUGUAGAAACCUGCAUCAAUAGUCUUCAGCCUAUUCAAUCCUGAAAUUUCAAGGACCUUGAGAGAAGGUAGUUGUCCAAGUGAAGGAAGCAUACUACAGUUGUCACAAUCACUUAAGGUUAGACUUGUCAUAUUGCAGUAGGAAGAAUUUCCCAUCCAAUCUGGAAAUCUGGUUCCUUGAUAACCUUUUAUUUCCAAAGAUUCAAUGUUAUAGUGAGGCUGUAACUUGCAAAGCACAUCUAUUUCAAGUUGGAAGUUGGUACUGUUGUUGUUGUUGUUACAUCUAGACCAUUCCAACUGUAAACUAUUAAUGUGUUUUUUAUCCAUCAUCCUUGCCUCCAACGCUUCAUCACUUUGGGAAACAUUCUCCAAGUUCCUAAGUUCAAGUUGACCACGAAGAUUUGAAAGUCCUCCCAAUUCUUUGAUUCCAUUCCCUUCGUGCUUGCCCACAACAAAGAAAUGCAGAUGUUGUAAAUGAUUUAAUUUACUCAUUCCUCUCGGCAUCUCUUCUAUAGGAGUUUUACGUAUCUCAAGAUGACGCAAGUUAACAAGAUUGCGCAGGUCACUAGGCAACUUAGUCAGUUUUCUGCAAUUAUACAACUUCAAAGUUUGCAGAUUGUACAAAUUAGACACUGACUCUGGCAGUGUUUCUACACUUGAACGAGAGAGAUCUAAAUAGCGCAGAUGGAUCAAUUUACCUAUUGAAUCAGGCAAAGAAUCCAGACUUCGGAAGUCAUGAAAUGAUAAAACUCUCAAGUACAUAAGCUUCGACACUAUGAUACAUCGUGCCUCCUCGUUGUUGAAUGGAGCAGCUUCAAAAUUGAUAAUGGACAAGAAAGUUCUCAGAAAUUUUACUCUACCAACAAUAUCAAAGUUGUCCAAGACUGCAGAAUUGAAUUUGGUAAAUGACAAAUGACGAGUCUUAGUAUUGAUCUCUGUUUCUUUCCCAAGUUCUUCUGAUCUAAAAUAAAAAUCUCCACCGAGUGAUGUGGCUAGAUCAUGCAUGAGGUCAUGCAUCACAAACCAUUUUCGAUGAGACAAACUACUUGAAUUUGAACGUUGGAAAAAUGAUCUCGAAACCAAAUCAUCAAAAUACUCAUGACCAACCUCUUCUAAAGUCCUACCUCUUCUUGGUUUCUUCAAAAGAUCUUCAGCCAUCCACAACAAGGUUAAUUCAUUUUUUUCAAAUUGGUAAUCUUGUGGAUACAAGGAACAAUAAACAAAGCACCGUUUUAAAUGUGGAGGGAGAUAAUGAUAACUAAGUCUCAGUGCUGGAAUAACUUUACACUCACUUUCAGAAAGUUCCCAAAUGUCACUAUUGAGAAUAUUAUACCAAUCCCCAAUGUCAUGCUUUCUUCUCAACAUGCCUCCAAGCGACUGUGCUGCUAAAGGCAGUCCGUUGCACUUUUUAACAAUCUCCUUUCCAAUUUUUUCUAGUGUUGUUCUGUUCUCGUUCGAUUCGGAGGAAAAACACGCAUGGUUCGCAAACACUGACCAACAAUCUUCAUUCGACAAUUGGUUUAGAUGAUAGGUGUGAACAGUUUGGACUAUAGAUGCUGUUUUUUCACUGCGGGUUGUUAGAAGAAUCUUACUUCUCCUAAUCCCACGGUUAAAUGGUUUCUUAAGAAGACUCCAAUCAACAUAAUCCUCUGUCCAAACAUCAUCCAAGACAAUUAAGAAUUUUUUAUCUUUCAGCUUGUCCAUCAAUUCAAGAUGAAGUAGAUUCAGAUCAUUCAAGUUACAAGGCUUUUCAGUAACUGCCUCUAUUAUAGCUUUUGUGACCUUCAGAAUAUCAAAUUCUUGAGAAACACAAACCCAUGCCUUAAAGUCAAAUAUCUCUUCCAAAUUCUCAUCAUUGUACACCAAUUGGGCCAAAGUAGUUUUUCCAACCCCACCCAUGCCCACAAUAGGAACCACAGACACUUCACUACCGUCACUGUUAUCCUCCGACAACAACUUGAUUAUGGCCUCCUUAUCUUUCUCCCUACCAUAUAUAUGAGAUCCAUCUUCCAGAGAUGUUGAUGGAGCUUUCCAUGACAAGUUCUCCACUGCACUCUCUUUCAAAUCAAGACUCUCCUUGAGUUUUAAAUGAGACUCAAGUGUGACAACUAUGUCCUCCAACUUACUAACGAUCUUCCUAUCGGAAAAGCGAGAAAAAAAGUUUCUUACCUUCUUUUGGGUGGCAGCUUUGGUGAAAACAUGGUCGAGUAAGUCAUCGGCCUCAUAGACAGCAUGUUUGAGAUCAUUGAGCCAGUGUUUGACAUUGGUGUUUGUGAUCUGUUUCUUCUCGGCAUCAUCAAGCACAGCUCCAACCACUCUGAGAGUGGACUCCAACUUUUGAAGCAACUUCUUGCUAAGCUUCUUUCCAAGGAUCAAGUCAACAAACUCAGGUGAAGCCAGCCUGUCGAAAAGCACAUCAAGGAAAGCAGAGAGAAAGGCAGCACCUACCACUGCUGCUGCCAUUAUCUCAAGAACAAAAGAUGAUCAGAGUAGAAAGAAAAAGGCAAGGGAAUUGGUUGCUAUGAACUGGGUUGGUUCUUGGUAAGGUUAACUGAUGUGAUGAGAUUUGGCUUAAGUCAACUCUCUUCACUUUCACUCGUUCUGCUGUGCAAGACAAAAGUAAGGUUUUUUUUAUUUAUUAUUAUUAUAUUUCUAAAAUGCUUUAAUUAAAGACUCAAGAGAUUUAAAGAGUGAUGAUAUUUCUACCGUUAAUUUUUAAAAAAAUGAAUUAUAUUUCUAAAAUGCUUUAAUUAAAGUUAGUGAUGGCCAGCUUUCUCCUUUAAAUGUCACCUCACUUUAAAGUUGUCAUAGAGAUGUGUUGUUCUAGAAAGGUUUAAUAACAAACCAUGAUCUCAUAAACAAUUGACAUUAGUAAUAGUAAUUUGUGUUUCUUAAUCAAGUGGUACAAGAUUUAAAUCAUAAUUAAUCUUUACAUAUAGAAUAAACAAAUAUGAAAUUAAAAAAUAUUAAACCAAAACAAAAAGAAGUAUUGAACAAAUAAAAAGAGAAAGAAUUGAACAAAAGACACAUGCUAAUUGAUCCCUAAGAACAUAAUAUUAAUGAAUUAAAGAGUUCAAUAUAUCCUUAUUUGUACAUAAAAAAGAAAAGAAGUAUGUAGAAAGAAAAGUGUGUGAUUUUUUACUAAAUAAAAUCAAUAAAUAAUAGAUACUAAUAUAGUAAAGAAUAUUGUAAAGAAGUUUUCAUAAUAAUAAUAAUAAUAAUAAUAAUACUCUAGAGGGAGUGAUUAAAGUAAUUCCUUUGAAAUGGUGUCAUCAAAAUUAUCAUUCAAUUUAACUAUAUUUUUAUAUGUUGUAUAUCUAUUAUAAUUAUUUGAUGUAUAUUUUUAUAAAAUUUCUUGGUUUCUGAUCAUCCUUCAUAUCUUAUCUAUACAAAAAUGUUAUUAUUAUUUAAGUAAAAAAUAUUUAGUGAGAUUAUCUCAAACAAAAAUAGUAAAAUGAGAGAAAAAGAAAAUUUAAGUCAAUAAAAAAAAUGGUGAGCAAAUGAAAAGGUUUUAUUAUAUUUUAAAAAAAGAUAUAUUUUUCUAUUAUCAUAUUUAAUAAAUAUAAUUUCUAUAAAAUAUAUUUUUAUUUUAAAUCAACAGCUAUUUUGAAGUAUAAGUUUUAAAAAAAGAUAUAGUUGAAAUGGAUUUAAGUGAACUUUAUAUUAAUGACUAUUAUGCCGUUAAAAUCUCAAUUCAAAAACUCACAAAAAUUCAAAUUUUCUUUACAUAUAAUAUAAUUAGAUAUAACUCUAAUAAUAAAAACUUCAUUAUUUAUUUGUUAAAGUCUUGAAGAUAUUUAUCCUCAAACUUAUUUUUUCUCCUCAAAAUUAUUUUUAUCUUUUGUACUACCAAACAAAACUUUACAAGAGUAAUGGCUUAGUAGAAUUCAACUAAGUAUCAUCUCUUCUCCUAAAUAUUUGUUAGAGUCUUCUUAAUAAAAUAAAUCUUCUUUUAAUUUUUUAAUCAAUACUCUCAAAACAAAGAUGAAACACACUUUCUAAAAGUAUUCCAUUUUAUUUAUUUUAUGAAUAAGGAGUAUUAAAGUGUAUUUCACUAAAAAAAUCAAAAAUAUAAUACAUUACAUUUUUUAAUAAGAUGAAGUAAAAGAAGUGAAAAAAUAUAUAUAUUUAAUUUUCAUAAAUUUAGUAAUAAAAGAAAUGAAAAAAAGCGUAAACAGUCGUUUUUGCCCUGGAAUAUGUAAAGCGUUGACAAAUUCGUUAUGGAAAGAUGUAAAUUCAAAUUUUAGUCCCCGAAAGUGACAAAAGUGGGACAAAUUCAUUCAUCUACUAACUUUCAUUCGUUACUUUUAAUGAAAGAGCAAACGUCACACAUUCAGGGAUGAAUUUGUCAGUGCUCAACACAUUCUAGGGCAAAAAUGAUUAUUUACCUAAAAUAUAAUUUAAUCUUCAUCUUUCUCCUUUUUCAAUAGUUGCAAGCACAGUUGUGAAAUCUAGUUUGGCUUAGCUAUUCGAACCAAUCCAACUGAGACCCGGUGGCCUAGCCGAACCAGUUCCACUAUUGGAUCGGUCAUACAAUUGACACGAGAGGACCCAACCAAACUUGGACAGUUAACCACUAGAUCCCGGUUGGACAGGCCCGACCUGUUUUUGAUGUCUUAUUAUUAUCAAUUGUUAUAUUGGAUUAUGAAGUAUGGAUGGAUUUUUUUUUGCUCAAAUAAUAUUAGUUAUAUACUUAUAUAUAGAUACAUAUAUAAUUUUGAAUUUUUAUAAUAUAUCAGGUCAAACCAGUCCAAUGACUGAUCCAACACCAUUGACCCACUCAUCAACUAUUUUGAUUUGGUUAAUGAUCGACAUGGGUUUCACAACUAUAGUUAAAAACAUAACAUUACAAUAAACACUUAAAAAAUAGAAAAACAAAACUUAGUUAAAGCAAACAUAAUAAUAAAUAUAAUAUUGAUUUAAAAGCUUAUUAUUAUGUUUAUUCUAAGUUAUGUUUGAUUUUCUAUUUUUUUAAAGUAUUUAUUAUAAUGUUAUAUUUACAACAAUUAAAAAAAAAUAACAGAUAAAUAAAUUUAUCAUAUUUCUUUUUCUUUUAAAACUAAAAUUUUAAUUUUAGUCUUUUAAAGACAAACUUGUCAACGCUAAAACAUAAGAAGAAAAUAGUUAUUAAAAAAUAAAAAUGAAAGAUCUUUACUCCUGAUUCGAUGAUUCGAGUCUUACCCGCGUGAAUCCUUAUUCUGAAUCUGAAACAGUGGUUCCUGUCCGAUCGACAUGUAAGGUAUGACCACGAAUCAGUAACUGACACAUGUCUUAUCAUUCGUGCAGAUGUCAUCUGUAUAUAGAGCACAACGCGGGAAGGCAUUAACUGGUUGGUACUGCGCAUAUUCAUCCACCACGUGGCACCAUCUGAUUGGAUGACCUUGCUACUAGUCAGGGGAAGAGCCCGCCUUGUGGUUAGGUGUUGAAGGAUGUUUGGCAUAGCAUCAUUUUCAUUGUCCCUAAUUCUCACCAAUCUCACACCCAAAAGAUUUUGUCACUUUAUAACAAGGGAGCUGUUACUAAGAUUUAAUAAAGGACCAAAAAGUUUUAAUGAUAAACUAUACAGUAUUUUUAACAAUUUUAAUAUACUAUUAUUAUAUUUUUAUUUAAUAUUUAAAAAUAUUUCUAUAAUUUAAACCCUUGCAUUAAGUAUAAAGCUAGUAAUUUUAUAUUAUUAUUCACUCAUAUAUCAUCAUUAAUAUAAUUUUUAAGAUAAUUAUUAUAGUUAUUAUAAAUCAUAAAAUAAUAUUGAAUGAAGUUUUAAAUUUGAUUUACACUUUUAUUAUAUAACUUAUUUUUUCUAUUUAUCAACAAGACAUUACUUUUAUAGCACCAUUUGUUGUCCUAUUUCCCACUCCCACAUCUAAGUUAACUUUGUUUUUUUUUCCUUGAAUGUUUUGUCACAUUGUAACAAGUGGAAUUGUUAAGAUUUUAAAAAAAGAAAAUUGUUUGAAUGAAAUUAAAUUUCAAACAAUUUUAAUAUUCUAAUAUUAUAUUUUUUAUUUAAUAUUUUUAAGUUUUAAGUUUUCUUAGUAUUUAAGAAUAUUUAUUAACAAGACCUUUUAUGGCUAUUUUUUUAUUGAAUGACUAUUUUUUUUUAGUAAUGAGAAUUUUCAUUUCUUUUCACUCACUAUAAUGAUAAUGAUGACGAUUGAGUUAUGUUCAAGUGAAGCGAUUGUAUGCAUGAGUGCAAAUUAACUUAUUUAGUUGACCAGACUUUUCUUAUAAUUCACAAAGGUUGUUACAGAAAUUCAAUAUAUCUAAUUUAAGUAUAUUAAUGCAUUAAAAUCUAUAUAUAUAUAUAUAUAUAUAUAUAUAUAUAUAUAUAUAUAAGAUAUAUUCUUUAAAUUCUUAAUUUAAAUUGUAAGAAAGGUGAAGAAAAAAUCAUCCAGCAGGCAAAAAUCAAAUCAAAUUCAGAUUCUAUCACUCAUGAGGGAAAUCUUGCCCAAUCAUAAUAUUAAGAUCUCAGGUGAUUUUAUUUGUGUGAAAGAUUUUGAUAGAAUUUUACUUAUUCAAUACUACUAUAAAAUGGAUAGUACAAAAUUUCAAAACAAUAUAGAGUAUACUAAUAUUCCUUUUUAUGACUUUACAUUUCUUAAUUUCUAAUGUUAUACAAAGUUUUUAUACUGCAAAAAGUAGAUCAUCAAAUGUAUUUUUAUUGGAAUUAAGAAUUUUUUUUAUUAUGAAAAUAUUCCUUAUUAAAUGUAACAAAUUAAAUAUUUUACUCUAUUAUUUUUAUAAAUACUAGUCAAUGCUUAAAGAACAUUUAAUAAAAAAAAUUAUUAUUUUGAAUACAUAAAGAUAAAGAAUAUACCAUACUAUAAUAUUUGGUCUUUAAAAUGAUUAAACACAUGCUUGAGACAACAUUUUUAUAUGCUAACAAUGUGGGUUUGAGAAACAACUUAGAAGUUAGAACUAGAAAUGUUAGAAUAUUCUCUUAUGCUCUUAUUUAUUAAAAUUGACAGCAACUUCUGUCUUUUCUUCCUCCUUCUUAGUUAUAACGACUCUAUGAUCAUCAUUCCUCUCAUUGCACCAUAAAGCAAAGAACACAAAGGCCUUUUUUUUUUAAAAAAAAAGAACACAGAGAGAGAGGUCUUCUCAAACCAUCUUGCAGGUAAAUUGAGAUUUACCCAUUUCAAUUUUCCUCUAUAUUUUUCUGAGUUAUUAUUUUUUUAUCUUCAUUCUUAUUUGAAAAUUUUGAAAUCUGGAUUCAUUUUUCCCUUCAAGGUUUUUAAACUUUUUUAUUUUAUUAUUGUGGGUUUUAAAGUGAUUUUUUCUUUCUAAAUUGUCUGUUUUUCUCUCAGUUUGUUUCAUGAGAAACAUCAGUCAUCAUGGUGUAGGGGAUUUAAAUUUUAUGCUUCUGAGUUAUUUGUAGUCUAUUAGUAUGUUUGGUUUCACAUCACUGACGUGAUUAUUUGGGAAUGUGAUUUCAUGAAGCUAUUAGUUAUAGCUUCUACAUAUCUAAGACCUGAUUUCUUAUUUUUCAAACUGAUUCCCAACACGCUAUAUAUUUCAUGUGAAAGAAAAGACACAUAAAUUAUUAUAAAAUGUGUAAUGUUUGUUAAACUUGGUUUUUGUGUAGCAUGAGAAGAUCUAAGUGCACGUUCGGUCAAUUUUUAAAAAUAAUAACUUUUUAAAAAUAAACAGUAAAAAAUUAUGAUAUUUUAAAACCAAAUUCUGGUAUAGGUCGAUGGUUGUUGUUUUCAUGAGUUAAGCUCUCUCUUGGUGAGAGGGGUGUUUGUGUUUAUAUGCCUUUUUCUCUUAACGGCAAAUUUGUAAAUUUUUUCCUUUUUUUUCAUCUAGAAAAUUUUAAUUUGUUGCCAAUAUAUAUUGACAAUAACUUAGCGUAUGUGACCCAAGCAUGGAAGUUGGUAGAUAGACUGCCAAAGUUAGGUAACGAUUGUAAUGGAAAGUGGAACCACAUGCAUCUGAAAAAGGUACCAACUCAAUUAUAUUUAUACUUGCCUAUUUGAAACCUUACUGAAUUUUCGUUUUCUUCUCGAGUGUCAUUAAACUCUCCCAACUUUAGAAGAUUAAUUUGGGCAGAUGAGUGUGAAUGACUUGAUUUGUCUAUGUAAUUCAAAACAGAAUGCAGGUCUCACUUGUUUGCAUGUUCCUUUUUUAUGCAUCUUAAGUUCAUUAUUGAUGUAUUUUGUUGUAUUUGUUGAAAUUGCUACAAAUUUUUAGAAUAUUCUUAAAUAUAAUAUGUAUGAAAAUAGUAGAAUAUCCUAGAACUAUAGUGUGUAUGAAUAUGGUAGAACAAUCUAGAACUAUAAUGUGUAUGAAUAUGGUAGAACAAUCUAGAAUCAUAAGUGUAUGUAUAAGAUAGAAGAAUCUAGAACUAUCAUGAUACUAAUCUAUCAUGAAAACUCUAGAAAGACCUAAAGUAAUGUAGAAACAUUCACCACCAUUGAGAGGUUGGUGACUUGAGCCUAUAAAUACACAAUUGGUAUGUUGUAAUUGACAAUCCAAGAAAUCAAUGACAUAGCCUUCUUUCUAAAAUAACUCUCUAAAAUUAUCAACUGUCAACUAUCAUCUAAUCAACUACCAACAAUGGCGUCAGAGCUACGUUCGGUCAUACAUUGGGCGUAGUUAUAUUAUCUACCUACCAUUCCAAAAUCCUCCCAACUACUUCAAAAAUUUCCUUUGUACUAUUAACCCACUCCAAUAAUAUUUUUUCUAAGCUAUGGAUAACACUACUCAAUCGUCAACUAUUUCUCUCCCUAUCUUCAAUGGUGAAAUUAUGAUUUCUGGCGUGUUAAAAUGGAAACAUAUUUUUCAUCUCAAGAUUUAUGGGACAUAGUAGAAGAAGGCUUCACCAUUCCCGUGGAUACUUCAGCUCUUAAUGCAUCUAGAGAAAAAGAGUUAAAGAAAAAUAAACAGAAAAAUUCAAAGGCGUUGUUCACCUUGCAACAAGCGGUGACUGAUCCAAUUUUCCCAAGAAUUAUGGGAGCUAAGACUGCCAAAGAAGCGUGGAACACAUUGCAGGAGGAGUUUCAAGGAAGUGUUAAGGUACGUGCCGUUAAACUUCAAUCUCUAAGAAGAGAUUUUGAACUAUUGAAGAUGAAGGAGUCUGAGACAGUUAAAUAUUACUAUUUUAAAGUUAAAGAAAUAGUUAAUCAAAUGAGAGCUUUUGGGGAAGAUAUUCUUGACAAGAAAAUUGUUGAGAAAAUUCUAAUUACUAUGCCCCAAAAGUUUGACCCAAUCGUGACAACGAUUGAGGAAACCAAAGAUCUGUCCACUCUAUCAGAGACAGAACUUGUGGGCUCUCUUGAAGUAUAUGAGCAAAGACUGUAUAGGCAUAAAGAAGAUACAAUUGAAAAUGCCUUCUAGUCAAAGUUUAAAUUUCAGCCCCAAAACAAAGAAAAUAGAGGAAAGAAAAAUUAUGGAGAAACUUCCAGAAGAAGAGAAGGUUCUAGGAAUUUCCUUAAGAACAAAACAGAUAAAAAUCCUCCAUGCAAUAUAUGCAAAAGGCAAGGCCACGCAGAGAAAAAUUGUUGGUUGUAUGCCACAAUGCAACCACUGCAAGAAGUUCGGGCACGUAGAGAAAAAUUGUUGCAACAAAAAUAGGCAUCAAGCCAAUAUCGCAGAGGAGCAUGAUCAAGAACAAUGUACGUUCUACACCACUCAAGACUCAAUAAAAGAAAAGGGAGGAAGCUGGUACUUGGAUAGUGGAUGUAGCAAUCACAUGGCCAAGGAUAAGACUAUUUUCAAAAGUAUUGAUGAGUCUGUCAAAGUCAAAGUUCGACUGGGAAAUCGAAGUGUGGUUGAAUCAAAAGGCAAAGGCACUGUCAUGGUAGAGACAAAUAAAGGUACGCGACUCAUCCAUGAUGUCUUACUAGUUCCCAGCCUAAAAGAAAAUCUUCUAAGCAUUGGCCAAAUGAUAGAGAGAGGCUACACACUUCACUUUGAAGGAGGUGUAUGCAAAAUCUUAGACAACAAAAAUAAAAGGUCUGAGAUAGCCCAAGUAAAGAUGAAUAAGAGCAAUAGAAGCUUCCCUCUAUAUUUAAAAUAUGCAACAAACAUUACCAUGAAGGUACAAGUUGAUGAUUCAUGGCUAUGGCAUCGAAGAUUUGGCCACUUCAACACACAUGCCUUGAAGUUGUUACAUGAGAAAAACAUGAUGAGAGAUCUUCCAAGCAUAAAGGAGAACAAUGAAGUGUGUGAAGGAUGUGUCCUUGGUAAGCAACACUGAUUUCCUUUCUCAACAAGCGGAGCAUGGAGAGCGAAAGAUCUAUUGGAGCUGAUACAUACGGACGUUUGUGGACCAAUAAGGAUGCCAUCACAUGGGAACAACAGGUACUUCAUACUCUUCAUUGAUGACUUCUGUAGAAUGACAUGGGUAUAUUUUCUAAAAGAAAAAUCAGAAGUCUUUGGAGUAUUCAAAAAGUUCAAGGCCCUUGCUGAAAAUCAAAGUGGAAAACGGAUAAAAGUACUAAGAAGUGAUUGCGGCAAAGAGUACACCUCUCGCGAGUUUGAAAGAUUUUGUGAGGAUGAAGGCAUUGAGCGACAACUUACAGUCGCAUAUUCUCCUCAACAAAAUGGAGUGUCCGAGAGAAAGAAUCGCACAGUUAUGGAGAUGGCUAGAUCGAUGCUCAAGGAGAAGGGACUACCUAACACAUUCUGGGUUGAAGCAGUCUACACUGGUGUUUACAUACUCAACAGAUAUCCAACUAAGUCUGUAAAAGACAAGACUCCAAUUGAAGCUUGGAAUGGGAAGAAGCCAUAAGCCAAGCACCUAAGGAUCUUUGGAUCUAUAUGCUACAUUCUUAUUCCAGACGUGAAGAGGCACAAGCUUGAAGACAAGACUAUACGAGGUAUCUUCCUUGGGUAUAGCAAUAUCUCUAAGGGCUACCGUGUCUACAACUUGCAAACUAAGAAACUCGUCAUCAGUCGAGAUGUUGAAGUUGAUGAAUAUGCUUCUUGGAAUUGGGAUGAAGAAAAAGUGGAGAAGAACGUUCUUAUACCCGCUCAACUACCUCAAGAAGAAGCUGAGGAAGAAGACCCAGGUGAACCACCUUCACCUCCACCACAACAACAAGAUCAAGAACUAUCAUCACCAGAGUCUACUCCAAGACGAGAAAGAUCUUUGGUGGACAUAUAUGAAACCUGUAACUUAGCCAUACUUGAACCUGGAAGCUUUGAAGAAGCGUCAAAGCAGGAAGUAUGGGUCAAGGCAAUGGAAGAAGAGAUACAGAUGAUCGAGAAAAACAACACAUGGGAGUUAGUAAAUCGUCCCCAUGGAAAAGAUAUCAUUGGGGUUAAGUGGGUCUAUAAGACAAAGCUCAACCCUGAUGGCACCAUACAGAAACACAAGGCGAGGCUAGUAGCUAAGGGUUACUCACAGCAACUCGGAAUUGACUACAAUGAGACAUUUGCACCAGUAGCUCGUCUUGAUACCAUAAGAGCUCUAAUAGCUCUUGCGUCACAAAAAGGAUGGAGUAUCCAUCAACUAGAUGCCAAAUCUGCCUUCCUUAAUGGUGUACUUGAAGAAGAGAUCUAUGUGGAGCAGCCACAAGGAUUUGUGUCUGAAGGCAAAGAAAACAAAGUGUUAAGACUAAGAAAAGCACUCUACGGUUUCAAGCAAGCACCUCGAGCAUGGUAUAGCAGAAUCGAUCAAUAUUUCAUGGAUCGAGGAUUCAGGAGGAGCAAGAGUGAGCCUACACUUUACAUCAAGUCUCAAGGGCAGUACACUCUCUUACUCUCUCUAUAUGUAGAUGAUCUUAUCUACACGGGAAAUAAUACUAAGAUGAUGAUGGAGUUUAAAGAAGACAUGAUGAAGACCUUUGAGAUGACCAACCUUGGUUUGAUGAGUUACUUCAUCGGCAUAGAGGUAAGUCAGAGAAAUGAAGGGAUAUUCAUCUCACAAAAUAAAUACACAGAAGGCUUACUUAAGAAAUUCAAGAUGUAUGGUUGCAAACCUAUUGCUACUCCACUCAUAACAAAUGAGAAACUACAGAAGAAUGAUGGAGCACCAAAAGCUGAUGCAUCCAAAUACCGAAGUCUAAUUGGAAGCCUCCUAUAUUUGACAGCUACACGGCCUGACAUAAUGUAUGCUACAAGUCUUCUAUCAAGAUUCAUGCAAAGCCCAAGUCAAAUACACUUUGGAGCACGAAAAAGAAUUUUGAGGUAUCUACAAGGAACAAAAGAGUUCGGUAUAUGGUAUACUACCGAAACCAACUCAGAAUUACUUGGCUACACCGACAGUGAUUGGGCAGGUUCGGCUGAUGACAUGAAGAGUACCUCUGGCUAUGCUUUCUCACUAGGAUCGGGAAUGUUCUCUUGGGCGCCGAAGAAGCAAGCUACAGUAGCACAAUCAACAGCAGAAGCAGAGUACGUGGCAGCUGCGGAAGCAACGAGUCAAGCUAUAUGGCUUCGUAGGAUACUUGAAGACAUGGGAGAAAAACAAGAUGGGCCUACUAAAAUCAACUGCGACAACAAAUCAGCAAUUGCAAUGGCGAAGAAUCCAGUUCAUCACAGCAGAACAAAACACAUAGCAAUCAAGUAUCACUUUAUCAGAGAAGCUGAAGCAACUAAAGAGAUCAAACUCGACUACUGCAGAACAGAAGAUCAAAUUGCAGACAUAUUCAUGAAGGCUCUGCCGAGACCACGAUUUGAAGAAUUACAAGCUAUGCUCGGAGUCACAGAAAUUUGCAUCAAGGAGGAGUGUUGAAAUUGCUUCAAAUUUCUAGAAUAUUCUUAAAUAUAAUAUGUAUGAAAAUAGUAGAAUAUCCUAGAACUAUAGUGUGUAUGAAUAUGGUAGAACAAUCUAGAACUAUAAUGUGUAUGAAUAUGGUAGAACAAUCUAGAACUAUAAGUGUAUGUAUAAGAUAGAAGAAUCUAGAACUAUCAUGAUACUAAUCUAUCAUGAAAACUCUAGAAAGACCUAAAGUAAUGUAGAAACAUUCACCACCAUUGAGAGGUUGGUGACUUGAGCCUAUAAAUAGACAAUUGGUAUGUUGUAAUUGACAAUCCAAGAAAUCAAUGACAUAGCCUUCUUUCUAAAACAAUUCUCUAAAAUUAUUAAUUAUCAUCUAAUCAACUACCAACAGUAUUAGUGUGCUUUCUGCCAUCUGAUGAUUGAUUGUUUGAUUAAAUUUUAUUUCUUCUGCAUAAUGUGUGGCCAUCUUUGGUUUCGAUUUAUUCUUGAUUUUUGACAAUCGUACAUUUCUGUCAUACUUGUUUAGUUCUUCUUGGUCAUGAAUUGUUUAUUUUUAAGAACUCUAAAAACAACUAGAGUACCUGAGAGAAAUGUAAUUGAUGCGCUAAAUACUUUGUUUUUUAAUCCAGUCCUGUUUAAAUAUGAUCAAAACUCACCUAAUGCCUUAUGGUUUUGGGAUUGUUAAAAAAUGACAUCAGAAACAAGUUAUAAAAAUUGUUAUGCUGGUUAUGUUUGUAGAAGUUUCAAGAAUUUCAUUCAGGAGAUUAGAUUCUCUGACAAUGGUCCCAACUUAUUAAAUUUGUUCAUCUUUCUUUCAGGUGUGUCUUUCAUUGUAUAUUCUGCUGCUGGGUAAUUGGAAGGCUAACCAGGUGCGGCUUCAUUCCUUAAUUAUUCUUCAAACUUUCCAAGAAGUCCAUAUUCUUCAUUGUUCUCUAGUGUUAUCACCAAAAUCAGGGAAUGCUGAAAGAUGUGCUUGACAGUUAAGAAUUCCUUCACCGAGGCUAAUGAGUUCGUGCCUCCAUCUGAGCUAUCCUUGUUCAACCUUGAUGACAUUGGAUGUUUAGUCCACUGUCCAUAUCUAUUUUUUGCUCAAGCAACUGAGGUGCCAAGAAAUCUCAGCCAUUGUGCAAUAUCCAAACACAAUGAUCGUGAAGACGGUUGAGCUUUGAAUUUCUUGAGUAGCAGUUUCCUGCUUCUGGCCGCGUGAUUGCCUGUACUCAGUGCUAUUGAUAUUAGCAUUGGUUUUCACCACAAAGUAUUUCUAGAAAUGGAGCAAAAAGGAGGUGUGCCUAUGCAACGAUAUGAAGUGGGGAGAUUAUUAGGCCAAGGAACCUUUGCGAAAGUCUACCAUGCUAGGAACAUCAUAACUGGCAUGAGUUUAAGUUUAUAUAUUAAAGAUAAAAUAAGAAGAAAAUUUAAAAUGUUAGAAGCUGGCAUUUUUAAAAAUAUUAAUUUAAGUAAUAUUUUAAAAAAUGUUAAAAACUACUAAAAAAACUUGUUUAUUAAAUAGUCAAACAAGUUUUUUAACUAGUAAAGAAAGUUAGAAGUCAUUUGAAAUGUGUUCACAAACAUAUCUUUAAACAAGAUUGAAAAAAAAACUAGGCAAUAUCCUUAAGCAACCAUUAAGUUAGGACUAAGAAACUAAAAAUUAAUUUUUUUUUAUUAAAAAAUACAACAGAACAUUUCUUUACAAAUCUAACUAAACUUGUGCAUUGUACCAAUAAUGAUUGACACAAGUAAUAAUGACUUGUAUUUCUUAACCAAAUGAUCUAGAGUUUGAAUUUUGAUUAAUCCUUACACAUAGAAUUAAAGAAAGAACACAUGCUAAUUGAUCCCUAAAAACAUAAUAUUAAUGAAUUAAAGAUUUCAAUGUCCUUACAUAUAUGUCAAAGAUGUAUGCAGAAAGAAAAAUAGGUGAUUUUUACUAAAUAAAACCAAUAAAAUAAAUAAAUAAUAGAUAUUAAUAUACUAUAUUAAGUUUUGACAUGCAGAUAUCCCCAUGAUAUUAUAUUUAUAUUAAAAAAAUAGGCUUCCAGGUAUGAAAAAUAGGACUCAGAGAGAAGGGGAGUGGCGGAUACAAGCCAGAUCUUGCAUAAUGGUAAUUAGGAAAAACAAACCCAAACCCCCUCCUUUUCCUAAGGCAUUACUUAGUCUCAGCCUCUACACUCUCCUUACAAGCUAUCCAUUCCAUUAUGCCAACCUAUGUUCCUUUUCCACUUCAGCUAGUGCAACUUGUUCGGCUGAUUCUUUCUGCUGUCAUACACAAGCAGGUCUUGUUUCUGAGGCCCAUUUGUCCUUUCUUUUUCUAUUCCCCCACUCCCUCUUUUCCCUAUCCUUUUAUAUACCUUCAUUAUGGACCUAUCAAGUUCUAACCAGGAAAAUUCCAAAAACAUUUCUAACCCAAAUCUCCAAAUUCACAUGAUGUCAAAUCAGAAAAAAAAACUAAAUAAAUAAGAAAAUGUGAUUAAAAAUAAUAUAUAACACUACAGAGAAAAAAAUCAGAAAAUUAUUUUUCCAUGCAUACUAUAAAGAGAUUACAAAGUCAGAAAAUAUAUAUUUUCAUGUGAGAAAUGUUCAUGUGAACACAAUAAUUACCAUGACUCCGUAUAGUGAUAUUUUGUUGCAUAUCAUUGCAGCAAAUUUUUCAAGAGAAUGACUUGAGUAUUUCCCACCUCUAGCUUCUUCUUGAAUUUUAUUUGCAUAACUGUUGGAAUUUGAAUCAGUGGGAACUUGGGAAGACUGGAAAAGCCAAAAACGGCACCACAAGUGAUAGCGUAGCAAAGGAACCAGUUGCAGAAACAGAGGAUGAGAAUGCAGCAAGCAAGCAACAAAAGCAAGGGUGCAACUAGAAAACAAGACCAAGAAAGUAAUUACAAGGCCCACUUACCUCAAGGAUUAAGUGUGAAGCAAGCAGGUGCACCAUAUCUGGAAGCAGUGACGGACCUCUGAGGGUAUGCACUUGCACCCCCUCAUUUUUUAAAAUUCACCAAACUUGUAAAUAAAAUCUUAUAUUUUUAUAUUUUAUUUCAUCUAUAUUUAUAUAAUUGAAUCCACUGAUUUUAUUUGUUAUAAUUUACACCCACUGACUUAGGGUCUUGGAUCCGCCACUGUCUGGAAGAAUGAUGCUUGUCGUGUAGGGGUAAACAAACUUAACCAUUUCCUGAUAUUCUGUAGCACAAAAAGACAAAUUCGAUUAUUGAGAAAUCAGUAUAAAUAAUACUAUGUAAUAACAGCAUCAAUCAAUGAAAUAUACAACUGUUCCUUCCCUUAUUCUUUUCUCUAUGGAGGCCCUGGUCCUCGAAAACCAGCUUCUAUCUUCUUCCCUAUCAACAAGAAUAUAGCAUAUAUAAUUAUGUAUGAUAAUUUUAAGAAAAUAAACAACACUAAUAGAAUGGUAAAAUAGAAAAAAAAAAUCAUAGCUGCAUUUCCAGAAGCAUCUUAUGGAAUCUAGAUUACCGAGGAAGAGAAAUUAAAAACUUGAAAGAAGAAUUAAAAUGAUAUUAAAAUCCUCAUUAUUCUAUUAAAAACAAUAGUAAAAUAAAGAAAUUUUAAUCAUUCUUAGUCAAAUUUGACUAUCAAUUAAACCCAAUUUUCGCAGUUAUCAAGUAACAGAAGUUUUUGUUGCGAAAGCGUUAAGAGUUGUAGUGACAUUAAAUAUCGUUGCAAAACUUUUCGCAACAGAUGAUAUUACAGUGGACUGUAGCAACAAUUUUCUCGCUAGCAAAAGUAAGGGAUUAAUGAAUUGUUUAUGGUAUGACAGUUAGUCAUCAUGAAGGGACUACUAACAUAAACUUAAUUGCACGACCAUAUUUACGGGAUAUGAUUGAACAUUUUGAUACAACAUAAAGACCUUGACUUGUAAAAAUUGAAGGUGCGUGCUUCAAGCACAAAUAAAAAGCUCUCAUUCAGACCUAAGGAGACAUGUUAUACAAUACACUUCACGUGAGUGUUCUAGAUUGAAGUAGCCUCCAUUUUGAGGAAGCUUUUUUCUGGAACUUGUUUGUUGUCUUUGUAUUGUUCUUUAGAAUUAAAGUCUAUUAUGCCAGUAGUGCAUAUAGUUUGUCUCAAGUAAAUCACUAAAGAUUGAACUCGUUUCAUAGUAUAUUAAUUUGAUAGUUAUGUUUCUUAAGUGAGAAAAUAUUGAGAUUCUUAGAGCAUCUUUGGUUGAAGAAUCCAUUUUGGAUUCUUGGAUUAUUUUUUAUGGGUCAUAUGAUGCUAUAUAGAAUGCAACAACUUCUAUCAUUUUUUGCUCCAAUGAUAAAAUUCAAUUUGAAUUCUUAGAUUUUACUUGCAGAGAAAAAAAAAAAGAGGAGUUUUUAGGAGUUCUUCUCCUAAAAUCCAACCUUCAUCAUGAAAUACUCUUGAAUAAGAAUAAUGGUAGUUUUAGUGCACAGGGGUUCUUGAGCUCAAUCAAGAACCCCAUUAAAGAUGCUCUUAGGCUUUUGGCAAACUAUACAUGUUGUGCUACUCAUUAGCAUACCCGUGCUAACCUUUCAUAGGCUUGGGUGACAUAAUAGAUAAAAGCUAUUUAUAUACAAAUAUUAAAUAUAUUACAUAAAAUAUAGACCAAUAAUAUCAUUAAAAAUGACACAUUUUAAUAUGUUAAGCGAAUAAAAUAAUUUCAACCAACCUUGAUUAGAGAGAGAGAGAGAGAGAUUAAUGUUUAUGCAUUGAUGGUAUAAAAUAAUUUAACACGAUCACCUGAUUAUAAAUUGUCAUUUAAAUUAUUUAAAAAAUUAAUAAAUUUAUCACAUAAAGAAUAUGUUAUAAUUAGAUAAUUGUAUAAAAAAUUUUAUAAUAUAUAUAUAUAGACACACACAUACUAUUUCACACUUAACUAUUAAUCAUCCUAGUUAAUUAUCCUUGGGGUUGGAGGGUGGAACAAGAUUUCGCAUCUCGCAUCUAACUAUAUUGAAUAAGUAUGCAUCAACUUUCAUUUGAAUUUUUAUAACGUAUUUGAUAUAUCAUUAAUCUUUGAAUUGUAAUAAAAUGAUGUCAAGUAACUGUUCAGGAAAUUAAAUAAAUAAUUAAAAUAUAUUCAAGUCGGUAAAUAAUACAAACAAGUAUACCUAGCUACAAGUUCGUAAAGUCAACAAGAUAGAAAUGGAGUUCCAAGAAACUUCCUUUUUAACAUUACGUUUAACCUGACUCUAUAUAUUAUAAAGAGAGGUUCAUUUCUUCAUCUUGUUUUCAUCGUUGUGGGUGCGUGUUUCUGUUGUGAAUAUCAUGACACUACUAAUAGAAGCAACAGUGGGAGCUGUGUUCAACGAGUUGCUGGGAACCGUUUUGGAAUUUAAAAACGAAAUGGUUUGCUUCAAAUCAUCGUUGGUGCACCUCCAAUAUCCACUCUAGUAGCUAUAUCUCCGGUGAUCAAGGAGAUAGAACAGCAAAACAACGAGUUGCAGCUUCCGAAGGAGGAACUCCAAUCGUCUAUCAGAAAGAUGGAGGAGGGGACACAGCUUGUUUUCGAGUGUUCAAAAAUCCGGUGGCUACACUUUGUGACUAGGGCUUGUUACAAGGACAUGUUACAAGAACAAACAGGACCGGUUUUUCGACGAGCUUGAGAAACUAUUUGCCAUCGACAUGCAAGCUCAGAUGGCAAGAGAUCAGAGGAGACAUUGCUUAAGGUUAGGAGAAUACUUAGGGUUGUUGAGAAAACGUGCUUCGACCCUGGGGAGGCAAUUGAAAACACGCUGUUAAUGUUUUUGACGUGGAUUUCUGUCUUUGCUGUGAAGCUAAUAAGGGCAAUUUCUGCUUUGAGAUGGAUUUUUCUGACACUAAUAAGGGUAGCUUUUACGUUUUCUUCCACUAAACAGGAGCAGUUUUCACUUGAUAAACAAUUGAAAAGGAAAAAAGGCUACUUGCUCUCUGCCAGGAGUCUCACAGUUUUUUGGGGAGAGGGAGACACUCCUAGGUAUUGGGGGUGGACUGUUCCAGGGGUCAGAUAAUUAUUUCUUGUUUUCUAAUUAAUUGAUUAGUUAAUUGUGCCAGUAUUUUUAUUUGGUUUAAUUACUCCGUUCCUUGAAUUCGUAUAUGUUGAUUUUUAAAAAUAAAAAUAUGAUUUAAGAGAUAUAUAUAACUUUCAUGAAUGAAGAAUUUUUUAUAAUAAUUGUUGUAAGGGCAAAGCUAAAAAAAAUAUGUGCAUCACAGGGAAUGGUUAGUUUUUAUGUUAGAAUCUUCGCAGCCAAUUUGAACCUACUAUCUCUUCUAUUUUUUCUUUUAACACUUAAAUUUUCUUUUCAAUCAUUAAAUUAAUUUUAUAUCUUUGGAUAUUUUAUUUAUUAUUAUUAAUUAUUAGAAGAAAGUGCAGAGAGAGAUUAUUGUUAGCAUUUCUAUUAUUAUUAAUCUGAAAUUGAACAAUGUAUGUAUUCAACAAAACAUGGCUGAUUCAACAUAACUAUGUAUGUAUUUAAUUUGUUUUGUUAUUGUUUUACGCAGGCAUUCGGAGGUGACUGAAAUCGUUAGUGUGUCCUGGCUAAAAAUCCUGGGCAGGAUCAAAACUGGGAUGUUGUCCCCAAAUACAUUGUACGGGGCAUACCUUGUGUUUAAAGAAAGCAGUGAUGGUGCCUACGGGUUCAAGAACAUGCCCUUUGAGGUGUUCAUUGGGGUUAUCGGAGAGGUUACAGAUUCAAGAAUUAUGAACUUGCUAGUAGGAAGCUCAGAGUCCAAUACCCGAAGGAGAGUGACGAUGGUGGAUGGAUGUUGAAUUAGGUGACUUUUUUAACGGUAACGGAGAGAACAAGAAAACAAGGAGGUGGAGCUAUGUCUAUACGACACCAAGAACGUUGAAAUAAACUUGGGUCUUGUUAGCCAUUGUUCUUAAGAUAUUGAUUAAGAAACUAAUAGAAAAAAGUAUUUUUUACGAAAAUCAUAAGAGAACAUGAGGACACUGGUUAGCAUUUUUCAAUAAACUUUUGCAUUUAUACUACUUAAUAUGUGUGUAGCUUUUCUUAAGGAAGAAAAAAAUAUGAAAUUAAUCAAUGGAUCUUUUGGUUAUUGUGGUAUUUUAAGCAACUUUCUUGGCCAAUGGAUUUCGGGACACUCAGGAUCAUGUGGACUGGAUUGUGUACCAAUCUCAAGGCUGUGAACUCCUUGCCAUCUUUUAUGGUCUCUGUCAUGUCUGCAAUCUAGGCUUAGGGAUGUAGUUUGUGAGUAUGAUUCUACAGUGGCUCUUAAACUCAUCUUAGAAGGAACCAGCAAGUUUCACCCUCAUGCUACCCUCAUCAACUCAAUUAAUCAACUUUCUGGCGAAAGCAACGUCUGUGCAAAUUGGCUUGCUAAUUUAAGUUUGGAGCCUCAAGCUAGUGAUAAUUCAUUUCUGGUUUGGCAACAUUGCCUACCUAAACUGUCUUUGUCUCUUUUAGCAGAUGCAGGCUGAGAUUCUUAUUAGAUUGUGUACGCGUGUUUAGUUUGCUUUGCUUUUUUAAGUUUCCUUAUGCAUAAAAAAUUAUGUUAGAUGACGUUAAUAUGGUUUUUGUGUUUCUUAUAUUGUUUAAAAUAACAAAAACAAACAUUUAUUAUAGGUUCAUUACAUGUUAAUACGGGAAUCAACUUUGGACAAAACAAAAUUAUCCUGGUGACCUAAAUUUUCCAAAAAAAUGAGCACUCAUAUUGGCCUUGUUGGUAGUUUAUUAGAUGAUAGUUGAUAGUUGAUAGUUUUAGAGAAUUGUUUUAGAAAGAAGACUAUGUCAUUGAUUUCUUGGAUUAUCAAUUACAACAUACCAAUUGCCUAUUUAUAGGCUCAAGUCACCAACCUCUCAAUGGUGAUGAAUGUUUCUACAUUACUUUAGGUCUUUCUAGAGUUUUCAUGAUAGAUUAGUAUCAUGAUAGUUCUAGAUUCUUCUAUCUUAUACAUACACUUAUAGUUCUAGAUUGUUCUACCAUAUUCAUACACAUUAUAGUUCUAGAUUGUUCUACCAUAUUCAUACACACUAUAUUUAAGAAUAUUCUAGAAAUUUGUAGCAAUUUCAAUACUCCUCCUUGAUGCAAAUUUCUGUGACUCCGAGCAUAGCUCGUAAUUCUUCAAAUCUUGGUCUUAGUAAUACCUUUGUGAAUAUGUCUGCAAUUUGAUCUUCUGUUGUGCAUUAGUCGAGUUUGAUCUCUUUAGUUGCUUCAGCUUCUCUGAUAAAGUGAUACUUGAUUGCUAUGUGUUUUUUUCUGCUGUGAUGAACUGGAUUCUUUGCCAUUACAAUUGCUGAUUUGUUGUCGCAGUUGAUUUUAGUAGGCUCAUCUUGUUUUUCUCCCAUGUCUUCAAGUAUCCUAUGAAGUCAUAUAGCUUGACUCAUUGCUUCAGCGGCUGCCACGUACUCUGCUUCUGUUGUUGAUUGUGCUAUUGUAGCUUGCUUCUUUGACGCCCAAGAGAACAUUCUCGAUCCUAGUGAGAAAGCAUAGCCAGAGGUACUCUUUCAUGUCAUCUGUCGAACCUGUCCAAUCACUGUCGGUGUAGCCAAGUAAUUCUGAGUUGGUUUCGAUAGUAUACCAUAUAUCAAACUCUUUUGUUCCUUGUAGAUACCGCAAAAUUCUUUUUCCUGCUCCAAAGUGUAUUUGACUUGGGCUUUGCAUGAAUCUUGUUAGAAGACUUGUAGCAUACAUUAUCUCAGGCCGUGUAGCUUGAGACUAGAUGUAAAGUGUAGGCUCACUCUUGCUCCUCCUGAAUCCUCGAUCCAUGAAAUGAUGAUCUAUUCUACUAUACCAUGCUCGAGGUGCUUGCUUCAAACCGUAGAGUGCUUUUCUUAGUCUUAACACUUUGCUUUCUUUGCCUUCAGACACGAAUCCUUGUGGCUGCUCCACAUAGAUCUCUUCUUCAAGUACGUUGUUAAGGAAGGCGGAUUUGACAUCUAGUUGAUGGAUACUCCAUCCUUUUUGUGACGCAAGAGCUAUUAGAGCUCUUAUGGUAUCAAGACGAGCUACUAGUGCAAAUGUUUCAUUGUAGUCAAUUUUGGGUUGCUGUGAGUAACCCUUAGCUACUAGCCUCGCCUUGUGUUUCUGUAUGGUGCCAUCAGGGUUGAGCUUUGUCUUAUAGACCCACUUAACCCCAAUGAUAUCUUUUCCAUGGGGACGAUUUACUAACUCCCAUGUGUUGUUUUUCUCGAUCAUCUGUAUCUCUUCUUCCAUUGCCUUGACCCAUACUUCCUGCUUUGACGCUUCUUCAAAGCUUCCAGGUUCAAGUAUGGCCAAGUUACAGGUUUCAUAUAUGUCCACCAAAGAUCUUACUCGUUUUGGAGUAGACUCUGGCGAUGAUAGUUCUUGAUCUUGUUGUUGUGGUGGAGGUGAAGGUGGUUCACUUGGGUUUUCAUCCUCAGCUUCUUCUUGAGGUAGUUGAGCGGGUAUAAGAACAUUCUUCUCCACUUUUUCUUCAUCUCAAUUCCAAGAAGCGUACUCAUCAACUUUAACAUCUCGACUGAUGACGAGUUUCUUAGUUUGCAAGUUGUAGACACGAUAGCCCUUAGAGAUAUUUUUAUACCCAAGGAAGAUACCUCAUAUAGUCUUGUCUUCAAGCUUGUGCCUCUUCACGUCUGGAAUAUGAAUGUAGCAUAUAGAUCCAAAGACCCUUAAGUGCUUUGUUGAUGGCUUCUUCCCGUUCCAAGCUUCAAUUGGAGUCUUGUCUUUUACAGACUUAGUUGGACAUUUGUUGAGUAUGUAAACAGCAGUGUAGACAACUUCAUCCCAGAAUGUGUUAGGUAGUCUCUUCUCCUUGAGCAUCGAUCUAGCCAUUUCCAUAAUUGUACGAUUCUUUCUCUCGGACACUCCAUUUUGUUGAGGAGAAUAUGCGACUGUAAGUUUCCGCUCAAUGCCUUCAUCCUCACAAAAUCUUUCAAACUCGCGAGAGGUGUACUCUUUGCCGUGAUCACUUUUUAGUACUUUUAUCCAUUUUCCACUUUGAUUUUUAGCAAGGGCCUUGAACUUUUUGAAUACUCCAAAGACUUAUGAUUUAUCUUUUAGAAAAUAUACCCAUGUCAUUCUAGAGAAGUCAUCAAUGAAGAGUAUGAAGUACCUGUUGUUCUCAUGUGAUGGUGUCCUCAUUGGUCUACAGACAUCCGUAUGUAUCAGCUCCAAUAGAUCUUUCGCUCUCCAUGCUCGCUACCAGAAGUGCUCGGAGGCGAGGUGUACGUUCUCCCUUGGCUUGGAUCUCUAUUUAUAGGUGCAGAAAUAGGCUUUGGGCCUUCGUGCUUAGGGCGACACCUCGCGCUUAACGUGUUCAGAUCGUGUGCUUAGUGGGUGCUGCAGGCUUAGCGUGUGAUUCUAUUGGAUUGCGCGCUUAGCGUGUGCCUCGCGCUUAGUGCACGUAACAAAUCCUGCAUCUUCGUACUUAACGCCUCGCUUAGCGCCUGUGCUUGCUUGCAUGCUUAGGGCGCCAAGCGCGCGUGUUGAGCGGAGCCUGCUUUAGAUUUUCUUCUUUUUCUUCAAUUUUUGUUGCCUUUUGGCUUGUUGUACCUUCAGUUUUGAUAUCCGUGGCUAGAAAUUCAAACUUAAUAAGUUUUCUAACAUUUAAUCACAAAUAACUACUAAAUAAUUAAUUUUAAGCCAAAAUUUGACUGAUUCCCUACUAUUAAUUCAAUAUUAUUUAGCAAUUAUCAACAAGUAGUAAUGACUUGUAUUUCUUAACCAAAUGGUCUAGAGUUUGAAUUUUGGUUAACCCUUAUGCAUAGAAUUAAAGAAAGAAAACAUGCUAAUUGAUCUCUAAGAACAUAAUAUUAAUGAAUUAAAGAUUUCAAUGUCCUUACAUAUAUGUCAAAGAUGUAUGCAGAAAGAAAAGUGGGUGAUUUUUACUAAAUAAAACCAACAAAAUAAAUAAAUAAUAGAUACUAAUCUACUAUAUUAAGUUUUGACAUGUAGAUAUCCCCAUGAUAUUAUAUUUAUAUUAAAAAAUAGGCUUCCAGGUAAGAAAAAUAGGACUUAGAGAGAAGGGGAGUGGCGGAUACAAGCCAGAUCUUGCAUAAUGGUAAUUAGGAAAAACAAACCCAGACCCCCUCCCUUUCCUUAGGAAGAACUUAGUCUCAGCCUCUACACUCUCCUUACAAGCUAUCCAUUCCAUUAUGCCAACCUAUGUUCCUUUUCCACUUCAGCAAGUGCAACUUGUACGGCUGAUUCUUUCUGCUGUCAUACACAAGCUGGUCUUGUUUCUAAGGCCCAUUUGUCCUUUCUUUUUCUAUUCCCCACCCCCUCUUUUCCCUAUCCUUUUAUAUACCUUUAUUAUGGACCUAUCAAGUUCUAACCAGGAAAAUUCCAAAAACAUUUCUAACCCAAAUCUCCAAAUUCACAUGAUGUCAAAUCAGAAACAAAGUAAAUAAAUAAGAAAAUGUGAUUAAAAAUAAUAUAUAACACUACAGAGAAAAAAAUCAGAAAAUUAUUUUUCCAUGCAUACUAUAAAGAGAUUACAAAGUCAGAAAAUAUAUAUUUUCAUGGGAGAAAUGUUCGUGUGAACACAAUACCAUACCUUGACUUCGUAAAGUGAUAUUUUGUUGCAUAUCAUUGCAGCAACUUUUUCAAGAGAAUGACUUGAGUAUUUCCUAGCUCUAGCUUCUUCUUCAAUUUUAUUUGCAGAACUGUUGGAAUUUGAAUCAGUGGGAACUUGGGAAGACUGGAAAAGCCAAAAACAGCACCACAAGUGAUAGCGUAGCAAAGGAACCAGUUGCAGAAACAGAGGAUGAGAAUGCAGCAAGCAAGCAACAGAAGCAAGGCUGCAAUUAGAAAACAAGACCAAGAGAGCAAUAACAAGGCCCACUUACCUCAAGGAUUAGGUGUGAAACAAGCAGGUGCACCAUAUCUGGAAGAAUGAUGCUGGUCAUGUAGGGGUAGACAAACUUAAUCAUUUCCUGAUAUUCUGUAGCACAAAAAGACAAAUUCGAUUAUUGAGAAAUCAGUAUAAAUAAUACUAUGUAAUUACAGCAUCAAUCAAUGGAAUAUACAACUGUUCCUUCCCUUAUUCUUUUCUAUGUGGAGGCCCUGGUCCUCGAAAACCAGCUUCUAUCUUCUUCCCUAUCAACAAGUAUAUAGCAUAUAUAAUUAUGUAUGAUAAUUUUAAGAAAAUAAACAGCACUAAUAUAAAAUAUAUAGAAUGGUAAAAUACAAAAAAAAAAAACAAAAAAACAAGAUCAUAGCUGCAUUUCCAGAAGUAUCUUAUGGAAUCUAGAUUACCGAGGAAGAGAAAUUAAAAACUUGAAAGAAGAAUUAAAAUAAUAUUAAAAUCCUCAUUAUUCUAUUAAAAAUAACAGUAAAAUAAAGAAAUUCUAAUCAUUCUUAAUCAAAUUUGAUUAUCAAUUAAACUCAAUUUUCACAGUUAUCAAGUAACAGAAGUUUUUGUUGCAAAAGCGUUAAGAGUGGUAGUGACAUUAAAUAUCGUUGCAAAACUUUUUGCAACAGAUGAGAUUACAGUGGACUGCAGCAACAAUUUUCUCGAAUUGUUUAUGGUACGACAGUUAGUCAUCAUGAAGGGACAACUAACAUAAACUUAAUUGCACGACAACAUUUGCUGGAUAUGAUUGAACAUUUUGAUACAACAUAAAGACCUCGACUUGUAAAAAUUGAAGGGGGGCGUGCUUCAAGCAUGAAUAAAAAGCUCUCAUUUUGACCUAAGGAGACACAUUAUACAAUACACUUCACAUGAGUGCUCUAGAUUGAAGUAGCCUCCAUUUUGAGGAAGCUUUUUUCUGGAACAUGUUUGUUGUCUUUGUAUUGCUCUUUAGAAUUAAAGUCUAUUAUGCCAGUAGUGCAUAUAGUUUGUCUCAAGUAAAUCACUAAAGAUUGAACUUGUUUCAUAGUAUAUUAAUUUGAUAGUUAUGUUUCUUAAGUGAGAAAUUUUGAGAUUCUUAGAGCAUCUUUGGUUGAAGAAUCCAUUUUGGAUUCUAGGAUUAUUUUUUAUGGGUCAUAUGAUGCUAUAUAGAAUGCAACAACUUCUAUCAUUUUUUGCUCUAGUGGUAAAAUUUAAUUUGAAUUCUUAGAUUUUAUUUGCACAGAAAAAAAAAGAGGAGUUUUUAGGAGUUCUUCUCCUAAAAUUCAACCUUCAUCAUGAAAUACUCUUGAAUAAGAAUAAUGGUAGUUAGUGGCGGACCUGCAUAUAUAUAAGAGUGUGCAGGUGCACCCCCUGACUUGGUAAAAUUAUUAUUAAGUAUUUUAAAUUUUUUUUAUUUUGCUCCCUCUAAUCCUAUAUAUUUGAACCCACUGUCCUAUAUAUUUUAAAAUUGUCUCAAUUAACUCAGGGUCUUAGAUCCGCCACUAAUGAUAGUUUUAGUGCACAGGGGUUCUUGAGCUCAAUCAAGAAUCCCAUUAGAGAUGCUCUUAGGCUUUUGGCAAACUAUGCAUGUUGUGCUACUCAUUAGCAUACCCGUGCUAACCUUUCAUAGGCUUGGAUGACAUAAUAGAUCAAAGCUAUUUAUAUACAAAUAUUUAAAAAUAUUAAAUAUAUUACAUAAAAUAUAGACCAAUAAUAUCAUUAAAAAUGACACAUUUUAAUAUAUAUGUUAAGCGAAUAAGAUAAUUUCAACCAACCUUGAUUAGAAUAUAUAUAUAUAUAUAUAUAUAUAGAGAGAGAGAGAGAGAGAGAGAUUAAUGUUUAUGUAUUGAUGGUAUAAAAUAAUUUAACACGGUCAUCUGAUUAUAAAUUGUCAUUUGAAUUAUUUAAAAAAUUAAUAAAUUUAUCACAUAAAUGAUAUGUUAUAAUAUAUAUAUAAGUAUAUAUAUAUAUAGACACACGCACACUAUUUCACACUUAAUUGUAUAAAAAAAUUUAUAAUAUAUAUAUAUAUAUAUAUAUAUAUAUAUAUAUAUAUAUAUAUAUAUAGACACACGCACACUAUUUCACACUUAACUAUUAAUUAUCCUUGGGGUUGGAGGGUGGAACAAGAUUUUGCAUCUCGCACCUAACUAUAUUGAAUAAGUUGCAUUUGAAUUUUUAUAACGUAUUUGAUAUAUCAUAAAUCUUUGAAUUGUAAUAAAAUGAUGUCAAGUAACUGUUCAGGAAAUUAAAUAAAUAAUUAAAAUAUAUUCAAGUCAGUAAAUAAUACAAACAAGUAUACCUAGCUACAAGUUCGUAAAGUAAACAGAAUAGAAAUGGAGUUCCAAGAAACUUCCUUUUUAACAUUACGUUUAACCUGACUCUAUAUAUUAUAAAGAGAGGUUCAUUUCUUCAUCUUGUUUUCAUCGUUGUGGGUGCAUGUUUCUGUUGUGAAUAUCAUGGCACUACUAAUAGAAGCAACAGUGGGAGCUGUGUUCAACGAGUUGCUGAGAACCGUUUUGGAAUUUAAAAACAAAACGGUUUGCUUCAAAUCAUCGUUGGUGCACCUCCAAUAUCCACUCUAGUAGCUAUAUCUCCGGUGAUCAAGGAGAUAGAACAGCAAAACAACGAGUUGCAGCUUCCGAAGGAGGAACUCCAAUCGUUUAUCAGAAAGAUGGAGGAGGGGACACAGCUUGUUUUCGAUUGUUCAAAAAUCCGGUGGCUACACUUUGUGACUAGGGCUUGUUACAAGGACAUGUUACACGGACAAACUGGACCGGUUUUUCGAUGAGCUCGAGAAACUAUUUGCCAUCGACAUGCAAGCUCAGAUGGCAAGAGAUCAGAGGAGACAUUGCUUAAGGUUAGGAGAAUACUUAGGGUUGUUGAGAAAACGUGCUUCGACCCUGGGGAGGCAAUUGAAAACACGCUGUUAAUGUUUUUGACGUGGAUUUCUGUCUUUGCUGUGAAGCUAAUAAGGGUAGCUUUUACGUUUUCUUCCACUAAACAGGAGCAGAUUUCACUUGAUAAACAAUUGAAGAGGAAAAAAGGCUACUUGCUCUCUGCCAGGAGUCUCACAGUUUUAUGGGGAGAGGGAGACACUCCUAGGUAUUGGGGGUGGGCUGGGGUCAGGUAAUUAUUUCUUGUUUUCUGAUUAAUUAGUUAAUUGUGCCAAUAUUUUUAUUUGGUUUAAUUACUCCGUUACUUGAAUUCGUAUAUGUUGAUUUUAAAAAUAAAAAUGUGAUUUAAGAGAUAUAAAUAACUUUCAUGAUUGAAGAGUUUUUUAUAAUAAUUGUUGUAAUUGAAAAGUAGUUUGAUAGGUAGAAGGAGGCACAGGGGUAACAAACACACGGGUUCCAUGCUCAACUAACAGAAAAUGUGGUGCAAACAGCAAGCCUGCUUCAAGGACUUGCGUGGUGCACGUAUGAAGAAUAGUGGCGUGAAUGGGAGCUAACCUGGAUUGUGAAAAUGGAAUACAAAUUGCAAAAUCAUCAAUGAUUUUUAGAAUAUUUCCUUUAUACAAAAUGACAAAUUCUAUUAUUAGGGAAGUGGUAUAAAUAAAAGCAUUUGUAAACCAUUGAGGGAUAUGAAUGAACAAAAUACAAGCUUCCUUUCCUUCAGUGCCUUUUUCUCUCUUCUUCUUCCUUGCAUUCUGGAGGUGCUAGUCCCGAAUCCAGCAAUUUCCCUGUGUUUGCACAUAACAUAGUUUCUAGUAUUAGUUAAAGGGCAAAACUAAAAAAUAUGUGCACCAAAGAAUAGGGGAUGGCUAGUUUUUAUGUUAGAAUCUUACGACAAUUUGAACCUACUAUCUCUUCUACUUUUUCUUUUAACACUUAAUUUUUUUUUUUAUCAUUAAAUUAAUUUUAUAUCUUUGGAUAUUUUAUUUAUUAUUAUUAAUUAUUAAAAGAAAGUGCAGAGAGUAUUGUUAGCAUUUCUAUUAUAAUUAAUCUGAAAUUGAACAAUGUAUGUAUUCAACAAAACAGUGAAGCAGUGAAUUUGAAGAUGGAAGGAAUCAAGAAAGUACAAGUGAAGCAGUGAAUGCAUACUAUGCAGCAGCAUUGCUGGGUCUGGCAUAUGGUUACUCAAGUCUUGUUGACACUGGAUCAACCCUGGUGGCGUUGGAGAUUCUUGCUGCACAAACUUGGUGGCAUGUGAAAGCAGAAGACAACUUGUAUGAAGAAGAAUUUGCAAAAGAUAACAGAAUAGUGGGUGUUCUGUGGGCUAACAAGAGGGAUAGUAAACUAUGGUGGGCCCCUGCUACGUGUAGAGAGUGUACGCUUGGAAUCCAAGUGCUACCCUUGUUGCCUAUUACUGAGACAUUGUUCUCUGAUGCUGAUUAUGUGAAGGAGCUUGUGGAAUGGACAGUGCCCUUUUUAAGUAGUCAAGGGUGGAAGGGGAUGACCUAUGCCUUGCAAGGAAUUUAUGAUAAGAAAACAGCAUUGCAGAAUAUUAGAAAGUUGACAGGUUUUGAUGAUGGGAAUUCGUUCACUAAUCUCUUGUGGUGGAUUCACAACAGAUGAGGAGGAGGAGUGUUUGCACACAAGCUUCUGGACAAGUUUUUCCUUUUUGCAAUAUUAUUUUUAAAUUUGAUUCUUGUCAACAUAUUUUAUUUUCUGUUAUUUAUGAAAUUCUACAUCUUGUAUCAGUGAUUGUUAAUGUGAUGGGGGUAAAUUUGAGCUUUGGGAAUUUUCAAGAAUUUGACAAAAUUUGCAGUAUAGCAGAUUUUUCUACUGUAUUGGCAGUUCAGUUUCCUGUAAUUUUUAACAGUGUUUCUAGUGCAAAAAAACACACUUUGUUUAUGUUGUCAAGUGGUGUUAAGAGACAAUUGAAUCAAAUCAACAAAUGAUGUUCAAGCCUAUUGAAACAGCAAAGGUCUCUGGAAAAACUUGCCAUGAAAGAUGCCCAAAGAAAACAAGGCACAUCAACACAAAUGUGCUCUUACUCUUACUGGCACAAACUAGUCUAUAUUGAUUUAACGUUUUGUUUCUCUAGAAGUAUCUGAAACGCUGAUAGUAAUGUAUUCGGGAAAAGCAACACUAGACUCAAACAAUUUUAUAGAAAAAUCUUCACAGAUUCCGAGGUUCACUGGACAACACUUGAGUUUGUGAAAAUAACUAUUGAAGCAAAAUAUUUAUAAUUUGUACAAUUGGUCCCAAUUCAAUUUCGAAAGAAAUUGCAAGAGCAUAUUACCACGGUAGAAUCCAGAGAAAUCCACAAUUUGUUCAGAUUUGGCUCAUCCACCAACAGUGGUAGAGAUCUUGACAUACAUUGUACUGCUCGCACAACCACUGUUUCUGAGUGAGAUUGCAGAAUUGACUCAACUGAGAUUCAAUGAACAACAAGGUGUGGAUUUCGUAAGCAACUUAAGCAUGCUUCCAAUAAUAUUUUUUACAGAAAUGAUUGUAAGACAAAUUUUUGGUCUCAGUCCAACCGAACUCAAAGUUGGAUCACUGAUGCACGAGAUAAGAAGGAUGAACCAGAAAAAGGAACAAAAACAAAAGAGAUUGUGUUUAAUUAACUUAUUUUAUGAAAAAAAAAAUAUACUUUUGUAAAGAAAAUUUAAGGGUAAUAUCUUAGGUCAAUCAAAAUUAGAAUUUUAUCUUGAUAAUUAGCCCUUUGAGCUAUAAUUAUGUAAGUUAUUGAAAAUUUAAGGGUAAUAUCUUAGUAAACUAUAUUACUUUUACACACAGUGACAAUGGUAGUGACAAUGAAAAAGAGUGAACACCCACUGAAACAGAGACAAUGGCAGUGAAAAAGAGUAAACUAUACUACAAAGCUUACCUCGAACCCAAACAGUGAUAAUGGCAGUGAGAUCUAACAAAAUGGCACGAAACUUGAAGCUUUCCUCGUACCUCAAUCAGCAAUACUGCAACUGAAGACGUAUUAUUAUUAUUAUCAUCAAUAAAACAUGAACACCCACGGAAACUUAGCAUACACGAAGUUGACCUACGUACCUCACGGAGAAAGCUUUGAGCUUUGAGCACCCACGAGAGUUUCAGCACCCUAGUACCAACAGUGUAUGUAGGGUUCUCUUCGAGCCACACUUCGAAGAGCAGUGUAGGGGGUUCUGUGGGUUUGAGCGAGGGGUUUCCGGCACUAUUGAAAACAAUGUGGGACAAUGUGGGUGUUGAAGGAGCGGUUUUCGGCAGAUUUCAGGCAGGAGGAAAAAGAGAAGAGCGAUUUCAGGAAGGAGGAGGACAAGGUUUUCGAGUGCGCGGGUUGUGAAAUGUCAAGUUUUAACUUAUAAACAUAACAACAUCGGUUUUUUAAGGAUAACUGAUGUUAACUGAAUAUAGUUAACAUCGGUUUUGGAAAAACCGAUGUUAACAUCAAAUAGAUUACAUUGGUUUUUUUAAAAAACCGAUGUUAACAUCAACUCCUUAACAUCGGCUUUCUCCAAACCGAUGUUAACUCUAUGAAGUUAACAUCGGUUUUGCCAAAACCGAUGUUACCAUAUUCAUCUUAACAUGAUGUUAACAUCGGUUUUUUAAAUAACCGAUGUUAACAUGAAGUAGUUAACAUCAGUUUUGCUAAAACCGAUGUUAAGUAACUCUAUUUAAUUACAAAAAUAUCACCGCGCUUUCGUUAACAUCGGUUUUUGAAAUAACCGAUGUUAAUGGAGCGAUGUUGAAAGCCUUUUUUUUAGUAGUGGUCUGUGCAAAUUGGCUUGCUAAUUAAGUUUGGAGCCUCAAGCUAGUGAUAAUUCAUUUCUGGUUUGGCAACAUUGCCCACCUAAACUGUCUUUGUCUCUUUUAGCAGAUGCAGGCUGAGGUUCUUAUUAGAUUGCGUACGCGUGUUUAGUUUGCUUUGCUUUCUUAAGUUUUCUGAUGUAUAAAAAAUUUGGAUCAAGUUAAUAUGGUUUUUAUGUUUCUUAUAUUGUUUAAAAUAACAAAAACAAACAUUUAUUAUAGGCUCAUUACAUGUUAAUACGGGAAUCAACUCUGGACAAAACAAAAUUAUCUUGGUGACCUAAAUUUUCCAAAAAAAAAUGAGCACUCAUAUUAGCCUCUUUAUAAAUAUGAGAGAUAGAUAGAAGGGUCUCAAUCCGUCAUAGACAGAUGCUUCCUGAUAUUAGCAAUAAGUGGUCGUAACAAAACAGACUUGUAGAAAUCUUGAUUUUUGGAUGAUACAAACCGCCACAAGAGAAUCCAUCUCAAUAAUAAUCCUUUGAAGUGGAAAUAGCUAUGGGAACACUUAAGGAAUCUCGAAUAAGACCUCCACAAAAAGCUUGGUUCGAGGAGGCAUAGUAAGAACCAUCCAUCUUAACUUUAAAAGCCCCUGCAGGAGGAGGUACUCGUGCUUAAUUAGUCACCUACUAACUCUUCACCCAUUAAUUGUUCCUUCUUCUUUGGCAUAGUUUAGUGUAGUAUGCGACCAACUAGCGUAUGAUGACUAUGUUGGUGUAGUAGUGCCAUAAGGCGUGGAUAUUUAUGUUUUCGACGCUUUGUGUUGUAUGUACAAUGUGUCUCAUGGUGGCGUAUCUUUGUUUCAUAGUUGGAUAGUGGUUGCGUAACUUACAAAAAAUUAACACAUUUUUAUAAGCAAAUUAAUGAAGUUUUCUUAUAAAAUGGAUCGUACACAUUAUGUUAGUAUAAAGUAAUUAAUAGUGACACUGGAUCGUUACAGGUUGGGAACUUAAUUUAUGGCAAAUAAAACUAGGCUUAUUCGGCUCUACCCAAUGGGCUAGAUUAGGCUAAAAAAAUGUAAGCAAAAAAAAGGCUUAUUAAUCUCUGAUUAACUAUUUUUAUUUUUUUGUAAAUUUAUAUAUUUUUUAGUAUUUUAUAUAUUAAAUAUGUUUAACUUAUUUUAUUUUGUAUUUAAUUAUGGUUGUUGGCCCAACAUAGAGUUUGGGGGACUAACGAAUUUGUAAUGCUAAAGAAAUUUGGGUCAACCUAUUGACAAUAUAUUGUUAAUAUAUCAUAAAUCAUUACUUAAAAAAAGGUUUUCAAGAACAAUCUUGAAUUGAUGUUAAAAUCAUCAUCAUUGAAAAUCAAACACUUUUGACGAAAGUGUUAAACUGAUGUAAAAAAUAUCUUUUUACAGUAAUUCUACAUAAAAUCGAUGUAUAAUGUGUGUUAAAAUUUGUAAACUGUCAAUGUUCUAUAUCUCUACUGCCAAUGUAGAGAUUAUUUUUUUAUAAAAAAUAUAUGGCCAUUUUUUAAAUAGUGUUUUGUAAUCUCCUCGUAUAAAAUAAUCGAAUGUAUUCAUCGAUCUGCUUGAUCUAACAAGUAGGAGUACUCCAUCAACUAGUUCAAGCAAUUUAAAAUUCUGUCAAUUGACACUACAAAUUAAGGUAUCAUCAACAUGGCAUAAUUAAAAGUUAGUAGACCUCUGCAAUUUUCUAAAUCGUAGUCAUUGACUCAGAUUUACACUAAGAGUGUGUUUGGAUAGAUAAGUUUAACUGAUAAAAGUAAUUUAUCAGAUAAUUUGAAUUUCUGUAAUCGAAAAUUCAUUGUUUAGAUAUUUUUUGUGAAAAAUUUAAAUUUUUGGAAUUUUAAAAUAGAAUUUUAAAUAACUAAAAAUGUGAAAUUUCAAUUUCCUCCUAAAAGGUGAGAAAUUGAAAUUAUCUUUUUAUAAAAGAAUUUUCUAAAACGUUCGCGUAUUUACUUACUAACCUUUAUCAUUUUUUCUACGUGAAAAAUUUCAAAGUUCUGUUCUCGAACUAGAGACUCUACCCUCACACCGAUAAUUCUUUUCUUCAAGAAACAUCUCGUAGAACAUCGGUCGGGUAUAAGCAUAGAGGAACACGUAUAACUAGCACAUCAAUUAUAUCUUUUUUUUUUUUUUUGCAUUCAUCUUUUUUCACCUUCACAAUUUUAAUUUUUUUAUCCAAAUACAAUAUUUUGAAAAUAAAAGAAUUUCAAUUAAAGUAUUUGAAAUUCUUAAAAUUUAAAAUUUUUCAUUAUUUUAAAUUCUCCCGUCCAAACACAUUCUAAAAGAAUUAUAAGAAAUUGAUCACAAUACCUUGUCCAUGUUGCGUUUAAGGAGAAUAGGACUUGGGUUUGAGUCCUCCAAAUAAGCACCCCACGAGGCUGUUCAAUUCCCACUAUGGAGGACUUCACUAAAACUAAGGCCCGACGUGGAUCCUGGGAUGUCCAAUCCUAAAACUACUGUUUUUCUCCAACCCUGUUGGCAAGACAUCUUAUUUAAACAGCAUUCAUUAAGUUUGCAUCGGAUAAGAGUUUAUUAUUGAAAAUUGCAAUCAAACCUGUCUCAAUCUCACAGGAAUUAAAUUCAUUUUCAUGAAGUACUAGGAAUUUCAAAUUAGUUUGGCACAAAAGAAAACUAUUACCGGUGCUACUUUUAGUCGAUUUUCAAGCUUUGUGCUAGGUUGAUCCUUGAAAUUAUACUGCAGUUAUUCAUUUAAUCACAUUAUUUUGUCCGCCUAUAAACCAUAGUGCAAGCUUGAUCCUUGAUAUCUAUCUAUAUAUAUAUAUAUAUAGAGAGAGAGAGAGAGAGAGAGAAUCUUCUUUCACCAAUUAAUGAUGCCAUGCCAACACGUCCAAACCUUGAUAUAUAAAGAGAAUAAAACUUAUUUUAAUUAAAGUUAGUUGGUAGUAGUUACAUAAUAUAAUAAAAUGAUUAAAUGCAAAAGGAUGCAUUUUGUUUCUCUAGAAUUUCUCUAUUUUGUAACUUAUAAGCUUGUAAUGUAUAUGUUACAAUGUUCUUAAAUUUCUAAAAAGUUUUUAAGAACAACCUGUCUAGGUAAAUUUUUUCAGAAAGACUUCUAACAAAAUAAGAAAAGAAAAGUUUUUCAUAAUUACCUUAUAAACCAGCUAAUGAUAGAAGCUCUUUCAUAUUAGUUUUUUUCAAAAGAUAUUUUUAGAUUAUGUAUAAACUAGCAUUAACUUAUAGAAAAGUUUAUUUAAUUUUUUUCUUUUUGUUUUCUUUUUUUAGUAGUACUUCUAAAUACAUUUAUGCAGAUAGACCCUUAAUAUUAAUAUAUAUCAACAAUACUUACAAUCUUAUGAGACUGAGCAGGAUUAUUGUAGGCAAGUAGUAUUUGACUCCUACGGUUCUCUUUUUGAUCUCUUGCAAUCUGAGCUAACAUGACCGUGGAGUAAAUAUUCCGAAAUGACUUUGUAAAUGCCUUUAGUUUAACAUUGUAACGAUACCUGGCCACAAAAUUUAAGCUGUGGACUUUGGAACAAUCAGAAACAAGCUGCGUAUUAGAAUGGAUUGGAGGUUUUCCAAUGCUGUUUUGAACGUAACUUUGUCUUUUAUGACCAUAAUCACGUUCAGAAAUUGCCACGCAGUUCCCAUACCUUGAAAUACAACAUCUGCCAUCAUUCACUAGACAAGCACAACAACGAUAACAACAUUAAUUGUUGGGUAUAUAUAGUCAGCCCAAUUAUUAGCAUAUAAUGCAAUCUUAAAAUCGAUGAUUCUUCGAACUUCAUUUCUAUCUUAAUUGUUGACUUCACUCACACCUUGUUUUUUAAUGAAAUUGAUCGGUGCCUACUUGUAGUAAUUGGAUAUAACUUGCAGUAUUAUUUAUCUAUCUUCUUCUAUUUUAUACAUAUACUAGUAUUAUAAAAAAAAAGUAUAACUAUUUAUUUUUGUUUGAAAUACCAUUGUAAAAUAAUUCAAUUAUUUUAUCCUUUCAUAUUUUAAAAUUACAACAAUAUUUAAAUUUUUAAGUAUAUUUCUAAAUAUAAUAUAAUAUACUUAAUCAUUUUAAGAUCAUUAGAAACUCUUAAUAUAAAACUAAUUCAAAUAUUUCAUAAAAAUUAUUAUUCUUCAAAGUAUUUAUCAUCACCAGUAUUCUUUCAUAUGAUAAGUUAUCGCCCGAUUAUGCAAUUAAAGGACUAAAAAUAUACAUAAAUUAGAUAAUUUAGUAGUUAGAAUGUUUUUGUCUUACAAGCAAAAUAUAAUAUUAAACAUCUAUAACAAUUCAUCUUACAAAAGUGUUACUUUUCUUUUGGCUAAAAAUAAUUAUCGUCAUACAUUAUUUUAUAUAAAUAAAAAAAUAAUUUUUUUUUAUAAAAGUAACUUUAUAUUAUCAUUAAUUUAUUUUUAAAUUUUAUAGUUCAUCAUUCAUAUAUAAGAAAUAUAAGUAAAAAAAUUAAUUUUAUAUUAAAAAGUCAAAAUAACAAUUAUUUUAGAAUUAUUAUUGUUUACACGACAAUUAUAAUGGAGCAGAUGACAUAAUAAUAAUUAAUAUAAGUGAUAUUAGAGAUUCAUAUAAUAAUUAAUUAGUUUUAAGAAAUAUUUAAUUUCAUUUUUUUCAUUUAAUUUAAUUAAUUUAUAUUUAAAAUUAUUCAAAAUAUUAUUUAUAAACUUUAAAUAUUAUAAAAAUCAAUUUUUAUUUAAAAAUUAAAGUAUAAUAAUUGAAUCAUUUUAUCAUUCAUAUUUUAAAAUUAUCAUAACAUUUAAAUUUAAUAUAAUUUAUGUGUUUAAAUUUUUAUACAAAAAAUUCUCAUAUAAUUUUAUAAAUACACGCCCGAAUUUUUUUAUCAAAUAUAUGUUUCGUGCAUAAUAAGAGAGUUGAAUAAGUAUUGAGUGUCAUUGUUAUUCUUUCAAAAAUUAGAAUUCAACUACCAUCUUGACAUCUUAAAGCCACCUCACUUAGUCGUAGAACCUGGCAUAAUAUUUAAUUUAUAAGUAAUGUUUUCUAUCAGUAUUCUAAUUAAUAAGAAUUCUAGCUUAUAAAAAUAUUGGAUUUAAUAAAUAACAUACAAAUUUAAAUAUUUUAACCCAAUAAUUUAAUUGAAAUCGUAUACAAAUGACUCAAAUCAACUCAUUCAAUUAUAAUUGAAUUAAGUCAUUAUAAUUGAAUUAAGUCAUAGGUAUGAUGAAACUCAAUCCAAACUUACCUGCAUACACCUCUAUGUUGGCUGGCUGAAUUUUUAAAACAAAAUUGUCUUGUAUUUUAAAAGUGGAUUUGUGCAAUUCGUGCAAUGAAGUUUUUGUGUUAAAUAAUUGAUGAAAAAGAAUUCGUGGCGAAUUAUCUUUUGUCAAAUAUGCCCAAGGUGUGAUCGAUUUUGUCAAAACCCAUUUUAUAUUUGUAAUUAAUAUUUUAUUUUAAAAUUUAUUGUUACAGUUCGUACGUAUACAGUUUAGUGAUAUAGUUUACAGUUCGUGUGUUUCAUGCCAAUAUAUAAUUUUCGUAAAUAAAUUGCACGAAUCCUUUGCAUCACUCAUAUAUACAAGUGCUGCAACUUGUUAUCACCUACUUGACUAGUCACAUAUAUUUACUUUUAACACCAAUUUGAGGAAAAAUAAAUUGUAAGAAUUCUUUUUUGUCAAAUCUGCACGAGGUGUGAUUAUGUCAAAACCUAUUCGGUAUUUUUAAUUAAUAUUAGUUUUUAAAAAAUUGUUAAGUCAGGUAUACCGUUUAGAAUCUAUAGUUUUUGUGUAUGGAAAAUGCUGUGUUAGGAAAUUAAGUGGAUUUUGUAAAUUAAAAGUCGCACGAAGUUUGAUGUCUGUAAAUCUCUUUUUACAUAUAUGCUUUUUACAUUUUUUUUAAUCGAUAUUCAUUUUAUAAAAUCAUAACCGUCCAUUCUAUGUUUUGUGUAAUUCAUGUGGAUUUACUUUUCAUAACAGAUAGCAUCAUUCUGUUUGUAUUUUGUGCAAAUAAUUUUCGUACUAAGUAGCAACAUUGAUAAAUAAAACGAAAAAGAGAUUAUGAUGAUGAUGAUUUGUACAAAUUGUAUUGCAUGAAUUACAAAUUAAUUCCGUCACUAAACUGCAUAUUUGCGCCAGGUAUGAUUUUGUCAAAACCUAUUUAAUAUUUGUAAUUAAUAUUAUUAUUAUUAUUAUUAACGAAAAACAUGUGUUGUCACGCUUUAUGUUUAUAUCUCUAUUUUGCUAACACAUUUUUAUUAUAUUAAAUUUAAAAUUAUAUAUUAUAACAACAUUUUUUAUUUAUGCUCUUACUAAAUCUUUAUAGUUAUAAGUGAAUAAAUAUGUAAGUAUUUAAAAUCAUGUUUAAUUAAUUAUCAACUUAAUAACUUAAAAUUAUAGUGUCUUUUACUAAAGAAUUUAAUACAUUAUUUUGACACAAUAGAAUAGAAUAUAAAAUUUAAAUCUAUUGCUUUAUAUCAUUUGAAAGGAUACCAACUCCUAUACCGGAACUUGUUUCUAAUGAUUAUUUUUUUAAAAAAAAUAACAAAUUAACAUAUUUAAUACAUUAAGAAUACAAUGUAUUUGAAAUAAAUUAAUUUUAAUUCUAUGGUACCAAAAGUAACUGGAUAUGAAACAUGUUUCAAUUGUUAAUAUUUUGGUACAAGGAAAUUUUCCGAGAUAGCCAAAACUGUCAAUUGAAACCUUGAGAUACCAUAAAUAUGACCCAACAUAAUCAUAUAUCAUAUAUAUACUCCUAGGAAAAUAUUUUUUACAUGAAAGAAUCUAAAAAUAUUAAAUAAAGGUUUUAAAUUUACUUCAUAAAUAUUAUGCUAAAUUAUUUUAUAAAUGUAUUGACUGAAAAUACAAACAUAAAAUUAUAAAUUAUGAUCCAAUAAUAUAAUAUAUAUAACUUUUAUUGUUUAUAUUUAAUUAAAAUAAUUAUGAAUCAUAAUUCGAUCAUCUUUUAAACAUAAAUAUUUUUUUACUUUAAGACAUAGUAACAUAUUCUACUCUUAGAAGCUUUAUCAUACAUUUGUUACUCCUCAUCUUCCUAAAUCUUUCUAUGAAAUCAGUAGUCAGUCUCAUUAAUUUGUUGUUUCGUACUUAGUCAACUACCGUACUAGAUUGAAGUAGCCUCCAUUUUGAGGAAGCUUUUUCUGAAACAGGUUUAUUAUAUAUCUUUUUAUUGCUAUUUAGAAUUAAAGUCUAUUUUGUCAGUUGUGCAUAUAGUUUGUCUCAAGUAAAUAAACAAGCUUGCAUAAUUCAUCAAGGUAUCAAUAUCCACUCCCAAGGCACCACAAAAGCUUUGAUGGAAAUUCAUUUUGAGGCCCGAGACAAGUUCAAAGCCUCUCAAAAUGCUUUUUAUGGUAAGCACCUUAGAAAGGGUUGCUUCUCCUAUAAAGAGUGCGUCAUGCGUCAUUUGCAUAUUGAAGCAAGUUUACUUCCUCUCUCCCACUACCCACUAAGAAAUUAGAGAAUUUGUUCCUUUCAAGUGCUUGCCUCGUGUUUUUAUGAGACAAUUCAUCAUCAUAAUAUAAUCUCAAAAUAAUAUCUAUUCCUUAUCAGAAAAGGAUACUACCAAGAUACUUACAAAAUUAACAUUUAAAUGUUGAAAAUUGUCUCAUAUAAGAUAAUAUAUAUUAAUAAUGAUUGCUAGCAAAUAAGUAGCAUGAAGUACGUUAAGAAGAAAAAAAAAAUCCCUUCUUUUUAUUCAAUUUUUUUUUCUCUCGUUCUAGCGACUAAAUAUUUUAUAUCGAACCAUCUUGAAUUAGACAACAUUGUUUUCAAAGAAAAUGAAGUAUGGGAGAAUAUGUUGAGUUUAAUUAGUGGAGGUACUUUACAAAAAUUUUAGAAGGAAGGUAAUUGUUUAGACAUUUUUGUUAAUGGGAGCGAGGAAAUCUUUGGAGGUGAUGAUCCCCUCUCAAUUUCGGAAUAAAUAACCGAAGAACAAUUAAAACUAUAGGAAAAUCAAGAUUCCUUAAGGAAGAACCCAUAAAUAUUAAAUGAUCACUGAAAUAAAUCAAAUAAAAAAAAAGUUAAAGGACAAAAGUGAAACCAAGCCUUACAUUAAAAGAUAAAAAUAUUACUUUUACCUUCAUGAAUUUGAUAUAAAUCUUAUUUAGUAAAUUGAGUUUAAUAUUUUGUAAAAAAAAAUCAUAUAAAAUGGAUUCAACAAUAAUGUAAAAACAAAAAAAUAUUAGAUAUUCUUUAAAUAAUAAGAUACUUCGGUUUGCAGAACGGAUCCUCAAGUUUAAAGAGAGUCAACCCGACCUUUGAAACAAUUAACCUAGGGUUAGCUCAAUUGGUUUAUGCCGGACUUGAUUUAACUAAGAAAUUCAGACCAAACUAAUUGGUUUGGUUCCCAUAAAUAUUAAAUGAUCACUUAAAUAAAUCAAAUAAAAAAAGUUAAAGGAGAAAAGUGAAACCAAGCCUUACAUUAAAAGAUAAAAAUAUUACUUUUACCUUCAUGAAUUUGAUAUAAAUCUUAUUUAGUAAAUUGAGUUUAAUAUUUUGUAUAAAAAAAUCAUAUAAAAUUGAUUUAUUAACUAAGAAAUUCAAACCGAAUUAAUUGGUUUUGUUUCGAUAAGCAAAACAAUAUAGCUUUUAAAUAGGGUUUUCUAACUAAACCUAAGUAAAAAUUUCACUGAAAAAUUCAAACUUGCUUCUUAUGAUUUUUAAUGAAAUUCAAAUAACAUUCUAGAAAAUAUGUAGCGGUAAACAUGGCAGGAGAUAGGUAAGUACAGGAAUAUGUUGGGUCGUUCACAGCACGAACUUGAGCCACUGAUACAACUAUUGAGGAAGAGCAAAGAGGUUGUUUACAAGUGUUCAAAAAUAGGGAAAUACAAUUUUGUGGCUAAGAAAUUCUUACCGUGGAAAACUAAAAUUAAAGAUCUUGCAGACUCAAUUGAGAGGUUUUUCAAUAUUGAAAUGCUAGCUCUUAUUGCACGCGAUCAACUUGAGAUCUUGCUUAGGGUUAGUGAAAUAGAAUACUUCAAUGAUGAAAAGUUUUCCGAUUCGGUGAUCGCGGCAUUAGCUAUAGCUGCUGCUGUUACUGUUGCUAUAGUUAUUAAAUUUAUUAAAUUUCUUCUGUUCUAAUUUUUGCAUGAUUAAUUGGGGAUAUUUGGAUAGUCUGGAUAAGGUUUUAGUUUCAAACUUUAUUGUCUUUAUUGUAUAUAAGCAACCGAUUUGUCACGCCUAUUAUGUUUUUGCUUUUUUAUUGUACUUUCGCAUUUCUAUUAAGCUAAUUAAAGAUGUUAUAUAUAUAGUUAAAAAAUUAUCUUAUUUAUAUAUACAGAUAUAUAUAUAUAUAUAUAUAUAUAUAUAUAUAUAUAUAUAUAAAUUUUAGUUUCAUAUGUUUUUAAAUGCAUGUUUAUCUUUAGAAUUUUCUUUACUUCUUAUACUCUCUACUAUUUAUGAUAAUAUAUAGUAAUUCAAUUUUAUUUUGUAUAUUGCAUGUAGGCUACCGUAGUUUUUUUUCCAACAAAAUGAUUUGUAUUAAAUGGUACCAAAGUACCUAAGAUCCAAAAACAUAUACACCAGUGACAGUAGAAAGAAAGCAAAUUCCAUGGUUAGAUUAUAUUUCUAUCUCGACAAAGAUAGCUAGCUUCGAACAUGGACCAUUACACCCAAAGUCAUGGUUUUAAAUUGUAGUCAGCAACCUAAUUGCAGUCAUAAAGCUAAUGUAUUUUGACUCUGUAAUCACAUCACAAUUAUAAUUAUUAUCACAUCAAUUGUAUUUUUCCAUAAUUAUUGUUAAGAUUUGACUGUUGGAACUGCCUAACAAAUUAUAUUAGAUAAGAUUUUUAUGCUAUUUUUUAGGAAAAAAUAAAAGUCAUGUUGACUGAUAGGAUAAAGCAGUUUUGAUCCUAUUCUCUAGGCAUGAUUUGUUAGUGGUGUUAUCUUUCUGUUAGUGAUGUUAUCUUUUUGUUAGCAGUUACUAUCUUUUUCAUGUUUUUAAAUACGUUGCUUCAUAUCAGAAUAAAGUAAGCCUUUGCAGUCUCAAUUUCUUUCUUUAUGCUCCCUUUUAUUGUUUAAUAUUUCUGUCUACUCUUAUUAAAAAAAACAACAAAUUGGUAUCAGAGCUCUUAUCUUUAAGGGAUCUGUGAGUUGAGAGAAAUCACAAUGGAGGGAGAAACAUCAUACACAGCAGGUUCACCACCAAUUUUUGAUGGUGAGGAGUACGAAUUAUGGGCUGCAAGGAUGACUGCUCAUCUUGAAGCUUUGGAUCUUUGGGAGGUAGUAGAAGAAAACUAUGAUGUUCCUGAACUACCUUUAGAUCCAACGGUGGCUCAGAUGAAGAAUCACAGAGAAAGGAAGACCAAAAAGGCUAAGGCUAAAAAUUGCCUUUUCUCUGCUGUGUCAAAAAUUAUUUUUACAAGAAUUAUGAACUUCAAGUCUGCCAAACAGAUUUGGGAUUAUCUCAGAUCAGAAUAUCAAGGCUGUGAAAGAACCAAAGGCAUGCAAGUACUCAACUUGGGCAGAGAAUUCGAGAUGCAGAGCAUGAAAGAGACUGAAACAAUUAAAGGCUACGCUGACCGGCUGUUAGGCAUAGCAAAUAGAGUGAGGCUUCUUGGGAAGGACUUUCCUGAUGAAAGAAUAAUGCAAAAAAUCCUGGUCACUAUACCCGAGAAGUAUGAAUCGAAGAUAUCAGCAUUGGAGGAGUCUAAAGACCUGUCAACCAUCACCUUGGGAGAACUCAUAAAUGCUCUACAAGCCCAGGAGCAGAGAAGAAUGAUGAGACAAGAGGAGGUGGUACAAGGUGCGUUUCAUACGAAAGCACAAAAUUCAAGAGGUGGCAAAGACAAGAAGAACAACAAAUGGAGGAACAAAAAACCAGAAGGCUCCAACAAGCAACAAGGUGAGACCUUUCCUCCUUGUCCGCAUUGCAAAAAGACAAAUCAUCCUGAAAGAAAAUGUUGGUGGAGGCCAAAUGUCAAGUGCAGAAAGUGUGGCAAUAUGGGACAUGUAGAGCAAAUAUGCAAGUCCAAAUCAGAGGAAGCAAAGGUGGUUGCGGAGGAACGAGAAGAUGAGCAACUCUUUCUUGCAACAUGCUUUGCCACAAGCAAUAGUUCCAGUGAUUCAUGGUUAAUAGACAGCGGCUGCACAAACCAUAUGACCAAUGACCUAAACCUCUUUAAAAAACUUGACAAAACCAUUGUUUCCAAAGUAAAAAUUGGAAAUGGUGAUUUCAUCUCAGUCAAGGGAAAAGGGACUGUUGCUAUUGAAAGCUUGACAGGUUUGAAAUAUAUCUCCGAUGUCUUAUAUGUGCCUGACAUUGAUCAAAAUCUACUUAGUGUUGCUCAGCUUGUAGAGAAAGGCUUCAAAGUUAUAUUUGAAGAAAAUUGGUGCUUGAUCAAAGAUGCAAAAGGAAAAGACGUAUUCAAGGUGAAAAUGAGGGCUAAAAGCUAUGCUUUAAAUCUAAUGGAGGAGAAGCAAAUAGCUUUUUCAAGCAUGGCCACCAAUGUUGAACUAUGGCACAAAAGGCUCGGACACUUCCAUCUUGCUGGACUUUUAUACAUGCAAAAACAUGCCUUGGUGAAAGGUGUGUCAAUGCUUGAAGACAAGUUAGCCGAUUGCAUGGCUUGCCAAUAUGGUAAGCUAGUCAGAAAACCAUUUCCUCAAUCAACUUGGAGAGCAACUCAAAAGCUGCAAUUAGUUCACACAAAUGUUGGGGGACCUCAGAGAGUAUCAUCUUUAAAUGGUAAUAAAUACUAUAUUACAUUUAUUGAUGAUCAUACUAGAUUUUUUUGGAUUUAUUUCUUUAAAUCCAAGACUGAGGUUGCUAAUAUUUUCUAGAAAUUUAAAGCAUUGGCGGAGAAUCAAAGUGAUUGCAGGUUGCAAACAAUAAGGUCUGACAAUGGGAAGGAAUACAAAAAUGAUGUUUUUGAUAAAUUUUGUGAAGAAGCUGGCAUUGAGCACCAACUCACCGUACCUUACACCCCACAACAAAAUGGUGUGAGUGAGAGAAAAAAUAGAAGUAUCAUGGAGAUGACAAGGUGUAUGCUGCAUGAAAAGGAGUUGCCAAAGGAGCUAUGGGCGGAGGCAGCAAACACUGCAGUAUUUUUGCUGAAUAGACUACCUACACGAGUUCUGCACAAAAAAACUCCAUUUGAAGGCUGGUUUGGUUACAAACCAGAUUUACAAAAUCUAAAAAUCUUUGGUUGUGUUUGUUUCUCUUAUGUUCCACAGGUUAAAAGGGACAAACUUGAUAAAAAGGCAGAACCCGGAGUUUUCAUUGGAUACAGCAACACCUCCAAAGCUUACAGAAUUUUUCAACCUCAAAAUGGGAAAAUUCUUGUGAGUAGAGAUGUCAAAUUUAUGGAAGAUCAACAAUGGAGUUGGGAUGAGCCAAUAAGGAAGCAGCUGCCAGAAAUCCCACAGUUCCUUGAUGAUGAUGUAGAUGACAUUCCUGUCAGAGGUACAAGAUCUUUAUCUGAGAUUUAUCAAAAGAGUAAUGUAGCUGUCCUAGAACCUGCAGAAUUUGAAGAAGCUGAAAAGGAUGACAAGUGGAUAAAUGCUAUGAAGGAAGAGUUGAAGAUGAUAGAAAAAAAUGACACAUGGGAGCUAGUGGACAGACCUCAACACAAACAACCUAUAGGGGUAAAAUGGGUUUAUAGAACCAAACUUAAUCCAGAUGGUUCUGUGAAUAAAUACAAGGUCAGGUUGGUGGUGAAAGGCUAUGCUUAGGUGUUUGGAGUGGAUUUUUCAGAAACCUUUGCUCCAGUUGCACGUCUUGAUACAAUUAGAAUGCUACUUGCCUUGACUGCACAUAAAAGGUGGAAAGUUUAUCAUUUAGAUGUAAAAUCUGCCUUUCUAAAUGGUUACUUGCAGGAGGAGAUUUAUGUAGAGCAACCUGAGGGGUUUCAAAUCAAAGGAGAGGAGCAGAAAGUUUACAAGUUGAAAAAAACAUUAUAUGGUCUUAAACAGGCUCCUAGGGCCUGGUACAGCAGGAUAGAUGAUCAUCUUCAAGAUCUUGGAUUUGUCAAAAGUCCAAGUGAGGCUGCAUUAUAUGUGAAAUUGGUAGAUGCAAAUUUAAUCAUUAUUGCUGUCUAUGUUGAUGAUUUACUUGUGACAGGAAGUGAUGAGAAACUCAUAAAGGAGUUUAAAGCUGAAAUGUUUAAAGCAUUUGAAAUGACAGAUCUUGGCUUAAUGAGUUUCUUUUUGGGAAUGGAGGUGAAACAAGAUCAUGGUGGAAUCCUCAUUCACCAAAAGAAGUAUGCAAGGGAAAUACUCAAGAAGUUUCAUAUGGAGGACUGCAAAAGCACUACAUCUCCAAUGAACCAGAAGGAGAAAUUUAGCAAGGAUGAUGGAGCUGAUAAAGUUGACGAAAUGCAUUACAGAAGCUUGAUUGGUUGUUUAAUAUAUCUUACUGCAACCAGACCUGACAUUUUGUUUGCAGUAAGUAUACUUUCAAGGUUCAUGCAUUGUGCUAGUGAAGUUCAUCUUCAAGCUGCCAAACGAGUUAUUAGAUAUGUUAAAGGCACUUUAGACUAUGGUAUAAUGUACUCUCAUUCUCAUAAUUUUAAGCUCCAUGGAUAUUCUGAUAGUGACUGGGCAGGUUGUAUUGAUGACAUGAGAAGCACCUCUGGUUAUUGUUUUUCCUUUGGUUCUGGAGUCUUUUCUUGGUGUUCUAAAAAGCAAGAAGUUGUAGCUCAAUCAACUGCAGAAGCAGAGUAUGUAGUUGCUGUUGCUGCAGUGAAUCAAGCUCUUUGGAUCAGGAAAAUUAUGACAGAUUUGCAUAUGAAACAAGAAGAAAGCACACAGAUUUUUGUAGACAACCAGGCUGCAAUCUCAAUUGCUAAUGAUCCAGUGUUUCAUGGCAAAACUAAGCAUUUCAAGAUAAAGCUUUUUCUUCUAAGAGAAGUUCAAAGGGAAGGAGAAGUGAAGUUAUUGUACUGCAAAAUAGAGAAUCAAAGUGCUGACAUUCUGACCAAGGCACUUCCAAAAGCCAAAUUUGAAUACUUGAGACAAAAGCUUGGAGUUUGCAGUUCCAAAGUCAAGGAGGAGUGUUAAGAUUUGACUGUUGGAACUGCCUAACAAAUUAUAGUAGAUAAGAUUUUUAUGCUAUUUUUUAGGAAAAAAUAAAAGUCAUGUUGACUGAUAGGAUAAAGCAGUUUUGAUCCUAUUCUCUAGGCAUGAUUUGUUAGCGGUGUUAUCUUUUUGUUAGUGAUGUUAUCUUUUUGUUAGCAGUUACUAUCUUUUCCAUGUUUUUAAAUACGUUGCUUCAUAUCAGAAUAAAGUAAGCCUUUGCAGUCUCAAUUUCUUUCUUUAUGCUCCCUUUUAUUGUUUAAUAUUUUUGCCUACUCUUAUUAAAAAAAAAACAACAAUUAUCCACAAUGUAAGAUUUUUAGGUUCGUUGCAUGCAACGCAAUCAUAAUUGCAAUUUAAAAUCAUGUCUAAAGCCAUGCAACAUUGAUGCGGCAUCACUAACCAGCCCCCACCAUCGUGUUGCAUUUGGGAUGAUUCCACUCGAAGAGCAGCUACCACCGAAUCAAGUUAACUUCACAUUUCAUUCAAAAUUGAUCACUCUUCAUGAAACAAGCUCCAGGUGCCAUAUAUCAUUAAGUAAAACAAUAAUUAAAAUUAGGGACUCUGGCUUUUAUUAAUCCACGACCAUGCAAAGAAUAAUAUAUUCUGCAUAAUUUUCUCAGCAUUGAAGAGCCAUUAAUUCCUUAACAUUCACUCAUUCCUAGCAUUCCAUACACACCAAAAUGACAUUCACCAAAAAAAAAAAAAAAAAUACACCCCAAAAUUUUUUAUGCCCACACCGCCCUACAUACAUCUGCCUCCUUCUUUGAACUUACGAAUACAGAAUCUUGCCAAAAAUGUGAUUUUGGUCAUUGUGGCAACACCACAUUUACAUGCAGCCAGCAGCCAAGAGUAACAUUGCCUCCAAAUUAAUACCAAGAAUUUUAUGACAUGAGAAGAAACAGUGAGAUACCGACUCAUCUACCUCAAGGCAAAAGGGACAUAAGCACUCAUGAGGAUUAUAAAUGAUGUUUCUCCUUUUUAGAUUAUCCUUCGUUGGUAGUCGAUCAAUCAAGAAUCAGUCUCCAAAUUAAGAAACACGCCUUAAUUAGGUUGUAUAUACCUUAGUGUAGUAGUAUGAGAAAAAAUAUCCAAGUUAAAUAGAAAAUUAUUUUUAUAAAUAUGAACACUUUUUUAAGGCAAAAUGUAAAAAAAAAAAGUUGCAAUUUCUCCCCAGUCUGUGCAAGAGGUACAUGUGUUACCGUAUUACAUACAUAAAAAAAUGGUUUCUCCUAAGUUAACUUUCAGUCCUAAAAAAUGCCACAGUUAACUUCUCUAACAUCAAUCACAUUUGAAGUGGCUCCAAACACCAGCAAGAGAAGAAAGUUCAUGGUUUUUUGCCUUAUAUAACAACCACUGCCAUGAGAUAUGUUUUACGGCUGUCAAAAUACCCCCUGGUUCACACUUUUUGCAACUAAAGGCUAUCAUAUAAAAUAUUUCUGUUGGCUGAAAUCGGUUAGGUUUCUUUCGAUCGACAUCAGUCGAAGUUAUUUUUUGACCAAUGUCGGUUAGAAAUUUUUUUGUUAACCUUAGUUAAUGAUGUUUGUGAUCGAUAUCAACCGAUUACAUUUUUUUACCAACAUCUUGUCAGGACUAUUUUUUGGUCAACGUCACCUUGGUUUUUUUGGUCAAUGUGACAAAGCUUCGUUACCAGGAACAACUUGAGGCACUUGCGGACUCGCUUGUCAGGUUUUGCUUAAGGUUAGGAGAAUACUUAGCGCUGUUAAUAAAUUUCCCUUCCACACAGUUGAUGCAUCUAACCCUGAAGAAAAUGCAAUUCUAGUAUGGAAGCAACAAAUACAAGUUUGUCUUUGUCCUGCUAUUCUGAUAUCCUAUCUCUAUCCAGAUGUAUAUAUGUUUGUAUGUGCAUAUAUAUAUAUAUAUAUAUAUAUAUAUAUAUAUAUAUAUAUAUGCAUCCAUGUAUAUAUGUUUACAUAUACAUACAUAUAUGAAUGUAUAUAUAUACACGUGCUUUGUGUAUAAAGAGUUUGUAUCAUUAUCUUUGAAACAUCUUUUUACGCUAUUUUCAAUCAAUACAAGAAUUUUAGAUCAUUAUCUUAUUAGUUACUUCUCUUUAAUUAUAUUUAAGUUAAAAAAUAUUAAUGCUUUAAGAUGAAUUAAGACUCCUAAUUGUAACCACAUCAGCCAGAUUUUCCCGUAAUUAGCCGCAAUAUAUAAAAAGAUUUUAUGACUCACCAUAAUGUAAUCAUAAUCAUAAUUUAAAACCAAGCUACUUAAUAUGUAUGUAGUUAUUUUAAGAAAAAAAAUAUGAAAUCAAGAUCGUGUGGAGUGUCUACCAAUCUCAAGGCUGAACUCCAUGCAUCUUAAUUUUAUGGUCUCUGUCAUGCCUUGAAUCUAGGCUUCUAUUAGUUUGAGUCUGAUUCUUAAACUCGUCCUAGGAAGAAAUUAAGUAAUUAACCAACAAGUUUCAUCCUCACGUAUGCUACCCUCAUCAACUUAAUCAGCUCACUGCUGGAGCAAGAUUGGAGGAUCCAGCUUCAGCAUACUCUUCAUGAAGACACGUAUGUGCAGGUUGGCUUCCAAAGUUAAUUUGGAGCGUGAUAAUUCAUUUCUGGUUUGGCAACAUUUCCCACCUCAACUAUCUAUGUCUCUUUUAGUAAAUGCAGUAGGGAUUCUAAGAUUAUGUGCUUAGUUUGCUUUGUUUUUUUAGUUUUAUGAUGUAUAAAAAAUUAUAGAUCAGUUAGUAGUUUGGUUUUAGGUUUUGUUCUGGUCUAGAUCGGAUCAUGUUCCGAUCUUCUACAUCUUUAGCUUUUACGCACUCUGUGCUUGAAGCUAAGGGGUUAUCUUUUGGUUCAGAUUGGAAUGUAUUGGAUUAUGUUCCGAUCUUCUAUCACGCAUCAAGCCCAUAAAAGAGGCUUAGGUUGAUUCACUUUCAAAGUUGGGCCUUGCCAGGCGGGAUCAAACGACCACCUUAAGGGGGAUUGACGAUAAUCCGACUAUUUCCGCAAAAUAAGGGAUUAACUGAUUGUUUAUGAUAUGCUGGUUAGUCAUGCAUCAUGAAGGGACAACUAACAUAAACUUAAUAGCACGAAACAUUUGCGGGAUAUGAUGGAAUAUUAUGAUGCAGCAUAAAGACCUCGACUUGUAAAAAUUGCGGGGGGACCGAAUGUGCUUCAUUUUGAGGAGGCUUUUUCCGGAACAGGUUUGUUAUAUUUUAUUGCAUGUUAUUUAGACCGGAACAGGUUUGUUAUAUUUUUAUUGCAUGUUAUUUAGAAUUAAAGUCUAUUAUAUCACUUGUGCAUAUAGCUUGCGUCAAGUGAAUCAAUAAAGAUUGAACUCGUUUUAUAUUAUAUUGAUUUGAUAGUUAUAUUUCUUAAGUGGGAAAAUAUUGAGAUUCUUAGAACAUUUUUGGUCAAAGAAUUCAUUUUAGGUUCUUGGAUUAUUUUUUGUGAGUCCCAUGAUGUUAUAUAGGAUGCAAGAACUUCUAUCAUUUUUUAUUCUAGUAGUAGAAUCCAAUUUGGAUUAUUAGAUUUUACUAGCACAAGAAAAAAUAAUAUUUUUGAAAAAAUAGGAGUUCUUUUCCUAGAAUCCAAUCUCCAUCUUAAAAAACUCUUAAUAAGAAUAAUAGUAGAUCUAGUGGAUAGGGUUCUUGAGUUCAAGAAUCCCAUUAAAGAUGCUAUUGGGCCUUUGACAAACUGUCCAUGUUGUGCUACUCAUUAACAAACCUGUGCUUACAUUUCAUAGGCUCUCGUGAAAUAAUAGAUAAAAGUUAUUUAUAUACAAAUAUUUCUAAACAUUAUUAAAUGUAUUACAUAAAAACUAUAGACCAAUAAUAUCAUUAAAAAUGACGCAUUUUAAUAUGUUAAACAAAUAAGAUAAUUUCAAUCAAUCUCGAACAGAAAAUAUAUAGAGAGAGAGAUAUCGAGUUUAAUAAUUAUGUAUUGAUGAUGUAAAAUGAUUUUACACUAUUAUAAAUUAUUGUUUGAAUUACUUUAAAAUAAUUAUUUUAAAAGUCAACAAACUUAUCACAUAGUGAGUUGCAAUUAGGUAAUGGUUUAAAUAUAUUUUUGGUCUCUGAUAAAUACUCAUUUUUUGCAUUUGGUCCCUAAUAAAUUUUUGCUUUGUGAUGGGUCCCUAAUAUUUAAAAAGCUUUGUCCGAAGUUCCUGCCGUUAGUCGAAAUCCAUUAUCUUCAUAUGUGAUCAUUAACCGAUUGUCGCAACCUACCCUUCGGCGGGAGGGCGACGCGUGACUCGCGGGAUGCGUGUUCCACGAAAGGAAUACCCGCGGAGUUGCCACCAACGUUUAUUUGAGGAAAAUGUCGGAAAAACCGGAAAAGACGCGAUCUACGAACUUUUAAGUGAAAGGCUCGGGAGUUGUAUUCACGCACGGGGAAGGUAUUAGCACCCCACACGUCCGUCACAAGGGACGACAGCCUUUAAUCGAAUGUGCAAACAUGACUUUGAUUUUUACGUUCCCUUUUUAUGUCCUUAUAUUUUUUUUAUUUUUCCUCUUUUUGUGGUCGACAAGGGUGUUUCUCUUUGCUCCUACGUAUUCCUCAAUUGUGAUGAGGAAAUCAGACCUACGUAGUUCUUUCUUAUGCGUGAAUCAAGUGAUUCUUUUUUACUUGAAAGGUGAUCAUUUUAAGGCAUUGGACCUUAAAAAUGAUUCAUUUUACUUAGUAAGAAACUGGAAUGAUAAACUUUCAAAAACCUAUUUUUGUGGACGAGCUUGACUAGGCGAGUUGAUUUUAGCCUUAGUUUCACUUUAGUUAUUAGUCAAUUCAAUUAAGAAUGAGAAAUCCCAAAGAGAAAACGUCCGAUUUGAUUUUUCGCUUUAUUUUACUAAAAGGGAUUCUUUGAUUAUUAUAUUAUUAUUUUACCUCUUUUUUGAUUUCCAACGUGGUUACAGCACGACCGAACGGUCGGAAUUCAUUUUAACAGAAAUUAACGAAUACUACAAUUCAAAUGAUCGGUGGAAAUUUAUUUUAUUUUUAGAUUAGGCGCGAAAUGACUUAAAUAAAUGGCUUAAGCACGUCAAAAGGGGGCACAGAAAGUAAAUGAAAACGAGAAUAAAAAUACAUGAAACAAAAUGUGGACCACCACGGGUACAUAGAAUGAAUUGAAAAGCUCGGUUUGAGGUACUUACCCGUUGAAGACUGAAGAAAACGAAGAACGAACGAUGAAUGUUGAAGAACGGUCGAGAAUCUUCGCGUAAUUACUCACGGAAAUGUUACGGAAACGUUUCGGAAGUGCCUCGGCUUGGAUUUUCUUCACGGAAAUAAUUUUUCUCAGCAAUUUUAAGUGAUUCUGAAUUACCCGGAGGGCUGAACCCUUUUCUACUUCACUUCUCCCCCUAUUUAUAGAAAAUUGGGGGAGAAGCUUGCCACCUAGCUCGCCCAGGCGAGCAAGGUGGCUUCCUCCAGAAGCAACCGCCUUCUGGAGGAAUCUUCUGGAUGGCCCAAGUGGGCCUGGUUGCUAUUUGCACCCCCAUUUUUACUAAAUACACCCCCUGCCUUUUUUUUGUGCUUCUUUUUUUCCGUAAAGUUACGGAAACUUACGAAUUUAGUAACGAUACUUGUUUUCCUUCCGUAAUGUUAUGGAACCUUGCGGAUUACAUAAUCAUCCCUUUUUUGACUUGCGGAAAGUUACGAAACCUCACGAAUUGUGCAGCGAUGCUUCCUUUUUUAUUUCCGGUAUGUCACGGAACCUUACGAAUUGUGCAUCAAUACUUUCUUUUGAUUUCCGGCAUGUCCCGGAACUUCACAAAUUGCCUAAUGAUGGGUGCCAAGCACCUCACAAGGACCAAACAAAAGUUUCAUGCCACCAAGCAAAGGUCCCCCGGACGAAAUUAGGGUAUGACAGUUGCCCCUCUUUACUUGUCAUUUAUUGGAGAUAAAAGGGAAGUAAAGAUAAGACACUAAUUUCCUUCCUCUCGGUUGACGAGAGUCGCGGGUGACCAUAAAAUAUCUCUGCAUGCAAUUGACUUGUUGUCCCCGGGGGAACAAAGGGUGCAGAAGACGAUGUCAGUCUCUGCAUGCUAUCAGGCUUUUCGUCUUACAGAUAGCAAAAAGAAUGUUUAUACGGAUAACCACUCGGGUAUUUCCGCCCGUCAACGUGACUCAAAUGUCAAUACGAUAGAUCUUGUGAGCGCGGAAGAUGACGUAAAUCUCCGCAUGUCAACGGGCUUGUCGGCCGCGAUUGACGAAGGAUGCAGAAGACGACGUUAGUCUCUGCGUGCAAUCAGGCUUUUCGUCUUACAGACAACAAAAGAAUGUUUAUACGGAUAACCACUCGGGUAUUUCCGCCCGUCAGCGUGACUCAAAUGUCAGUACGACAGAUCUUGUGUGCGCGGAAGAUGACGUAAAUCUCCGCGUGUCAAUGGGCUUGUCGGCCACGAUUGACGAAGGAUGCAGAAGACGACGUCAGUCUCUGCAUGCUAUCAGGCUUUUCGUCUUACAGACAGCAAAAGAAAGUUUAUACGGAUAACCACUCGGGUAUUUCCGCCCGUCAGCGUGACUCAAAUGUCAGUAUGACAGAUCUUGUGUGCGCGGAAGAUGACAUAAAUCUCCGCGUGUCAACGGGCUUGUCGGCCGCGAUUGACGAAGGAUGCAGAAGACGACGUUAUUCUCUGCGUGCUAUCAGGCUUUUCGUCUUACAGACAGCAAAAGAAAGUUUAUACGGAUAACCACUCGGGUAUUUCUGUCCGUCAGCGUGACUCAAAUGUCAGUAUGACAGAUCUUGUGUGCGCGGAAGAUGACGUAAAUCUCCGUGUGUCAACGGGCUUGUCGGCCGCGAUUGACGAAGGAUGCAGAAGACGACGUUAUUCUCUGCGUGCUAUCAGGCUUUUCGUCUUACAGACAGUAAAAGAAAGUUUAUACGGAUAACCACUCGGGUAUUUCUGUCUGUCAGCGUGACUCAAAUGUCAUUAUGACAGAUCUUGUGUGCGCGAAAGAUGACGUAAAUCUCCGCGUGUCAACGGGCUUGGCGGCCGCGAUUGACGAAGGAUGCAGAAGACGACGUUAGUCUCUGCGUGCUAUCAGGUUUUUCGUCUUACAGACAGCAAAAGAAAGUUUAUACGGAUAACCACUCGGGUAUUUCCGCCCGUCAGCGUGACUCAAAUGUCAGUAUGACAGAUCUUGUGUGCGCGGAAGAUGACGUAAAUCUCCGUGUGUCAACGGGCUUGUCGGCCGCGAUUGACGAAGGAUGCAGAAGACGACGUUAGUCUCUGCGUGCUAUCAGGCUUUUCGUCUUACAGACAGCAAAAGAAAGUUUAUACGGAUAACCACUCGGGUAUUUCCGCCCGUCAGCGUGACUCAAAUGUCAGUAUGACAAAUCUUGUGUGCGCGGAAGAUGACGUAAAUCUCCGCGUGUCAACGGGCUUGUCGGCCGCGAUUGACGAAGGAUGUAGAAGACGACGUUAGUCUCUGCGUGCUAUCAGGCUUUUCGUCUUACAGACAGCAAAAGAAAGUUUAUACGGAUAACCACUCGGGUAUUUCCGCCCGUCAGCGUGACUCAAAUGUCAGUAUGACAGAUCUUGUGAAGGUGGCCGACAAAAGCGAGGCUCUUGCUCAUACGUAUUCUCCAAUGAGGAACUCAGACCUACGUAGUUCUUGAUAACUUGUGAGACUUGAAAAAGUCUUCACCGGAAGAUGCUGACAUCUCCGGAAAGGGUGCAGAUGAUCACAUUGGCCUCUGCUCGUCAAUCCACUUGGGGUCACUGAAUGACGAGGUGCGGAUAACCGUAAGGUAUCUUCGCGGGCUACCAGCUCUUGGGUCAUGGUAACAAAAAGCGGUGCGGUCGAUAAAAGCGAAGCUCUUGCUCCUACGUAUCCUCAAAUGAGGAACUCAGACUCAAACAUGCUUUAGUAAAGAGACAAAUAUUCCAACUGAUUAGAGCAGCAUAUGCUUUUUUGAGUGAAAAACAAUACGUCUACCGGGGAAGGAGAGUCUGCUGAUGAAACCCCCCCAUAACCAUAAAUGAGAUUUUGGAUGUUAGCAUUUCGUUUCUAAAUGACCAUUUAGAGGAAACACUGGGUUCAACAAAAAUAGAAGAAAAUCACUUAGAGUGUAUCAACCUCGCACAGGUAAGUGUUUCAUCCUAAUUCCGAACCAUAGAUAUGUCACGACUUGACUUUGCAAAUUAUUUCCUAUCAAAUCAAAGAUUACAUGUGUGAUCAUGGAUCAAUAGGACUUCCCUUGGAAAUGGGUUCUUUUGGUGAGUUUUUCGGCUUUUGAUUUUUUUGGCUUUUUCCUUUUCUGUUCUUGUUUGACGCGGGGCGAACAAGUCACCGACGCACAGGAUUUUGGUUGGUAAUCAAAGGGAGAAGACCACUUUAGGUCAUGGUUUCCUUUCCUUCCUUUUGUUCAUUUGGUGACAAUUUUGUAUUAUUCAGAUAUUGUCUGGUCCAAAGACCUUUCUGCAUAUUUCUUCUGGUUUCUUUCGAUCCUUGAUCAGGAGCUUUCUUUCCUUCCUUUUUUUACUUUCUCCCAUUUUUUGGUUGGGAAUUUUCUUUCUUUUCUUUUUGCUUUCUCCCACUCUUUGAUUGGGAAUUUCCUUUCCCUUUUUUUUGCUUUCUCUUUGAUUGGAAAUUUUCCUUCUCUUCUUUUUUUGCUUUCUCUUUGAUUGGAAAUUUUUCUUCUCUUCUUUUUGCUUCCGAGGAUAAGGAUUGACAUUCUCACCCUGGGUCAUGGUUUAUGGUGAGUUAGGAUUUUGGCUCAAGGCUUGUAGAAUGGCUAGAUAUGAUACAUGUCAGGGUUUGGUUUGGUUCAAGGAUAAAAAGGGAUGCCCCACAUUAUUUCCAUGACACCAAUGCAAAAAUGAUGAUUUGGAAACUUUAUGCAAAACUGGUCAUGCAUGCACCUAUGUGGACACUCAAGUGUCAAAUUUUUAUGGUCAUGUGAUGCUAGGGCUCAGGAUUCAUUUCCUCUAUUUUAGUCAACCCAAUGUUUCCAAAAUAUGUUCUUUUAUCCAUUUGUGCAUUCAUCCGAGUCCAUUUUGAGGCGUCCAGGAAAAUUUUCACAGCGUUCACCCUUCUGGUGUACACACAUUUUUUUUCAAAAACUAGCUAUGAUCGGCGAAUUUUCCUUUCAAACAAAAGUCGGAAAUCAUCUCUUUCAAAAACAUGUUGGUUCUUUAUCUUCUAUUUUCCUUCUUUUUCUCCUUACUUGCUCUCUUUUUUUUUCUAUUUUUAUCAUGAUUUUUGUUUGUUUUAUUUUUUAGGACGAUGUUCCUAAACGAAAAACUCUACACGGUUCCAGAAUUUCAAAUAAACAUCAUCGAUAAUAAUGAUAUAAGCACUAACACAACAAUCCAAACAAAAAUGUAUGCGCGAUACAAAUGAUAAUCGAAACAACAAAAACAAACAUUAGUCUCUCAAGUAAAAAAAAUAACAUAACAUAAAAAUGAUAAAAAGAAAUAUGAAAGAAAACAUGAAUCUGGGGGUCUCCCAGUCAUGUAGCUCCACUCCCUCCCAAGAAGUCAAGCAAAUCGGUCAUCUCCUCGUCCUCGUGGGCCUCCUCUCCAUCGUCGGGAGCCUCUGGGGGUGCCUCUCCUGCCUGGGCCUCGGGCCAAUUCCCAGGCCAUGCGACCUAUGCCCUAAACUGGUCUGGAGUAGGGCAUGAAAAAGAAGCGAAGCCCUGACUCUGCAUGCUGAGGCUCAUCUGGUAAAGAUAAUCAUGGGUCCGUACAUGCGCCCGGUGGUUGGCCGCCUGCUGGCGAACCAAAUGCCGCAAAUACUGCUCCGUAUCAAACGACCCAGCUGGGCCAGCCUGAUGAGGUGGUGGUGGCGCGCCUGCGGCCUGUGGAGCAUCACCCUGAGCCUGUCUCUGGGUGCAGUACUUCUCAAUAAAAGCCCAGGUGAUGGGCGGCCGAAUCACCUUGGUAGGUGCAACGGGGACUCCGAAUGACUGGCAGAGUCCUGUGAUCAGUGCGGGAAAACCCAGGGCCCUGUUGGACUUAUCUGGGUCCAAAGGGUGCCUGGUCGGCGCCAUACCUACAAAUAGAUAGAUGGCAUCAGCGAUCAACUGAGCCACAUGAACACUCAUCCGUGUCAGGAUGGCGUACACCAGCUGACACUUCGGCAGAGGGAGAUCGGAAUUAUGAUCGCUGGGCAGGAUGUUGCUGAGCAGCAACGUCAUCCAUAUCUGGGUCAGGGUGGUCAUGUUGGUGCGCAUGAUUCGCACUCGCCUCCCUGCAGCAGUCUGGGCAAAAUCCUGCCCCAGUAUACACAGCAACUGGGCGAUGGCCUCCUCAUCAAAACCAUCGGACCGGUUCCUCCUCUGGCCAUACUCGCACUCCUGGCCCUCUUCCAGCACUAAAGGAUAUCCCAGGAACUAGCUAAUAGCAUCCGCAUCGAACGGGAUCCACUGACCCCUCACCUAGGAUCUCAUAUCUCGCACGCCCUCCUCCGUAGGCCAAGGAUUGGCAUAAAAUUCGAGGACUAUGUCUGGGUCGAAUUUGGCUAUGGGGGUAACCAGUGAUGCCCACCGCCGGCGAAAUAUCUCCUCCUGGAAAUCGGUAUACUCAUCAUCCCUGAGCUGGACGCGUCGCUCCCGGAGAAAUGACCAUCCCUUGAUGGCCUCGAAGCGCUGCUGGUGUUCAGCGCUCCUAAAGCGGUGGCUGUCAUACUCGGGAGCGGAACUGGUUCCUUCGGCCACUUUAUCCUUCCUGGAUCUCUUUGAGGCAAGCUUCCUCGGGGCCAUUUCCUGCGAAGGCAAACAUUUGGAAAGUUAGUUUUACCAAGAAAUGCUACUCUUAAAACGAAAAUGGCAUAUAACCUCCUCCAAUAAACACAAACAUCAAUGUAAAUUUAGAGCAAACUCAUGCACAUACUUCCUUAUGAACAUUCACUCGCACAAGAUAUUCUUCUAACUAAAAAAAUGCACCCAUGCACAAUCAAGGCACCUUCGUUACCUAGAUCACUUAUAUGCACUUCCAAGGUGUAUUUGCUACCUACAUCACAUGCAUUUCCUUUGCUAAAUUUACAUACAUGCAUACUCAAGGCACUUUGGCUACCAAAAAUUGCAUACGUGCACAUUCAAGUAUUUCUAAUACCUAUACAUACACAAACUUCGUGAUGAAUCUUGGCUACCUACACAAUAAGGUGCUACAUUUCAUGCUUUAUUCAAGUGUUUUUGCUACCUAAAGCCGCAUGCAAAUUCAAGUAUAUUUUCUUUUGCUGACUAAAGUUGCAUUCAAAUUAAAAGGUAUCUUUGUAAGGUAUUUCUUUACAUAACAUGAAACAUAUAUAUAUUUUUGUGAGACAUUUUGACUACCAAAAAUUACAUGUACAUACAUCCAAGUAUUUUGCUACCAUACCCAAAGUGUAAAUUGCCAAAGGUAUUUUGCUACCUAUUCUACACCUACACAUCCGUGAUGAACAAAAUUCCUAAACGUCUAGGUGUAUGGAAACCAUUAUAGCGUGGCUUAUAGCUAAUUGCUGGCCAAAAAGGGUAGCUUCACCCAAUAUGCACCCACUCUUGUGUUUUCUCGCAUCAAAACAAGCUUUGGUUACUAGGCCUAGGGUAUAUGUAGGGUAAUUAUUCUAGCCCUCACGAAACUGAACACAUGUUCAAAAAAUAGAAAACAUGCGCAAACCAAAUCGUCCCAUAGGUUGUUUCCCUAUAAAAUCAUGCGCAAAUGCCAUUGAGUCAUUUCACCGAACACUUGGUGGGCGCGCGUUUAGGCAUAAAUAGCGAGAGAACGGGGACAAUGUGACAUGCCCCAUUGCUUCAAAGUGCAUUAUAGGCCUAGGGCCAUCUCAUACAAACCCUCAAUUCAACCCAAUCAAGCAAGAAAACAAACCAAAAUUGCCCCACAUAUAUGAGCACAUUCCCACAAUUUAGAGCACCAAAAGAAGAUCAAAAUACACCAAUGGAAAGCUAGAAAGCUUAAGGAUGUAAUACUUACUUGUUAGUGAUGAAUAAAAGCGCAAAACGGAAUCGAAAAAUGCGAAAAAUAGUGAUCCUAGGGUUGCAAACUCGUAAAUCCCGUGGGUAUUGCUUUUGAAUGGGGGGGGGAGUUUUUUGAAUGCAAAAACGUCCCCCUCCUUCUCUUUUUUUUUAUUUUGGUGCAGGGGGUUGCUCGCCCAGGCGAGCUAACCUGCACAUUUUUUUUUUUGCCGUAGUUUAUCAACAUCGCCCAAAACCUUGAUUGGACAACAUCCCAGGGAUUUUUAAAAGUCGAUUGAUUUUAGGAGACGACUGUACACGGGAAUGACUCGCGUGAGGGGACCAAAGCUUUUGAUGCUCCGCCAGCCACUCCGUAAGGUACUGAUCGAAACCCCCCAGGAUAGAUUAGGCAUCGAACAAAGGUAAUAAUUACUAUGAAUUCAAAGGAUACUAGGCUGCUUUACAGCAGCUCUUUCUGCUUGUCCCGGGCUAGGUUAAGGACGACGACCUAUUGGUAGUGACCCUAGCCUCUUUUUGUGUCCGUCCCCAAGUAUCUGAAAGUAGGAAACAACGAGGUGUGGCAAAUCUCGACCGCGUCGUCUGUCUUACCUUGAUUGGUUUCUACUGCUUUAACUUUGUCUCCACCCCAGAAGGUAGCUCGAGAUGAUCCUGCCCCUGUUUUAUCACAACAAUAUGCAUGCGUAUGCGUAUGCAUGAACGUUUUCAAACGCAGCAAAUUUUAGUGAAAGUUGGUUUAGGUUCAAUUUUAAUUAAGCGCUUGGGGCAUCCCAUGAACUGAGCGGAAGGGCUCAGGUGAUCAUAAAUUAACGCAAGGUUUAAAACCAACGUGAGGACUAAAGCCUCGAACCCAUGUUCACUUCUUUAAAAGAUUGUAACGAGAGAUACAGUAGACGGGGAAUCCCUGGGGGAAACCUAGAAAACACAUAAAGAUAAAGAACAUGCAACGACAUCCUUAAUUGCCCCAGAUUCUAAGCAUAAUAUCGCUUGACGACAUCAGAGUUCAUGGGUGAAGGUAGCUUUUUGCCAUCCAUGUUGGUAAGCACCAGGGCUCCUCCGAAAAAAUCCCUCUUCACGACAAAAGGCCCUUCGUAGUUUGGGGCCCAUUUUCCUCGAUUGUCCUUGACAGCAUGGGACAUUUUCUUUAGCACAAGGUCCCCCUCAUGGAACUUGCGCAAGCGUACCUUCUUGUCGAAUGCAUUCUUCAUUCUUUGCUGGUACAAGCGCCCAUGACUCAUGGCCGUUAAGCGCUUACCUUCAAUGAGGUUGAGCUGGUCAUAGCGCGUUUGAGCCCACUCUGAUUCCUUUAAUCUGGAUUCCGCCAAGAUCCUUAAUGACGGGACUUCUACCUCAAACGGUAGCACAGCCUCCAUCCCAUAUACCAAUGAGAACGGCGUUGCCCCAGUUGACGUUCGUACUGAAGUUCGGUAACCGUGUAACGCGAAUGGGAGCAUCUCGUGCCAAUCUUUGUACGACACGAUCAUCUUUUGGAUAAUCUUUUUGAUAUUUUUAUUGGCCUCUUCCACGACUUCAUUCAUCUUUGGUCGGUAGGGCGUGGAAUUGUGAUGCUGGAUUUUAAACUCCUCGCACAUUUCCCCCAUCAUCUUGUUAUUCAGGUUGGUGCCGUUGUCCGUGAUAAUCUUCCUUGGCAAACCAUAUCGGCAGAUGAUCUCUCUCUUAAUGAACCUGACCACUACACCCCUCGUGACAUUGGUGUAGGAGGCCGCCUCGACCCACUUGGUGAAAUAAUCUAUCGCCACGAGGAUGAAGCGAUGACCAUUCGAGGCCUUGGGCUCAAUGGCCCCGAUGACAUCUAUUCCCCACAUGGAGAAAGGCCAAGGGGCGGACAUGACAUUCAGAGGAUGCGGUGGAGUAUUGACAUUGUCUGCGAACGCUUGACAUUUGUGGCAUUUCCUUACAUGGACACAACAAUCACUUUCCAUGGUAAGCCAGUAAUAACCUGCCCUUAGGAUCUUUCUAGCCAUUGCAUGCUCGUUGGCGUGCGUUCCAAACGAGCCCUCAUGGACUUCCUCGAUCAUGUGGUUCGCCUCUUUGGCAUCCACGCACCGCAGGAGUGUCAUGUCGUGGUUUCUCCUAUAUAGUAUGCUUCCGCUCAUGAAGAAGCCGGCCGCCAAUCUUCUCAAUGUCCUUUUAUCAUUGUCGGCAAUCUCUGGUGGGUAUUCUUUGCUUACGACAUAUCGCUUGAUGUCGAAAUACCAAGGCUUACCGUCUCGUUCCUCUUCUACUUGGCAACAAUGCGCGGGUUUGCCACGACACCAGAAUUCAAUGUAUGGUAGAUCCCCGUGCGGCGUUAGCUGGAACAUAGACGCCAAAGUGGCAAGCGCAUCCGCCAUCUGAUUUUCCUCCCGGGGAACAUGAUGGAAGGAGAUCUCAUCAAAGGUCUUAGCCAUUUCCUUGAUAUAGGCUUUGUAGGGUAUCAGCUUGGGAUCUCUAGUUUCUCAUUCCCCUCUCAGCUGAUGGAUUACCAACGCUGAGUCGCCGUACACCUUGAGUAGUUUGACAUUGGAGUCAAUCGCUGCCUGGACGGCCAGGGCUCAUGCUUCAUAUUCGGCCAUGUUGUUGGUGCAGUUGAAUCCUAGCUUGGCUGUGAAAGAUACACAUUGAUUGUCCGGAGAGACCAAUACUUCUCCAACGCCAUGGCCUAGAACAUUCGACGCUCCGUCAAACCAUACGAUCCAUUUGUCCCGAUCUUUGUCCAAUUUUUCCUCAAACAAGGCCAUGAUGUCCUCAUCCGGGAAUUCGGGAUGCAUGGGCUGAUAGUCGUUAAGAGACUGCUGAGCCAAAUAAUCUGCCAAGGCACUUCCUUUUAUCGCCUUUUGGGUGACGUAAACUAUAUCAAACUCGGAUAGCAGGACUUGCCACCGGGCGAUUCGUCCUGUGAGAGCUGGCUUUUCAAAGAUGUACUUGACCGGGUCCAUCUUGGAUAUCAACUAGGUAGUAUGGCUCAGCAUGUACUGCCUUAGGCGAUGGGAUGCCCAUACUAAAGCGCAACACGUUCUUUCGAGCAAAGAGUAAUUCAUUUCACAGGCCGUGAACUUCUUACUCAGGUAGUAGACAACGCGUUCUUUCUUUCCGGAUUCGUCAUGCUGCCCCAGCAUACAUCCCAUUGACUCGUCCAAGAUUGUCAUGUAUAAAAUGAGAGGCCUUCCAGGUACCGGUGGUAUAAGCACAGGGGGAUUCAUGAGACACUUCUUGAUCCUUCCGAAAGCCUCUUGGCAACCCUCAUUCCAGCGGUCAGUUUGGUUUUUGCGUAAGAGUUUGAACAACGGCUCACAAAUGGCGGUGAGCUGCGAUAUGAAUCUGGCAAUAUAAUUCAAGCGUCCUAGGAAACCUCGGACUUGCCUCUCUGUACGGGGUUCCGGCAUCUCAAGGAUGGCCUUCACCUUUUCGGGAUCUACCUCUAUCCCUUUCUGGCUUACAAUGAAACCAAGCAAUUUCCCUGAUUUGACCCCAAAGGUACACUUAGCGGGGUUCAACAUUAAUUGAUAUUUCUUAAGCCUUUCGAACAACUUCCGCAGGUUGACAAGGUGUUCUUCCUCGGAUUUAGAUUUAGCAAUUAUGUCGUCCACGUAGACCUCGAUCUCUUGGUGCAUCAUAUCAUGGAACAAAGCUACCAUGGCCCGUUGAUAAGUUGCCCCGGCAUUCUUGAGUCCAAAGGACAUCACCUUGUAACAGAAUGUCCCCCACAUGGUGACGAAGGUAGUCUUUUCCAUAUCCUCUGGCGCCAUCUUUAUCUGAUUGUAACCGGAGAAACCAUCCAUGAAGGAAAAUAAAGCGAAAUUGGCCGUAUUAUCUACGAGGAUAUCAAUGUGUGGUAAAGGAAAAUUGUCCUUGGGACUGGCCCGAUUCAGGUCCCGAUAAUCCACACACAUUCGUACCUUCCCAUCCUUCUUAGGGACCGGUACAAUGUUGGCAACCCAUUCUGGGUACCGAGCGACGGCCAGAAAACAAGCGUCAAAUUGAUUCUUCACUUCUUCUUUUAUCUUCAAGGAUGUUUCGGGCUUUAUCCUUCUCAGUUUCUGCUUUACCGGGGAACACUCGGGAUUUAGAGGUAAUCGGUGUUGUACAAUGUCAGAACUCAAACCGGGCAUAUCUUGGUACGACCAAGCAAAGAUGUCUUCGUAGUCUCUUAGCAGGGUUAUUAAUUCUUCACGGAUAGGUGCGGUAAUACCCGUGCCUAUCUUUACUUCCCUUUUUCCACUGCCAGUUCCCAAGUCUACUAGUUCUAUUUCUUCUUGAUGAGGCCCCCUUUCUUGGUCCUCAUGGGCGACUAUCCUUUCUAAUUCCGGGGGAAGUCCCACAUCCUCGUUCUCUUCACCUUCCGUUUGAUUCGUUUCUUGCUCAAAGUUGAUAGACGGGUCCCAGGUAUUAGUACCUUCGAGGGACUCGUCAUCGGAUCUUCCGUUUUAAAAAUAAAGAAGUAAACAUGCAAAUGGAUGAGAAUGGGUAGAGACGUAGGAACAGAUGAAGAAAGAUCCUUGUAUUUAUAAAUUAAAAGACACAAAGCCUUAACAAAAGAAAAACUCUAAAGCCUAGGCCCAACUAUAGAGCUUUUAAAACCGUAAAGGUUUACAUUAUGCUCGUUGCGUAAAUGCUGGGGCGUUCCUCCACUCUCCAAUUUCCCAGCUGGAAAUCAGGAGGGCAUGGUCGUACCAAAUUCAAUGUACUUGGAACAUCAUCUUUGUAUAUCGCGAUCACUUGAACUUCGUCCCCCAGACCCGCGCUUAUAAAGCUCCUACUUAUGUGGCAGGGUGGGUUUCCUUCACCUUCUUGUCUCAACCGCGAGCUUUGACUACCACUCCUCCUUCCCGCGAUGCUUCUCUUUAUAUCUGCCUAAGUGGGCUUAUAGCCUAACCCAUACUUCCCACGAUUUCCUUUGGCAUUUAUCAGGCUAGUUAUGCCGCCGUUGUCUUUGCCUAAACCCAUUCCGGGUUCGUAACCGUUCCCCAACAUAACUCGGGCCAUCAUUACUGCUGCAUCGGACGGGCAAGCUUGCCCAGAGAAGGAAUCCACAGAGGAAAUGCUUACCACCUCGAAAGACUGGAAAGCAGUUUCUAAUGACUCCUCUACGGCCUCCACAUAAGGCAUAGAGGAUGGGCAGCUCACCAAGAUGUCUUCCUCGCCUGAUACGAUGACCAGAUGCCCUUCCACUACGAAUUUCAAUUUUUGGUGGAGUAUAGAGGGAACAACUCCCACCGAGUGGAUCCACGGACGCCCCAACAGACAGCUGUAGGGGGGGUUAAUAUCCAUUAUUUGGAAGGUAACUUGACAGGUGUAAGGGCCUAUCUGUACUGGGAGGUCGAUCUCUCCCCUAACCUCUCAGCGGGUGUCGUUGAAGGCACGAACCACCAUUGAACUCGACUUUAGGUGGGAAGCAUUGAAUGGUAAUUUCUCCAAAGUGCUCUUAGGCAUCACGUUUAAACUGGAACCAUUAUCGAUGAGCACCUUGGCCACGAUGUGGUCCAUACACUUGAUUGACACGUGCAAAGCUUUAUUAUGCCCUCUCCCCUCGGCGGGGAUUUCUUCUUCGGCGAAGGCGAGAUAGUUGUUGGCAGUGAUAUUAUUGACCAGCCCUCCGAAACCUUCUACCGAGAUGUCUUGGGCCACGUGGGCCUCGUUCAGAACUUUUACUAGCAGAGCCCGAUGAGGCUCGGAGCUCAUGAGUAACUCCAACAGCGAGACCCUGGCCGGGGUUUUGUUGAGCUGCUCGAUAACCUUGAAUUCGCUCUGCUGAAUUAUACGGAGAAACUCGCUGGCUUCCUCUAGCGACGCCUCCUUUUUACCAUCCUUUUUCUCCGGAAGACCUUUCGCUGGAAUAUCUUUAUUCGAAGCGAGGGGUAUUUCAUCAUCUUGUUCCUCCACCACUUUUGCUUUCCCCUUGACGUUCGCGGGUUGGACUGGUAGGUCCGGGGGCGCAAACACACGACCGCUAUGGGUCACACCACUCAGUCCCGUGAUAUUUGUUACCUUAGCCGACAACGAGCUGACGUCGGUGGCUUCUUCUUCCUUCCCCCUCGGAGGUGUAUAUCUCCAUGGGACUGCGUGGCUAUUUUGGUAUGGGAAAGGGACAGGUUUAGCUGCCAAGGGGUGUCCGGGCUUUUGCGAAGCUGUGCCCUUGGUGAAGUAGAUCACCAAGGGUUUGGGCUUCGCAACACUGCUCCCAUCCGUGGACUGCAUGCAUAUGUGCUGCUCUUCUCUUCCUUCACUGCCGACUUCCAGUCGACCCUGAUCUAUCAUCCACUGUAACAAUUCCUCCACUUCCAAACACGUUUCCAUGUUAUGCAGCUCUCCGAAAUGCAGCAAACAGGAAUCCUUUUUACACCCACUAUGGGGAAUCACACCUCCUUUUUGUAGGGCCUCAAAGAUAAACCUCCUAGGGGUUGCCACGUCCCUCAAAGGUUUAGACCUGCGCGGCCUAUCGGACUCAACGGCAUUAACCGCUCUCCCUCCAUGAUUGGCGAGCGGGUUGGUUUUCACAUUGGACCGAUCCUCUUGGAAAGUCAGCCAUCCAGCAUCUAUCAAAUGUUGGACUUUGUGUUUAAAGGCCAAGCAUUUUUCAAUGGAAUGCCCCGGGGCACCCCCAUGGUACUUGCAAGUCGCGUUAGGGUCAUACCACUUUGGGAAAGGGGGUUGGAAGACCAUUCCGGGAGUUACCAUGGCCAAUUGGUUGGCGAUGAGGGACGACAAGAGGUCUUCAUACGUCAUUAGGAGUGGGGUGAAUUCUUGAAAUGGCCUCAGAGGGAAGUUCCUCAUUGCGUUGGAAUUGUCGGCCGAGCGAGUUGUGUUUGGAGUUGGAACUUGGGGAGCUUCCCUCUGGGCGGGUGCCUUAGGCUGCACGGGUGCUGAACUAGAGGCAUUCCCGGUGUGAGCUGAGAAGCUCGGAUGAUGUUACGCGUACUGAUGGGUACCAUGAGGUGGCUGUGGGGGUUUGACCCAUGCGGGCGUUGAAGAGACGGCAUGGGCAUCUCCUUCCUUCCCUUUUGCCCCCGUUGUCCCGAUUCUUUUGGCAUUCGCACUCGUGGAGGAAACAUAAUCAAACUUUCCUCUUUUCAAUCCUACCUCGAUUCUUUCCCCGGCGAACACUAGGUCCGCGAAGCUGGAUGGCAUGUAACCUACCAACUUCUCAUAGUAGAACAUUGGCAAGGAGUCUACCAUCAUAGUGAUCAUCUCUCUCUCGACCAUGGGAGGAGUCACUUGUGCUGCCAAGUCUCUCCACCGCUGUGCGUAUUCUUUAAAGGUUUCGCCCUCUCUCUUGAACAUAUUCUGUAGCUGAGUGCGAUCGGGAGCCAUAUCAGAAUUAUACUGAUAUUGCCUUAGGAAGGCAGUAAUCAGAUCCUUCCAAGUACGGAUACGGGAAGCUUCCAGAUUAGUGUACCAAACCACCACGGCUCCAGCCAAGCUAUCUUGAAAAAAGUGUAUUAAAAGCUUCUCAUCCUUAGAGUGUGCGCCCAUCUUGCGAUAGUACAUCUUGAGAUGGUUCUUGGGACAAGUCGUCCCUUUGUACUUGUCGAAGUCCGGUACUUUGAACUUCGGGGGGAUAACAACAUCGGGUACUAAGCAGAGAUCCGUCAUGUCUGCGAACGGAUAGUCACCAAAUCCUUCCACGGCCCUCAAUCUCUCCUCGAGGAGAUCGAGUUUCCUCCUUUCUUUAGUUGCCGGAGGCGGUCCUUCCAUGGACAAAACUAUUGGUUGUGUCGUAAGGCUGGGCUGAGGCAACGUGUUGGGUGCUGGCCCUUCGGGGAUUGGGGGAUAGAACUCGACAUCCCUUCGGGCAUAGUCUUGAGGGUUUUCGUGGACCUCGUCGGGCUGUUGAGGAGGCUCCCCUUCAAGGACGGGAGAAGAAAUAUGGCCCGCAUCGUCUUGCAUGACGGGUGGUGAGUAGUUAGGUGGCAAUCCAUAAGGGUAAGUCGUUCGGUUGUAUCCCAGAUGAGGGUUGCCGUCGUGCCCCAGCGUGUUCCUUCCCCGUCCUACUGUGUUUGAGGGAGGAUGGCGCGCGAUAGCCAAGAGAGUUGGGUCUGCUUUGGCAGCCGAACUGACAGUGGCGGCCACGUUUUUCUCCAUGAGCUGCCUCAUUCCUAACAUGGCCUCCAUCAUGGAAGCCAUUUGUUCUUUCAGAGUCGACAUGUCGGCUUUCAUCUGUUCCUGUGUCUCCUCUUGAUCACCCAUCGUUCUAGAUUUGGAUCUGGUGCGAUAGGGAUGCCUUGUAGCGCGUUUAGUUAUGGUGUUUUUCCUAAAAACCAAACGUGAGGAGUAGGUAAAGAAAAAUGAAUGCAUGCUAGAGAUAAAAUGCAGGAGUGAUUUGAUUCACACAAGCUUUUGGAGCAGAAACAUAGGACCAACUCAUUUUAUUUCAGAAAGUCAUAUCUAGUCAAGAUCUGAGAGACCAUACAAGUUUCCUAGUGGUUUCUAAUUAUAUGGGCCAUUAAGUCUAUCAUAUGCUGACAAUAGCCGAGAAGCCCGUGGAUUUCUUCGGGGGCGGAGUAGGUGUCCGCCAUUGCCUUGGCCUUGGCUAGCAAUCGGGGAAGUUCUUGACUCCCGUUCAAGGUAAGAGCAAACCGGUCCAUCCACAUGGUUGCCUCUUGGUGUAAAGAGUCGAUCACCCUUCCUCUAGCCUCUUUCUCCGCGUAUACUUGGGCAUACUUGUCUGCGACCCUAUGCUCAUGGGCCAUGGCUAGACUUAGCUCUUCUUGGUACUUGGCGAUGAUAGCUAGCAUGUAGGUCUCCGUCUCGCACAAACGCUGAGACAAGUUUCUUUUGGACCUUGAACAGGCCACUAACUCCUCUUUCAAGACCAUGCCAUGUGCUCGUGACUGGUCUCUUUCUUCCCUUCGCAGCUUGAGUUCACUGUUGCUACCCCAUAAAGCUCUGCGAAAUUUGUUACGACCAUACUCUUCCUUGCGAGCCUUCUUGGUCUCUUGUCCAAGGGCUCUUGCGGUAGUUGCAUUCUCUUCACGUAACCCGGCACACUCUUUCCGGAUGUCUGUAGCGGCUAACUUGAACUUCUCCUUGGCAAGUCUCACCUUUCCUAACUCGUUUUUGAGAGCUUGGACUUCUUCGUCCUCUUCCGGUGCUUCGAAACUCUCUUCGCUGACAACCUUUAACUUGGCGAGCCAAUCUAAACCUCGUGUAUGAACUUUCAGCCAUUCAUGAUAACCACCAAUAAUGCCAUUACGAAUGCCCCUAAUUUCUUUAUCUUUUCUUAACGGGGUUUCCCACGCUUUAUGGAUCCUUUGUAUAGCCUUGAAAUUUUGCGUGCUGAAAUCUCUCACAAGGAAAAGAGACAUGCUUUCUUCCAUCGGUGCUCCCCUCAUAGGGUACCCUAGUUGUCUUAUAGCGAGCGCGGGAUUGUAGUUAAUACAACCCCUCGUUCCUAUCAACGGAAUGUUUGGGUACCCUCCACAUGAGAAAAGGACUCCCUCCUUUCCUUCCUUCCAUCGGGGGAACCAACUGAUUGUUCUACCUCCUAUCCCAGCCAAGAGCUAGUCCCAAUCUAUUCUUCUCUUUUCAGCACACGAGCGAUGGCUUCGGAGCGGACAUGGAUGCCUCGUGUCUUGCUGGAACAGGUGUGAAACCAACCAAACACAGAGAGCGGGGAAGCAACAGAUGAUCCGUGCGCUACUCUUUUCGCACCUUCGGUCAAAUGUAUCAAAUAAAUCUGCCAAGACAACUACCACCGGGCUCUCCUUGCUAUGGUGGUAUGCAAGGAAAGCGUCGAUUGCGGCUAGGUCCACCAAACCAUCCACGUUAGGAAAGAGUACGACCCCAAAGAUUAGCAAUUCUAACACAUCCAUAAACGGAACCCACUCUUCUUGAUUUGCCAUAUCCCUCGCCUUGUCUUCUAGGUACUUCCGUGGUAGGCCCGCUAUGCCGUUUCGAGUUUGUUUUACGCGGUCCAAACCUCUUGCUGAAUCCUUGACCACAGUUGCAAUUCUGCUCAAGGAGGGGAGAAACCCGGAAAAAAGAUAUGGUUUUCUCCACCCGAGAGGACAUCCCAGAAUCUCCUCAAAUUCUUCAAUGGUCGAUACCAAUUGGAAGUCUCCGAACGUGAAGCAUCUCAAAGGCUGGUCGUAGUAUUGGGUGAGUGAUGCAAUGGCUUCUAUGGAUACCUCUGCUAUGGUCAAAUCUAAGAUUUUUCCGUAAGUCUUGCGGAAGGCUUGCAUUUGGAGAGGUCUCAUCAACCGCCCCAAUUCCUUAAUGCUGGUAACAUCUAGGCCUUUAACCUUGACUUGAUAAAACCUUUUGCCAGUUUGAUUUGUCCCCAUGUUUACUAAAGUGAGAAAAAAAGCUGUGUGAAUCAAAAACUCCGAUAUCUCAUGGGUGGAAUGGAUGAAUGCAUGGAGGAAUGCAUAUGACACAGAUGUAAUUUAUGAAUACGGGAGCCUGGGAAAUUGUCUCCUUCUUAGAUACAACGUCUUGGGGUAACAAAGUGCCCAACGUAUGUAUUUAAGAAGGUGACACAGACCCUCCGUUGGUUUGUUUAAAGAGAGGGGAUCAAGAUAGAAUCCGUGCGUGACGCAUAUGCGAAAGGCGCAACAUAGUAUAACAAUAUUCACAAAAUAUCAAAAGGGUACAUGAAACUUAUGCAUGGCAGUGAAAAAAUGGCACGCAACGUGUUUGCUCCAUGCCCUUAUUUAAGGGACCUAUAUGGGAGAGAGCUAAAAAGGCUUUUAGUGAUAACUCCCAAGGUGGUCAUAUCUCUCUUAAUGGUCUCUAGAGGUAUCAUCCCCUUUGAAGAACAUAUUGCAGCAGUAGGGACUACUAGCAACAAUAAGUUUUCAAAGAGAAAAGCUCUAGAUGAGGGUUCACUGUAAUCAAGCAAGUCGGAGACCUAGCAUGAUCACAGAUUCACCUCCACUCCUUAUGUUCCCAUGAACCCGGGUAUAGGGCCCUUUUUUUAAACUCACAGUGUGUGCAAAUAGUGUUGGUGUUUGUGUGCAUCAAAUGAAUAAAUUUUUACCUCAUGCAUACAUUUUGAAAUACACUAAAAGCAUCAAAGAGUUGUAUACAAAGAACGUAAGAAAAAUAAAGGGAAACCAAUAAAGGAGGAUGUCAUGAUAAAACAUUGCACAAGAUUAAAUGGCCUAACUCUCUAAAAAAUAUCUCCCCAGUGGAGUCGCCAACUGUUGCAACCUACCCUUCGGCGGGAGGGCGACGCGUGACUCGCGGGAUGCGUGUUCAACAAAAGGAAUACGCGCAGAGUCGCCACCAACGUUUAUUUGAGGAAAACGUCGGAAAAACCGGAAAAGACGCGAUCUACGAACUUUUAAGUGAAAGGCUCGGGAGUUGUAUUUACGCACGGGGAAGGUAUUAGCACCCCACACGUCCGUCACAAGGGACGACAGCCUUUAAUCGAAUGUGCAAACAUGACUUUGAUUUUUACGUUCCCUUUUUAUGUCCUUAUAUUUUUUUAUUUUUCCUCUUUUUGUGGUCGACAAGGGUGUUUCUCUUUGCUCCUACGUAUUCCUCAAUUGUGAUGAGGAAAUCAGACCUACGUAGUUCUUUCUUAUGCGUGAAUCAAGUGAUUCUUUUUUACUUGAAAGGUGAUCAUUUUAAGGCGUUGGACCUUAAAAAUGAUUCAUUUUACUUAGUAAGAAACUGGAAUGAUAAACUUUCAAAAACCUAUUUUUGUGGACGAGCUUGACUAGGCGAGUUGAUUUUAUCCUUAGUUUCACUUUAGUUAUUAGUCAAUUCAAUUAAGAAUGAGAAAUCCCAAAGAGAAAACGUCCAAUUUGAUUUUUCGCUUUAUUUUACUAAAAGGGAUUCUUUGAUUAUUAUAUUAUUAUUUUACCUCUUUUUUUAUUUCCAACGUGGUUACAGCACGACCGAACGGUCGGAAUUCAUUUUAACAAAAAUUAACGAAUACUACAAUUCAAAUGAUCGGUGGAAAUUUAUUUUAUUUUUAGAUUAGGCGCAAAAUGACUUAAAUAAAUGGCUUAAGCACGUCAAAAGGGGGUACAGAAAGUAAAUGAAAACGAGAAUAAAAAUACAUGAAACAAAAUGUGGACCACCACUGGUACAUAGAAUGAAUUGAAAAGCUCGGUUUGAGGUACUUACCCGUUGAAGACUGAAGAAAACGAAGAACGAACGAUGAAUGUUGAAGAACGGUCGAGAAUCUUCGCGUAAUUACUCACGGAAACAUUACGGAAACGUUACGGAAGCGCCUCGGCUUGGAUUUUCUUCACGGAAAUAAUUUUCCUCAGCAAUUUUAAGUGAUUCUGAAUUACCAGGAGGGCUGAACCUUUUUCUACUUCACUUCUCCCCCUAUUUAUAGAAAAUUGGGGGAGAAGCUUGAAACCCAGCUCGCCCAGGCGAGCAAGGUGGCUUCCUCCAGAAGCAACCGCCUUCUGGAGGAAUCUUCUGGAGGGGCCAAUUGGGCCUGGUUGCUAUUUGCACCCCCAUUUUUACUAAAUACACCCCUUGCCUUUUUUUUUGUGCUUCUUUUUUUCGUAAAGUUACGGAAACUUACGAAUUUCGUAACGAUACUUGUUUUCUUUCCGUAAUGUUACGGAACCUUGCGGAUUACAUAAUCAUCCCUUUUUUGACUUACGGAAAGUUACGGAACCUCACGAAUUGUGCAACGAUGCUUCCUUUUUUAUUUCCGGUAUGUCACGGAACCUUACGGAUUGUGCAUCAAUACUUUCUUUUGAUUUCCGGCAUGUCCCGGAACUUCACAAAUUGCCUAAUGAUGGGUGCCAAGCACCUCACAAGGACCAAACAAAAGUUGCAUGCCACCAAGCAAAGGUCCCCCGGACGAAAUUAGGAUAUGACACCAAUCACGUAAGAUUUUUUUUUUUUUAUAGAAAAAAGUAAAAAACGACAUCAUUAAGUCCCCGAAUCCUCCAAACCACCCCCACCAGUCCCCAACCAACUCCUCCACUAGCUCCACACCACCGGUAUUGUGUCUCCAAAACCCCCCAAACCUCCCUUGAAACCCCAUGGCAGCAACACAACAAUAAUUCUAACCCAUUUUCUUUUUUUCUUCUCUUGAACCAUGGCUCCCCAUGGCAACAACAAAUCUCCUUCUCUCAAAAAUCACUCAUGGACCCCCCUUCCCCAAAGAAAACCCUCCUCUUUGUUUUCAUCAUUUCCUUCUCUUCACCUACGACACACAAGUGGGUUUGAGGGCCAAGUGUGAGAGAGAGACUGGGAGAGAAGUGAGGUUUGAGAGUUGAAGGAAGUUACUGGUGGUAGCUGGCGCUGGCACGAGCAGUGGCACGACUGGCAGCACCAGUGGUGGCCGAUGGCUGGGUUGGUGGUGACCUUUAAGAAGGGAGAACAAGAAGAGGCAACCAUGAAAGCAAGGGUUUGCAAAAAGAGCUCGCAACUAUGAAUGGUCGACGACAAGUUCAGACAUCGCUAUCCCACUCAUUUUUUCGUGCUCUAUGCAAUGGACCGAGCUGAAUCGCAUUUUAGGGUAAUUUGUUGACCUUCUUCUACCCAUGAAACUAUUUUGAUGUGUUCUCUUAGAAACCUUAUCCAUGUGAAUUUCUUGAGUUGGGAGUUGGCUUGGUUUGAUUUGAAAAUGUAAAAUUGAUUGCAAGGUCCUAAAAAUCGUUGGUGAGGACCUCUUCACCUUGGAUCUUCACAAGUGACGAAGUCAUAGUGACAAAUCCAUAAGAAAGGUAUAGAAGAAACUAUAGUGGGUUGUGUGAAAACGUAGAGGAAUGCUGAAGAAUGAUUUUUUGAUGCCCAAGGGAUUUUGACUAUAGUUUCUUAUCAUUAGUCAAAAUCCGUUAUUUGCUGAAGAAUGAUUCUUUGAUGCCCAAGGGAUUUUGACUAUAGUUUCUUAUCAUUAGUCCUAAUCUCAGUCAGACAAAAUUCACAUAUGACAUGUCUGUGUGGCUUGUUAACGAUCGUGUGAACAAAUAACGGAUUUUGACAAUGAUAAGUAUUUCAAACAAAACUUUUUAAAUAUUAGGAACCUAUCACAAAGCAAAAAUUUAUUAAAGAUCAAAUGCUAUCCAUUCCAUUAUGCCAACCUAUGUUCCUUUUCCACUUCAGCUAGUGCAACUUGUACGGCUGAUUCUUUCUGCUGUCAUACACAAGCAUGUCUUGUUUCUGAGGCCCAUUUGUCCUUUCUUUUUCUAUUCCCCACCCCCUCUUUUCCCUAUCCUUUUAUAUACCUUCAUUAUAGACCUAUCAAGUUCUAACCAGGAAAAUUCCAAAAACAUUUCUAACCCAAAUCUCCAAAUUUACAUGAUGUGAAAUCAGAAACAAACUAAUAAAUAAGAAAAUGUGAUUAAAAAUAAUAUAUAACACUACAGAGAAAAAAAUCAGAAAAUUAAUUUUCCAUGCAUACUAUAAAGAGAUUACAAAGUCAGAAAAUAUAUAUUUUCAUGGGAGAAAUGUUCAUGUGAACACAAUAAUUACCUUGACUCCGUAUAGUGAUAUUUUGUUGCAUAUCAUUGCAGCAACUUUGUCAAGAGAAUGACUUGAGUGUUUCCCACCUCUAGCUUCUUCUUCAAUUUUAUUUGCAGAACUGUUGGAAUUUGAAUCAGUGGGAACUUGCAGCAAGCAAGCAACAAAAGCAAGGGGGUGUAAUUAGAAAAUAAGACCAAGAGAGCAAUUACAAGACCCACUUACCUCAAGGAUUAGGUGUGAAACAAGCAGGUGCAUCAUAUCUGGAAGAAUGAUGCUGGUCGGGUAGGAAUAGACAAACUUAACAAUUUCCUGAUAUUCUGUAGCACAAAAAGACAAAUUCGAUUAUUGAGAAAUCAGUAUAAAUAAUACUACGUAAUAACAACAUCAAUCAAUGGAAUAUACAAUUGUUCCUUCCCUUAUUCUUCUCAUUCUUCUCUCCGUGGAGGCCCUGGUCCUUGAAAACCAGCUUCUAUCUUCUUCCCUAUCAACAAGUAUAUAACAUAUAUAAUUAUGUAUGAUAAUUUUAAGAAAAUAAACAACACUAAUAUAAAAUAUAUAGAAUAGUAAAAUACAAAAAAAAAACAAGAUCAUAUCUGCAUUUCCAGAAGUAUCUUAUGGAAUCUAGAUUACCCAGGAAGUGAAAUUAAAAACUUGAAAGAAGAAACAGAGAAAAAAGAAAAUAUUUUAAGAUAAGUUGUAACCCGGAAUUAAAAUAAAAGUUUAUAAAUAAUUCAAGCACAUAUAUAUAUUUUGGUGUCUUGAUCUUAUUGAUGUAUUUUGCAGACAUUGAUAUACUUUUAUUACCCUAUAGAGCUGGAACAAGAUCAACUAAUUGAAGGUUUAGUGACAUUGUCACAAAGCAAAGAAAAUGCCUGAUUUAUGAAUAUUCACCUUGAAUCUACGUGAGUCAGAACAAUUUCGUUCACCAAAAUAUGCCAUUGCAGUUGAGGUGGUCGGUCGUAUGUGAAAGAGUCAGUUAUGAGAUGAUGAUCUUUUCAUGCAUUUCGGUAUUGUCCUUUGCAUUAACACUUGCACAACAUUCUCCAACUGAGGUAGCAGUUUGUCAGUAGUGAAACCCUCCUUGUCCAACAAUUCCAUAUGAGGAACACUACCUGACAACAUUGCUGAUUUCAAAAGCCUUGAAUUCUUGGAUAUCUCUUAUAAACUCUUUUCCUCAUCCUUGCCAUUGGGAAUUGGUAAAUUAGGGAGCUUGCAGAAUCUCUCGUUGGCUGAAAAUAACUUCUCCUGACUCUAUUUCAGAGAUGGCCUCCAUCAAGUCCCUCAACUUGACUUGCAUGGGAAUAUGCUUCAAGGAAAUUUGGAUUAAUAAAUUACUCUAGAACCUGAAAGGUUAGUUAAUUCACAAUUUUUUUUUAAAAUUAUUAUUACCAAAAUUUUAUGAUAUCAUCGAUGUUUAUAUUUUUAUUUCUUUUAUAUAUAUAUAUAUAUAUUAUUACAUUACUUAAAAUUAUUUAUGAAAAGUAAAUUUAAUUAAAUAUAAUAUUCACUAACUAUUCAAGUAUAAAAAAAAAAAACUUCGUACCCCAUUGUCCAGAGGCUCUUCGCUAUGCGAAGGUAUGGGGGAGGGAUGUUGUACGCAGCCUUACCCUUGCAUAUGCAAAGAGGCUGUUUCCGGAUUCGAACCCAUGACCAACAGGUCACCAAGGCACAACUUUACCGCUGCACCAGGGCUCGCCCUCAACUUGUAUAUAUAAAUAUAAUCAUCAACUUGUAUAACAGAGAUAUACUUUUAGCUUCUUUUUAGAAAAUAUUACUAUUAGCUUUAAAAUGAUUUAUAUAUAUGUGAUAUUUUAAAUUACAUUUUUUGGUGAAAUAUUUUAAAUUACUUUGUAUCACAGUUAUUAUAUAUCUUAAAUAUUUUUUUUGAAAAAAUAGAAAUAAAAUUAAAACUUAAGAUUGAGAUCAAUGCAGACUUAUUAAAUCAUAUUUAAAUUUUAAACUACAUCAAUUGAACAAUAAAUUAAGAAAACCAAAAAUUGUAUCAGAUGAUAUUUCUCUUUUUCAAAACCAAUCUAAUCUACUCCAUAAACUCCUUUUAAUCCGACAACUAUUAGGAAAGUGAAAAGGAAAAUAUAAAAAAUUAAAAAAGUAAAUAAUUGGACUUUGUAGAAGUCAUAACCACAUUCUUUAUCAUCCUUCUCUUCUCCGUCCCCUCAUUGAUGCACCUGACACAUUUCUUUAACACGUUGUCCUAUUGUCUGAUCAAUAGGAACAUGAUAUAUCGCCUCGUUAUUUUCUGAUCAUGCAAUUGCAUUGAUUUAUUUUCUGUUCUUAUCAUGAUUGGUUCCACAUUAUUAUUAUGUCAUGCACUUCAUCAUGGUGCGUUGCACUAAUAUUAAUGAUCGUUCUACAAAUCUUUGUUGUACCCCUUAAAUUUUAUUGGCUUUUGCCUUUUUUUUCUGAUGAAAAUUAAUUAAUUAACAUUGGUUUUUGAAGUGCUUGUUAAUUACAGGCACCAUGGAGGAAAGAGUGGGACUUUUGUUUCUGAUUUUGUCAUGCAAGAGAGGUAACAAUUGUUAGAUUGGCCUUUUUCUUAUCUUUUUGCUUUUAAAUUUAAUUAUCGUGCUAAGUGAGAUGGAUAUAACGUAGUUACAACUCACACCAAAUUUACUGUACCAUAAUAAAGUUUACUUGAUUCUUGUAGUAAUAAUAUAAAUAGUGAUGAACCACAUACCUUCUAAAACCAAAUACCCAUACCUGUUUAAUAUACCUAGUAACUUAGAGAUAGAAUGCAAGACUUGUAUUAUUCACUCUCCUAUAUAUUUAUUUACCAAACUUUGGUGGAAAUUUUAAGGAGUGACAGGUUCAUAUUAGCUUUUAACCAUCAAUGGAAAACUGGUAAAAAGAAAAGGCUGGCACUAACAACCAGUUAUUUGUCCAUAGGAAAGGAAGCUUGGGCCCAAUUGAAGGAUGUUGUGGAAAAUUAGUGUCUCUUUGAUUUCAGAAGCUUUACUUUUUUUUUUCCAAUACUUACAAAAAUAUCAUCUUAUUUUUUUUUACCUCAUGUCAUGAUUUGAAGAAUGUGUUUUGCUACAAAGUACUGAUACUUUAAUUUGCUUCAUGCAUCUAUAUCUGAUACCAAUAUAUCUGAUACAUAUAUGUGAAGUGACCAAUUCUUUUAAAAAAAUUAUGAUAAUCAAAUAUAGUGACAUGUAACAUAGAAGUAAGUAUAAUAUAGAAAUAUAAAAAGUAUUGUUUCUUGAUGAACCAAUAUGAAAAUUGUUUUGUUUAUAGAUAAUUUCAAGAAAGAAAUGAGAUUGAUCAUUGAUAGUACCAUUCUUAUUUGUGAACAAUAGGAAAAAAUGAUCUACAAUUUUUUGAUUUUGUUUUUAACAAUGUCUAAGAAGUAUGUAUGUUCUUCAAUUUACCGAAUUGCAAUUGUAUAUUUAUUAUGCUUUUAUCAAUUCUUACGUAUCUACAUAUCUAUCAUAUUUUUAGAAUAAUCAUACCAUUAUUAAUUUAUAGGACAGGGGAUAAGAGAUAAGCUGAAAUCAUCCGAUCCUUCUAAAGUUCACUUGGUACACCUUUUCAUCCUUCACAUUGUACCCAACGAAAAACCUCACAAAUAAAAAUUCAGCUAUUGAGAAAGUGUCAAUUUGACAUCAAUUAAAUUAAAAGUUACAUUUAGCACUAGUUCAAAUUUGAACUUAGAUUCAUGGGUAGGUACAAUUUCUCCGGGCCAAUCAACCAUAUCUGAAAAACAAAAAUAAGUUUCUCAUGGUCAUUUUCACUCUGGCCUCAAUAAUCUUAAGGAGAAAUUAAGUUAGAAUAUAACAAUACUGAUGUGUAACAUUUUUCCGGAGAAUCAUUAUAUUUAAGUAUUUGUCAAUGUUGUUACUUAGUACCUGUAUCGUUACUUCUUCGAAACAUAUAUACAAGGUCAAUUUCCACGUUGCCUUUGAUGAUUUGUUGAUUCUCUGUAGAUUCAGUAACAUAUAUACAAGGUCAAUUUCCAUUUCAGAAUGAAUUGGAUUUAGUAAAACGUAAAAGGAGAAAGACAUGAAAUGAAACAUAUCCUUGACAGAAAUAGUUUUCUAGUUGGUUAGACUUAGAAGAUACCUGUUGGUCAUCCUUGGUGGCUAAAUCCAUCUAUCGUCAACCUGAAUGCCAGGGAUGUGGGAAAUUUUAGGCCAAAUUUGAGGGUGCUUCAUGCGGCAUCGUAUUUCCAGCAAAGGACAACUCACUAUGGUUAAUUUUAUUAGAGAGACAGGAAGCCUUUCUCCCACCAUAUUUUCCAGCAAAGGACAUCCCAUUAUGGUUAAUUGUUGCAGGGAUGUGAGAUGGAGAAGCCCCGUGCAGUCCAACAUCUCCAGAUUUGACAAGUCAUAUAGAUACAGAGACGUAAGGGAGGGAGGCAGCAAACCCUCCUUAGGGAAGGACUUGAUGCCAUCACAUGGACCAUCAACACUGAGAUGAGUAAGCAUGCCCAUGGAUGGCCAUGCUAGGCCGCUCAGUAGUUUCUCACAAUUGUAAAUCGAUACUGUUCUCAGGUCAGGUGGCAUACCCCGUUUUGGAAAGGACUCAAUUUCUGGGCAGUUGAAUAUUUCGAGACAUUCUAACUUUGGGAGAAGACUACUCAUCUCUUCAUGCAACGACUUCAACUCUGAUAUGGUCAAAUUAAUCAAGUUGGGCGCAGGCAAUCCUUCUCUCCAGAAUGAUACAAAGUUGGGGCAUCGAUGAAUGUGCAAAGAACACAGACUCUCAAAUGACUCUGCCCCUGAAACCGAAAGAUAUUCCAUAUUUUCACAGUCUGUGAUUGUGAGAUCUCGGAGAUUUGGAAAGGUAACCAAUGGAAGAGAUGUGAGUGAAUCACAACUGCUUUCUAUUGACAGUGUUUCCAGUAACUCAUGUUUGUGUUGCGUCGGGAAUUCCAGUUUUUUAAGAUCCUCGAUAUACAGACUCUUCAGUGAUUCAGGUAAACGACCACCUGGAAAUGACACGGCUGACGAGCAAUCCCUUAAUGUUAAAGACCGGAGACAAGUUGGUUGGAUGUUAGUGAUGGCCUCUAUCAUGGACUCCACCAUUGGGCUUCCUUUUACAUCUAUAGUCUCUAACAAGAGAGGAAACGCAUGCAGUGCUACUUUAUUGCUUUUACGUAUCUCCAAACUUUGAAUGGCGGGAGCCGUUGGGAGAGAAGAGACAAGCAGCUCGCAAUUUCUAAUCACAAGUUUUGUCAGAGCAGGAAGGUGAUUCGGCAAACUUCCCUCUAGUUUGGGGCAGUCACGUAUUUCAAG
rnacentral:lncRNA from 1 species